AUGUCGUGAAUAUUUAAUCUUCACAGAGGAGGUGGCUUCCUGAUCUUUGUGGCUUGCUCAAAGUCAUAUGCGAUCUCUAUCAGUUUUGGUUCCGAUCCUUUUAGCCCUCCAAAGGAAAUGCCGUAUGGGGUGCCAUCAGUGUCAUAACCUGCUGGAACAUUUAUUCCAGGGUAUCCUCCGGCGGAUAUAGCAUAUAUAAUAUUUGCACCAGGUGUCACCAAGGCAUCCAAUUUAUUUUCCUUCAUCAACUUCUCAAAUCCAUUUUUGGACGCUCUAGUUAAAUUAAGCAGUAGUUGCCUUUCCGGUAUGCCAAUGCCAUUGGUUUUCUCUGCCGCCUCAAAUAUAUCUUGUCCGUACUCUUUUAUCUUUUCCUGAAGCACAAUAGAGUAGUCUUAGAGUGCCGUGUUUUUCUAACAAAGGCUAUGGACUGAAUUUUAGCCAACCAUUGCCUACGUUGUGAAUGAACAUGCCCCUAAACUAAAGAUUCUGUUACUUACCAACUUCGAGUGAUCCUUAUUGAAGACUAUUGCAUCGGCUAGAGAUCGCACAGGAGAGGUGAUCAACUGCUUUAGAUAAGCAUUUAGUGCCAGCUUGAAUUCCACAAUCACGGCUUUGGAUUCGUUAAUUAACAUUGAAAGUAUGAUGGUGUCGAAGCUGGCUGUAUCCACAAUGUCUACCAAUACUGCACCUCGUUUCCUGGUUUUAGCCAAAAUCUCAGAAUACUGUGUUAGAACUUUAACAAUAUUGAAAUAGGUUAACCAAAUCCAACCCAAACAAGAUUUUGUAUUUGCUCUGUGAAUUAACCAAAAGACAUGCUGGAAGUUUUUUAAUUGGGGUCCAAAUGCAAAGUUAUCAAUAAUCUGUUCAAAGUACAAACAAAAAUAUUGUGGUAGCUAGUCAUUCUGCUACUUUACUACUGUACAGACUUGUUCACACACUAGGUCAAUCACAAUCAUCUUUCCCUGGGCAUCCAAUGUGAGCUUUCAAUUAGGUACAGUAGAACUUCAAAGUUUAUGCUACUGAACUCACCUUAGAACGCGGAAGUGAGUUUCAAAAGCUUUCAAUGCUACAGAAGAGUUGCUGAAUCCCAAAAAGGAGUACCUUGGAAUCCCCAAUCUCUUUCCCUUAAGUCCAUUAGACUUGAGAAAUUGCAAAUAACCCCGAUGAGGAAUAUACUUUGAAGCUUUUUUGGUUGCUACUGCAUCAUCAGGAUCAAAUCCAACAAUGGCAUCAAGAACAUACACUGCAUCUGAAACUGUCCUGCAUAUUGGCCUGUUCUGUCCCAUAAAUAUAUUGUUAUGAUUUUGUAUCUAUUGUUACGCUUUCUUGUUCAUUUUCAAGUACUAAUUCACCUUUAUACGGUACGGUGAUGAAAUAGCGAUAAAAUAAAAGCAAAUUAAGCAUCUUUCAUUACCCAACCGUAUCCUGUCGAGGUGAAUAAGGGACAACACCGGCUCGACUUGUUAGCCCUACAGUAGGUUUGAUCCCCACGACUGAAUUAUAACUGGAAGGGCAUAAAAUGGAUCCAGCUGUUUCUGUACCUAGUGUGACUGCAACCAUAUUUGCUGCUACUGAUAUUGCUGAUCCGGUGCUUGAUCCACAUGGAUUAGCAGAUUUAAGGUACGGAUUCUACAUGGAAUCGAAACCACAACAUGGCAUUGUAUAUCAGUACUUGCAUUUCUAAUUGACCUAGAAAGGCUGCAUAAGGACUCAGAUUUUGAUUCCUAAACCACAAAUUUCUGAAAAAACAAAACAAAGAAAAAGAAAAUUUCUGACUCAUAUAGUUGCAUGGAAAAUUGGAAACCAAAUGGAGCAUGUCAGCAACUUACCACACUUUGGCCACGUCUAGCAUUCCAACCGUUAGGCACACCUGAUGACCUGGCAGCAGCCCAUUCUGUCAUGCUAGCCUUUCCUAAGAUGAUUGCACCAGCCCUCCUUAGCUUCUUGACCACCCCUGCAUCUUGAGGUACAACUGAUCCCAGAAGUGCAUAAGAUCCAGCUGUUGUGUUAAGCUUGUCCUUGGUUGCAAUGUUAUCCUUGAGCAGAAUUGGGAUACCAGCUAGUCCUGUCAUGGAGCCUGGCUUCUUAGCUUUUCGAUCCUGGUCUGCCUUGCGGGCUAAAUGCAGAGCAUCCGGAUUCACUUCUAUGACUCCAUUAAGAACUGGAUUUAGUCUCCUAAUCUCUUUGAGGUAGAAUUCAACCAAUUCCCGAGAAGUGAGUCUGUUAUGAUCCAAGGCAAUCCUAAUAUCAUGCACAGUAGCUUCUCUGAUUGAGAAUAGACUUCCUUCAGCAUUAUGGCUAAGGCCAAGAAUAGUAGUACUCCAGAAAAGUAGUAGCGCUAUAUCCAUAUGGAUUUCUAUACUGUAAUAUCUUUGAGAGAAACUAUUUCUAUAUACUGGUAACUAAGUUCUAUUUCUUCUUGUUGUAAUUCACUAGUAUAGUCAAGACAAUGGAUAUAUAUAUAUAUAUAUAUAUAUAUAUAUAUAUAUAUAUAUAUAUAUAUAUAUAUAUAUAUAUAUAUAUAUAUAUAGAUGAUAUAGUCGGAUGAUUCCAUCCUCUAUUGUUGUUUUCUUGGCCAUGUUUUCAACGAUAAAGACAUCCAGUUGACUGAAAAAAAAAAGGAUUUUCUGCUGACUGACUUUUGUUUUUGGUAUAGUACAUUUGGAGUAAAAACAUAAAACUCGCGGGAAACAAGAAACAGAGAGGGGAGAAAAUCCUAACAAUGGACAAUUCCGUUUAGUGAAGCCAAGCUUAAAGGUAAGAAGAUGAGGAAUCCUUCUUCACGCGGAAAUGAUGUCAAUCAAAUUGCAAUGACAGAGAUAUAUAUAAAUAGAAAAAGCAUGUUGCAGAUAAAAUACUGGAGUAGGUAAAAUUUGGUACAUUAUACUUGAGGAAGUUUAGUCGUGAAGACUUUCUUUUGAUUGGAUAAUUGAUCAACAAAAAACUAGCAGUCAAAGUAGCCAUCCUCAUAGUCAUUGUCAUAUACGAGCAAGAUAACAAUACCUCUUUAAAGUAGACCAUUAGAUUGAUGAUAAUAUUUAGGGCAAAUUCCACUUUACCCUUAUGUGGUUUAGCGUUUUUUCACAUAACCCCUCUAUGGUUUCAAAAGCUAUAUAUAACUCCCUUGUGGUUUGGAUUAAAGUGUCAAAGUGACGGGAAUGAUCAUUCAUAACGGCAUCACCUAAAAUGUCAAAAAUACCCUUAUGUAAAGUUGAAAUUUAUGUAUUAACCAAGGGGGUUAUAUGUAUAUUUUGAAAAUCAUAAGGGGGCAUUAUGGUAAAGUAUUAAACCAUAAGGGAGUUAUAUGGUAAAAUAUAAAAAUCAUACGAGGUUAAUGUGUCAUGUAUUUAUAAGGGUAAUUUCGAUAUUUUUAGAAGUUCCGUUACGAGUGACUAUUUUCGUUACUUUAACACUAUAAUUCAAACCAUGAGGGGUUAUAUAUAGCUUUUGAAAUCAUAUGGGGGUUAUGUAAAAAAGGGUAAAUCACAGGGGGGUAAAAUGUAAUUUACCCUAAUAUUUAUAACUGACAUGUAAUCCAACCUAGGUUGUCUGUACUGUACCAAAUACUUGGUCUUAAGUUUGUUUCGAGCAGUGUUUUGAAAACCGGAUCGGACCGGCCGGUUUGACCGGUCGAACCGCGAACCGGCCAUGGCAUCGGUCCGGUUCCAUGCUUAGGUUGGCUUUGGCAAAAAACCGGUCAAACCCGGUAAAAACCGCGAAACCCGUUGAACCGUAUUGAACCGGUUUUCGAGUUUUUCCUCUUUUUUUUUUUUUUUGCAAAAUACUUCUAUUAAAAUUCGAACUCAAGACCUUUGCAAUAGAAAACCAAUGUAAUAACCAUUGCACUAUCACAUCUUAUUUGCUUUUUUUGAUAAUUUAUUUAUAUAAAACAAACAUCUAUAUUUCAUUUUUUCAUUUUUCUUACAAAAUCUCAUUCUCUCAUGACUCUUUCUUUUUAAUUUUCAACUCUCUCUUUCUCUCUCAUCUUUUCUUUUGUCACUCCCUUUUUUAAUCAAACCUCUUUAGUUUUAAUUUAUUGAUGUUUUCUUCUAUCUUUUAAUUUUGUUUUUGUCCAUUAAAUUGAAAAAAUUAAAAAAGAAUUAUUUUUCUUUAACCCAAAUUAUUUAAUGCCACAACCACUCACUUUUAUCUCAUUUUUUGUUUCUUAUCAAGUUUACAUUUUUAUUUUCAAUUCUCUUGACUUCUUUCGAACUCCAAACUUUCUUUUUUAAAUUACAAUAUUUAAAUCUCAAAUAUGUAAAUUAAAAUUUAAGUUCACAAUGUCAAAUUCUCAUAGACAUGAAUUUUGUAUAAUUUCAAAAUAUUGUGAUAUUUUUGGGUUGGAUUUGAGAUUUUUUUGGUAGAUAUAAUUAAAAUUGAGAUGAAAUUUAUUUGUUUUAACUUAUAAUUUAAAAAAUUUAUUUUUGAAAAUCCAAAUUAUUCAAAAAUAGUGAACUUUUCAUCAUAUAAAAUUUUAAAUUAGUCCAUUGCAUGUCUUAUUUUGUGCAUAUAUAUAUUUAUAUAAAUUAUUUUUAAAAAAAUUCAUUGAACCGAGGUUGAACCGGUCCGACCGGUUGAACCUCGACCCUUUCAUAUCACCGGUUUAAUGGACGGUCCGGGUUUUAAAACAUUGGUUUCGAGAUAAAGUCUAUGAAAUACAUAUCUGCAAAUUCUCUGCAGUUUCAUGCUUUGUUUAGAAAGAAAAGGAAAAAUAUGGGGAAUUUUUUUUAAAUUUUUUGUUCUUACACUAGAAACACAUGAUUUCAAAAGUUUUUUUUUUUCAUGAUUUGUGAAGUUACUGGACGUUUUUUGAUUGAUGAGACUGAAGUUUGAAAUCUGAAUCUGAAAUUUAAAUGUUUAGUGUUGAAAACAUUAAGUUGUUAAAUUGAUUAAGUUAUAUCUGUUUGAUAACCAGUUGAAUUUAAACAUAGCAUAAAUAUUAUGUUUUUAUCUUUAAAAAAUUCUUUUAUUUGUGUAUAUAGAGAGAAAGAAAAGUGUGUGUGUGUGUGAGAGAGAGAGAGAGAGAGAGAGAGAAUAAUGAUUAUUUAUGUGUGAGCAUGUAUAUUUGCUCGUGUAUGCGCAUCUUAUAUGAAAAGAAAACAAAUAUGUACUUUGUGCAAGAGCAUAUAUAAGAGUGUAUUAUAUGUGUAACAGCUUUAGUAUAUGUAAUCAAUUCAGAAAAUUCAAUGAAAAAUUUUCACUUAAAACUUUGUACAUAAAUUAAGCAAUACUUAAUACAUUAAGUGGUAAGAUAUUUUAAUUAUCAAAUAUGCUGAAUUCAAAAAGCUUUAAAUGAAUUAUUUUUUUCGCAUGAAGUACAGUUAUUAAACAAGGCCGUCGACUACUAAAUGAAAAUUGUUAUAGUACCAGAUGUCGUUUACUUGCAAGCUGCCUCCUGGCAAAAUAUACACUAUCAGAGAUGUACACAUCCUCUCUGUGCAAAGGAGUUUCAAUAGUGAUCAAGGAAUUUUAAUAAGCUUCCAUGGUUCCACAGCCUGAAAGAAUGCAGAAAACUUGGAACAGAAAUAUCCAAAACGUACUACUGGCGAAAUUCCCUAGAAAACAAAACUAAUAACAUCACAAUACCCAAAUCAGAGACUUUUCUGGCACGGAGACCUUAAUCCUACAGAAAUUUUCCGGUGAAUGCAUGUGAGUUUGAAUUAAGGCCGUUAUGGGGUUUGGAGAGUAGGAUAGCUAGAGAAGCAUAGCAGAGUUUUGAUUCGGGCAUGGGCUUGGAAAGAAAAUCAAAAUUAUAAAGGGGAAAAAAAAAAAGAAAAGGGAGAGAGUUUAAUGGACAUAUCAGUAAAUUUGUUUCUGAUGAUCAGCUGAAAACUCACUUUAACUGAAUAUCAAAAUUAUUAUUCAUGAAUAUCAGUUUGCUCUGUAUUUACCCUUUAUAUAAAGAUCAGCUAAUUGGUUGGAAACUUAUUUUGUUACCCCUUUUCCAACUAAUUUUAGAAAAACACCUAGCUCCACUUUUAAAUGGUUAUGUAUUGUCAGCCUCAUUUCCAUAGUACAGUUUCUAAUUUGAAUUUGAAAUUAAAUUAGGGGCAUACAUUCAAUACAGUCUUGUACACACUAACAGUGCAUAAAAAAAUUUUAUCCUUUCUUUUUGGAUUAAAUUUUCAUAUGCCAAUGUAACUAACAAUUAUGGAUGCAUGUCACAUGUGCAAAUACUAAAUUUAAAAUUUAAAAUUAAAUUACCAGGUGUACAUCCAAUACAAUUUGUGUAUAUACUGACAGUGCAUAAAAGAGUAACUCUUUCAUUUUUGUUUAUUAAUUGUAAAAAAACCUUCUAUAUAUUGAUAAUUUUUUUCCUACUUUAACUUGGAAGAUUCUAGCCUUGUUCUCAACUAGUUUUCAAAAUCUAAUUUUGAAUUUUGGUUUUGAAAUGCUAUUUUGUUAUUUUUUUAGUUUGCUUUUUAUAUCCUGAUUUUGGAUUUUUUGACUCUAAAAAAAAUAAAAAAUAAAAGCAUCUAUUUUGAUUUUUUAUAUUCUCAUUUUCUAAAAUAAACUUUACACAACCAAAAACAAGGCCUCGCAGAUGAAGAUCAGCAGGGACCAUCAUGUUUUCAGCCUCAUAUGCAUCCUUGUUUGAAAUUCAUUACGACACCAUUUUGUUAUAUAUCUUUCUGUCUUUUUAUCAAUGCCUUGUGCCUUUCGAAAUAGCAGAUUCUACUCCUCAUGGAUAUCAUUUUCCAUUAUUGCUGUCAGUCAAAGUCAACACAGUUCAUCCAAUGUCGCCUACUAAUAAAUGGAUGAGUAAUGGUUCGAUGACAGACACUGUAAUUUACAAAAAUUACAGUCACCUGUUCUAACUGAUUCUCCAUAGUUUUCCAACAAUUUCCUUUGAUCUAAAAAUUUGUUAAAGUAACCCUAAUCCUGAAUGAAAGAAGAAAGGGUAAAUUAUCUUUUACCCCCUUUCAUUUGACAUUUUAUCAUAUAACUCUAUGAUUUAAAAAUUUAUGUAUAACUUCCUCAUAGUAUGGGUUAAAGUGUCAUAGUUAAUUUUUCUUUUUUAAUUAAUGAUCAAUAGUAAAAAGUUAAAAUCAAAAUAAUAAAUUGAUAAAUUCAUCCUUUCACUGUUGUUUUUCUUUUUUCCAACUCUUCUCUCUCUCUCUCUCUCUCUCUCUCUCUCUCUCUCUCUUUGGGAGAUAAUUUUGAAAACCUAUACGUUGGCUUACAAAAACUUAAUUUUCUCCAAAUACAAAAGAGAUGGAAGGAAAAUAAAAAAUAAAUAAAUAAGAAAAAAAGAUUGAAUGGAAAUAUAAAACAAGUAUAUAAGAAACAAUAUAUACCAAAUCUUUUUUUACUACAAAUAUUAUUAUAGGUUUUUAAAUUAAAAUUUUAAUGGUAUUUUCUAGUUCUUAUUUAUCUAUUUUUAAUUUCUUUUUUUUAUGUUUAGAGGAAAAAAAAGUAAUGAAAGCACAAAUUAAUUUGUUAGUUUGAUUUUGAAUUUUUCCUAUUGACCGUCAGUUUUAACGGAAAAAGUAAUUGUGACACUUUAAUCCAAAAUCAUCAGAGAGUUAUAUACAGGUUUUUAAAACAAAGGAAAAUUAUGUGAUAAAGUACUAAGUCACAUGGGUUAAAAGGUAAUUUAAUUAGGAAGAAAAUUUCCCUCUUGCAACCAAAGACAACUAUCAUCUUUGCUGCAAAAAUUGUAAAAACAAAAUCAUCCUUUUUUUCUUCAAAAUUUCCCAGGUAUGGCAAAGAACAUCUUUGCUUGACUAAUUUUGUCAUUACAAAUAAAUAUAAAGGGAAAAAUCACUUGAGACUUGAGAGUAACAAUAAUUAACUGGUAAUGGUUUGGUGACAGGGCAUAUGGACAGAAUCAACCGAGGGAGUUUCGAUUUGGGGGUGGGGGUGGAGGACAGGAACAGAGGUUGUAGCUAACUUGCAGAGAUAGAGGUUGAACUGGGCGUGGACAGCAAGAACGGGUGGGACUUGGAGUCAGGAAAGAGGAAAAUUGCAUUUGGGUGGUAGUUUUGCAAUUAAUUCUGGGAACCGGAUAGAGAAGUUGUAGGUACAUGAGUUCAGAAAUUCGUGACCAAGAUUUGUCGGUAGCUCAUUUGAAGCUAAUUGAUUGUCAUCUCAGUAUUUCCCUAAAUGGAUUAGGUAUGUAAUUAACCAACACUCUCCUGCAAAACCAUGACUUAAAUGAGAAGUGUGGAAGUCUCCAUUCGAGAUGUAUCUGACCAUUUAACCGUGUAAUAGUAUCAAAGUCAGACAAAUACAAUAUGAAAUGAGGAAUGUUCUUGUUCAAUGCUAUAAUGUCGGUUCAUGACCGCACAGUAGAUUCAGUUUGGCCUUGCAGAUAAUCAUUGAGGAAGAGCUUAAAUUCAGCGAGCACUGCUACUGUCUUGCCUCUUUGAAAGGGAAGUAAAAGCAUUGGCCCAGAACUAGAGAUAUUUUGAGUUCAAUCAAUCGCAUUUCUACCUUAAUGCGCUUGAACGGGUCUCAAGAAUUGGAACCCCAUUGGACUGGCCUAUUUGGAAGGUUGACAAAAGAAGUUCUUACCAUACCCAAUUUCUUCUGUUUCAGCCCAUUUUUGUUGAGGAAUUGCUUAUUGCCAGCAACAGGAAUGAGCUCAAUAGCUGCUUUUUGUCACUUCAUGCUCUCUUGGAUCAAAGAGCACGAUUGCAUCAAGCACAUAAACGGCAUUAGAAACAGAUCUGCAUAUGUGCUUGCAUGUGAAUACUAGUAAUAAGUAUCAGCCUCUAAUCAGUAAGAGUUGAAUACAAGAAACUUGCAUGCGGAAAUUUUCUGGAGCAUUUAGUGAGUAUUUUCUCCAAAUGCACUGUCUAAACAUCUACAUUGUUGUGAAUUUUAUGGUUAUUUAGCAGCUAGUAAGCAUAUCCUCUCAUGACUCAUCAUCUUGUUUCUUUUUCGAGUAAACAUAAUUUCAAGAUUACAUGCAACAACUACCAACUAAUAAAUUGUUACUUUUGAACAGACACAAAUGGUAGACUGUGAUACGCAAUUGUUUCUUGCCGGGUGUUUUACUCAAAAUGGAAAACAAGAGAAAUCUAGAAUGAUGAUUUCGUUGUGUUGUUAAUAGAAGCAAGUGGCACUGAAUAGUUUACGCCAAUAGUCAUCCUAGAAAGGCCUCACAUGCUACACAGACAAAUAAGCAUUGCAUACUCGCUAAUACACAGGCAAUGAACAACCAAUGUAGGAAAAGACAAUCAAAAGAAAAAAGAAUACGAAUGAUGUUGGUCAGUGAAUGCAACUUUUAUAUGUUAGUGUAGCUCCGUUUUAUUAAUACCCUUCUCCCCUUUCCUAGCUACUCAAUAUUGUGGCAUCUUUAAUACCCUAAAGUUUUUCAAAUCUGAAUACUGAAGUAAUUCCCAGCAUGUUUAUCCAUAUAUUAAAGUUCUGUAGAAGGAAGAAGCAGCAUGCAACUUGUGCUUCAUGACUACGGUAGAGGAGUAAUUUAUGCACCACCUGGAAACAGCUUCCAGAGAAUUUUGGUUUGGUUUGAAGACCUGAGCACCAACUUUGGGGUGGUAGUGUUAGCGAAAGUAAAUGAAUGCUUUAAUGAAAAUGCAACCUUUAUGGAAGAUACUACGGAGUUAAGAGACUGGGAAAAGCACCGCAAAAUGCUAGAUUAUUGUUUCUGAGGAUGCAAACCAUGAAAAGCUUAAAAGCAGUCAGUAUUGCUAACAGUAUGUAUGCCUUGGACAGCUGUUGAAGAUUUUUGUUUCCGCAUUUGCAUACUGAUUGAAGAAGGUCUGAGCCAUCUGCAUCUAUCUGCUUGUGCCGGUGGGUUGACUUGAUCUAUCCACAGUACAAAUGUAACGCCUUGGAGCCACGAGAUAGUCUUUAGGCCUUGUUUGAUAUUCCAAUUCAGCACUUAGUUUAAUGGAUUCAGAUCUUAAUAUGUUUAGAUGCGCCUGAUAACCAAAAUUUGAAUAUCUGAAUUAAUUAAAUAUAAUGUCUCGGAGCCACAAGAUAGUCUUUAGGCCUUGUUUGAUAUUCUAAUUCAGUACUUAAGUUUAAUAGAUUCAGAUCUUAAUAUGUUCAGAUGCGUCUGAUAACCAAAAUUUGAAUAUUUGAAUUAAGUAAAUGAUACUGAAUCUCCUAGGCAAAACUUGCUCCGUAAAAUAAGUGAUAAACCUUUAACUUAUUAUUGAAUAUAAUAUAGACUCAAAUUUAUUAGAUUUAAUACUUAAUAAUUCACUAAUUUAAUGAAUUCAGAUUUCAGAUUUUAGAUUUCAGUUUUCAGACUUCAAUUUUAUCAAAUGCACCCUAUGUAACUUUUGAGCGGAAUCAUGGGUUUAAAAUGAUUAACCCAAUUUAUUUACUAGCCCAUGGACCUAGGAUGUUAUACUAAUACUUUCUUCCUUGAUGUCCUUUUGUGGGAUAGAGUUGGGAUCUCAUAUUCACACCUACUUAAGGACUUUGUGUCCUCAUAAAACUCAUCUCAAUCUAAAUUGCCCACUUGGUCAUACUUAAACUAUAGAGGUAGCACGCAACUCCUUGCACAUUCCGUGUUCGAACUCUGGAGGUGAUCCCCGUACAUGGUAGCCUCCACCAUGCUCAAAAUCUGGAGGUAGUCUUCGUACAGUGUCCACUUGAUCAUGCUCGGACUUUAGAGUUGACCCUUAUACGUGGCACAUGGGUCCUACUUGGACUUUGGAGGUGGCCACCCAUACGCGGCAUGUAGUUCCUUGCACUUCUCAUGUUUGAACUAUAGAGGUAGCCCUCAUACAUGUGGUUGAAAAGUUAGCUUGAUCGAUCCUUGAUUUUGAUGAUUAACAAGGCAAAAUAAUGAUUUAGACUAAUAUCUUUUCAUGAGAAAGUUACUAGAAAUAGGUCCAAAAUCAAUGAAAAAUGAAAGGAGGAAAAUAAAAUUUGAAUGAAACUUAUCGCUUAAGGUCGAAUGCAAAUUUGGACAUUGGUUAGUAGGAUCAAACAUCCAAAGAAUGAAGAAAAUGCCUACUAUGAUGAUCAGACGAUGGGUCGGAUGCACAACAUGCCUAUUGGACAUCCAAUAAGUUGACUAAACUCUCUAUGAACUCUCCAUUUCUAUUGGAUGUGUCUCUCGGAUGCUACAUCGACCGUCUAAAACUCCUAGUGAAGACCAACUCAACAACUUUCGGACAUAGGGUCAGACAUAGAAUCGAAUUAUUGGACGCCCAACAACUCCAACGGCUAGUUUUUUAACAACUAGUAUUUUAAUUAUUGGAGAGACUUUUGGAUUAAAUUUCACUAUCUAUGAAUACCCCAAUUCUGAAUAUUGGAGAGAUUUUUGCCUACAAUACUACAAGAUUUGUAAGAGUGAUUUUAAGGGAAAAUACUCUUGUGUGUGGGUGUACUUGUAAUUUUGGUGAGGUUGAAAAGUGUAGUAGUAACGAGAAUUUACCAUGCACCAAAUUUUAAUAAAACCUAAAUACCUCUUUUUCUGCAAGUGUAUAUAUCAUUUAUUGAGUACAAGGAUAUUAGGUGUCGAUCCCACAGGGAAAAUUGUCAAUUAUCGAUGAUUUUUGAACUCUUUUAUGAUUUAGACUACCAUAAAUGCAAGAGAUUAAAUAUAUACAACAAAUAUGAAAAAAGAGUAGUAACAAUAUCAAUAACAAAUUCCUGGGAUUAUGGAAUUCCUUACUACUCUUGUAAAUGAAAUUAUCGAUUAGUUGAAUGUUAUUAUCUUGGUUAGUUAUGGAGUAAUUUCUUAAUAUAUGUGAAACCUACUCUCGUAGUGAAUCAACUAUACUUGUAACUAAACCAUACUUACUCUUGUGGUUAUGAAAUUAACUACAAGUUUAUUUAUUCUAUGAAACUACAUGGAACAAGUCACUAAUGCCACAAAGGUGCACCUCUACUCUCGUGAGUGUACUCCCUAGAUUUAGCACUUCUUGAACCAGUGUCAAAUCCCAAUUCUCAUUGCAAACUUAACACUUUAAGAUUAUAGCAAUUAAUAGUCAUUAAUCAUGAUUAGAUAAGCAAAAGUGCUGAAUAACUUGUUCAAAAUAAUAUCAUCAAAUAACCAAUUGAAUAUCACUAACAAGAUAUAUAAAAUUUAUCCAUAAAUCUAGGUAUAAACUUUAGCAAAACACGAAGAGAAUGAAAGAAAAGACCAUACUUGUAUUAUAGUUAAGCAUGAAUUCAAAUACAAAAGAGAAAAUGAUAGGAAAGAAGUUACCCUUGUCUCCUGAGUUCCAAACUCCCCAUCUCCUUAAUUCUUCAUCCAAAUCUAGUUACAAGUACAAGUUGAAUAAACUACACUAACAAUACUAUACUAAUGAACUAAGAAAAUCUAGUAAAGACUACAUUUUGGUAGUUUCUCUAGCCUUCCAAAGUUAUAUAACAAGCUCAACAAAGGCCCUAUUUAUAGAGAAUUAAACCUCCAAAUAAGUUGUUACAGUUGAUGUAAAAUGCUUUUGAGAUUCCUAAAAUAUUCUUCUACAAGUCUCCAUACUCUUCUUUAUAGCUACAGCUGAAAUUCUUGCUGGAAUUGAGCUCUAAAAAGUUGUAAAAAAUUAGAGAAAGUGGGUAUGCAAGUUGCACAACUUUCUUAAGAAUAUGCAAGGUCAAUAUGUAGGUGUAAGGCCGCAUAUUGUGCCUGCGUAUUGUGCCUACGUAUUGCCUCCACUGCAUGUAUGCACUUUUUAGAUCAAUCUUCAACUUUGCUUUGUUUUUGUACCAAUUUCAAUUGAUAUUUUAUUGAUGAUGAAUGCUGAAAUAGCUCUUAUACAAAAUAUGAAAGUUGCAGUCCUUUGAGUUAGCUUUUCAAUAGAGCAAGAAUCGUUUAAUUUGGAGCUCUGUAAACUAAGAAAUGAUCAAAAUAUUCUUGACUAGUCAAUCCCCUAUUUCAGCUUUUAACAGCAAAAAAGGCCGACUGUAUUUCAACUUUUUGGCUAGGAAACCUCUUGAACUGGGUUUUGAUAUCAUGAUAGGAAAUGUAGAACUUUGUCUUAGCUUCAAAAUAGCUUAAGAAUCAUCUUAAUAUGAUACUUGUAUCUCAAGAUAUAACCAAAAUACCAAAAUGUGUCAAACCUGUCAAACAUUUCUUCUUUUAUACUUGAUUGCAUUUCAUCUUUUAAACAUUUUGCACUUCAUAUUCUCUUUAAAUCACUUCAACUCAUCAACAAUCAUUCAAAUAUCUUCUCAAUUCACUGCAUUUGAUGAUUGAAUCAUUAAAACCUACAAAACAUGAAGUUUUCACCAUUUGAACAUAUACAAAUGCAAAUUUUCACACUUUGAACCACAAAAUGCAUAAUUCAUUAGAAACCUAGUUAAUUAGCUAUAAAAAUGAAUAAAACAUACCAAAACUAAAUAAUAAAAUACAAUUAAAAAAAUAUUGUGUAGGGUUUCUACUAACCUAUGCCUUGGUUUUUUUCGCCAUGGAAGAGCUCUAUUUAGCUCAUUCGGCGCGAAAACUAGAGUUUUCUCUGUUCUUGAACAAGUUGCAAGGAUGGUUAAUUCUGCUAAGAAACCAGUUCAUUUGACUCUUAGUGAGUUCCAGUAGCUUUCUACUUCAGAUCUUUGGCUUGGAAAAAUCCCUAUCUUAAAUGGGGAAGCUUCGGGUUCUGAAAAUCCUAUGCUUAGUACACCUGAUAGAAAUUGCUCUUGGGCAGAGGUCAUUCAUUCUAGAGGAGUAGUUCAUGAUGGGAUUGGGCUUUCUUACUUUUCUCCACUUGUUGGAACUGAUGAGGUAACUUUCAUCAUGGAUGAUGUAUCAGAAGGCUUGGCGAAAUGGAAGAAUGCAUUGAUUGGGCAUGUAAUGGGUUCUCGUCCUUCUUUCCAGUCUAUGAAGCAGUUUGUUGACCAAAAUAGGGCAAACAUGGCAAAAUUGAGGUAACUUUGUUGAAAUCCAGACUUUUUUUCUUUCAAUUUGAAGAUGAGGACGCUAAAUUGAAGGUUUAUAGCAAAAUGUUGUUUGUCAAACCGUGGUCUCCUGCUUUGGAAUUAACUAAAGAGGAAAUUUCUUCUAUGCCCAUUUGGAUUAAAUUUCAAAUCUGAAAUUGCAUUACUACUCUCCUAGUUGCCUAAGUAAGCUGUCUAGUUAUGUUGGUAUGCCUCUCUUUACUGAUAAACCUACUACUAAUCAGUCCACACUGUCUUAUGCACGAGUGUGUAUAGAGAUAGAUAUCCAUAGCACUUUGCCUACUAGCAUCCUUAUCUUGAAUGAAAAGGGUGAUAAGAUAAUGCAAGAGGUGGUAUAUGAAUGGAUUCCUCCAAAAUGUAGUUUUUGUGGUAAGUUUGGUCAUACGUUGGCUAACUAUGGAGCAAAGCCACAAGUUUAAAAAUUUAGGAAGCCUAAAGUUGAUUAGGUUAAAGAAUCAGUGAUUGAAACAAGGAUUGAACUAGUGAUUGUACCUGUACAUGAACCAAUGAUGGAAGAGUUUACUACUGUAGCCACUACUAAAUCAACGAAUUGUUUAGUGAACAUAUCUGACACUAAUGAGCAAACGGAGGUCCAUAUUGUGUUUCAAGAAAAGGAACAUAGGCCUUCAAAUAAGUAUAGAAGAGUAAUCCCAAUCUCAGCAGUGGAGAUUGUACUUCCCGGACUACAUUGUUCAACUCAAAAUAUUAAUACCCCCAAUUCAUUUGCUGCUUUGACAGAUAUGCCAGUAGAGAUUGACGUAAAGGCUAAAUGAGACAGAGUAGAUAAGAAGAAUGGAUCACAAAAAGCGAAUGGAAGAGGUAAGACCACUACGGCCCCUAUAACAUGAAUAUCAUUUGCUGGAACAUUAGGGGUUUAAAUCAACCCCAUAAACAAGUAGCUAUGAGAAAUAAAGUAGAUACUCUACACUUAGAUAUGUUCGGAGUUAUAGGAAAUAAAGUUUGAAUUGUGAACUAUGCUACUGUGUAUAAGAAGUGUUUUCCUACUUGGCAUUGUGUAUAUAAUACACCUUCUGUUGGAAUUGGUAGAAUCUAAUUUUGCUGGGAUCCUAUUAAAGUACAAGUUACACCUGUGAGUGUUCAUGAGUAGGUUAUUACUUGUCAUGUGGUUCAUCCCAAUUGGCAAAGUAGUUUUGUUGUCUCUUCUGUAUAUGCUAGAAAUGAUAAAGAGGAUAGAAGAGCCUUACGGAGUGAGCUGUGUAGGCUCCAGAAUAUAAUACAUGAUUAUGCUUGGAUUCUAAUGGAGGACUUCAAUAUAAUCCAUUAUGAUUAUGAAAAAUCUGGUAAUAUGGAAAGAGACCAGCCUGCAAUAUCUAAAUUUGAAGAUUGCUUCAACAAAUUAAUGUUGAUGAUUUGCCAUUCAAAGGCUAUUUACUUACCUGGUGCAAUGGAAGGUUUGGUUGAGAUCGGCUCUAUUGCAAACUUGAUAGGAUAUUAUGUAAUGAGAAAUGGAUGCAAUUAUUUCCUCAUCAAGAAGCUGAGUUUGUGGAUCUUGAAGUAUCGGAUCAUUGUGCUGGAUUACUUAUUAUUAAGAAAUAUUUUAAUUUUGGACCUAAUCCUUUCAAAUUUCAUGGAUUUUGGAUGUCUCACAAUGAUUUUCCUCAACUACUUCAUAAGGCAUGGUCUACUGAAUUUCAAGGUGACCCCAUGAGGACUUUCUGUUUGACGCUAAAAGAGGUGAAGAUAACAUUAAAAGAGUUAAAUAAGAAAGAAUUCUGGGAUAUCUCUGCCAAAACUAUCCAUGCACAAGAGGCUCUAUACUCUGCUCAAAGGCAACUACAAUAGGCUCCUUAUGGCAUACACUUGCAAUUUAUCGAGAAGAAAUGUCUAUCAGCUUAUAUUUCUCUUUUAAUUGUUGAGGAACAAUUUUUCAAGGCCAAGUCCCAAACUGAUUGGCUACUCUCAGGGGAUAGGAAUACAAAAAUUUUUCAUAAGAAGAUGAAAAUGCAUUAGAGGAGGAAUAGUAUUUUAUCUAUUCAGAAUAGCAGUGGACAUAAAGUGGAGGAUUAUGAGGAGGCCAAGAGCAUCAUAGUGAAUUUCUUUCAAGACUUGUUUUCUGAACAAGGGACCUUUAUUAAAGUACACAGUGCUAGAUUGUGUCAACUUAUUGUAAACAAAAUAAGCAAUGACCAGGCUAAUGAGCUCUAAAAAGAAAUCUCUGAUAGUGAAAUGUAGUCAGUGUUAUUCUCUAUGAAGUAAGGUAAGGCUCCGGGACCUGAUGGUUUUCCUGUAGAAUUUUUGUAAAAAAUUGGGGAGUUGUGCAAAUUGACUUUAUCAAAGUUGUUAAAUACUAUUUUAGUGAUAGCAAAUUUUAUCCUCUAUUGAAUAGUACAAUCAUUUCCCAAGUUCCAAAAGUGCCUAACCAAUCAACUAUGAAAGAAUAUAGGCCUAUAUCUUGUUGUAAUACAGUUUACAAGAUCUUCUCCUAAAUCUUAACUAAAAGGAUGAAGAAAGUGCUACCAAAAUUGAUAUGUAAUCGCCAAAAUGCCUUCCUAAAAGGUAGAGUGAUCUCAGAUAAUAUACUUUUGAUGCAUGACAUUGUAAAUGGGUACCACAGGGAUACUGGACAGGUUAAAUGUGCUAUGAAAAUUGACUUGGUUAUGGCCCAUGACACUGUUAGAUGUGAUUUCUUAUUCACUAUUAUGGAAUGUAUGAAUUUUCCUAAAACGUUCAUUUGUUGGAUUAAGAAAGGAUUGUUUUCACUCUGAUUUUCACAGAACAUGAAGAGAGCUUUAGUUGGGUAUUUUCCCAGUUCUAGAGGAUUAAGACAGGGUGAUCCCAUCUCACCAUAUCUUUUCCUUCUUGCAAUGAAAAUUUUCUCUCUUUUGUUUGAUGAAACUGCCAAAGGACCUGACUUUCAAUUUCAUCCAAAAGGCCAAUAACUUGGAACAUCUCACCUCAUUUUUACUGAUGAUUUAUUCCUCAUUUCUGUUGCAAACCCUGGUUCCUUUAAUAUCAUGAAAUCCAUUCUUGAGGAAUUCUCUUAUCUAUUAGGACUAUCCCUUAAUUUGUACAAGAGUGAAGUCUUCUUAUCAGGUAUUAAUGAAGAGCACGGUCUAGAACUAUGUAAGAUCCUAGGAAUCAAGAGAGGCUAUCAACUUGUCAAAUAUUUGGGUGUGCCUUUGAUAAAUAUCAAAUUAUCCUUCAAGGAUUGUUCCCCUAUCAUUGAGAAGAUAAUGAGGAAAAUAGAAGGGUAGAGCAAUAAACUAUUAACUUACGCUGGUCAAUUGCAAUUGGUUAAGUCCGUGUUGCUUAGUGUUCAGUUCUAUUGGAGUAGUGUAUUCUUAUUACAACGAGCUGUUAUUAAGAGGAUUGAACCUAUGCUUACUACAUUCUUAUGGAAAAGAAUAGAUUCUAUCAAGAAUGGGAUCAAAGCAUGUUGGAAGGAAAUGAGCAAACCUAUUAAACAAGAAGGGCUAGGAUUACCUAAUUUGACUAAUUGGAAUAAGGCAUUAUUGUUUAAGUAUAUCUGGCACAUAGCACUUAAAAAAGAAUCUCUUUGGAUUGCUUGGGUUCGCACUGUGGAGCUCAAAAAUAAAUGUUUCUGGUCUAUUUCAUUGCGUCAAUCUUGUUCUUUGGUUUGGCAUAAAUUCCUUCAGAUCAAAUCUAUUAUACAACCUUUUAUUGCCUGAGUGAUCAAAAGUGGAGAAAAUACUUAUCUCUGGUAUGAUAAUUGGCACCAUAGAGGGCCAUUGUUGAUAGCUUAUGGGCCCAAUAUGGUGCGACAAUUUGGAAGUACGUUACAGGCUAAGGUUUCUUCUAUCAUUGAAAAUGAAGAGUGGAAGAUCCACAAUAGUAGGAGAAGAAUAGCUAAAGUAGAUGAUUUUGCACAAUUUGUUCCUUCUAGGCAGUCAUUAAGCGAGGAAAUGUCAGAUAUAGUGAAAUGGUUACCCAGUAAAUCAGGUUUGUUCUCUGUCAAAUCUGCAAUUGAAGUGUUGAAUCAUUUUGCUACUAAGGUCUAUCGGCAUCAUCUUGUGUGGUUUAAAAAAUAUAUCCCAAAACAUUCAUUUAUCUUAUGGUUGUUGUGCAAGAACAAAUUAAGCACAAAGGACAGGUUGGUUAAAUGGGGCAUUAUGACUGAAAUGAAAUGUCUACUAUGCUGUACUGGAAAUGAAUCUUGUAAUCAUCUCUUUUUUCAAUGUGAGUAUGCAGCUUAUAUUUGGUCAAGAAUACAUCAAUGUUGCUUGCAAUAUCGAGGGACUUAUGAAUGGAUACUAAAGUUGAAUGGUUUAGUUGUCAUUGGAAGAAAGAAUGCUUUAUAAACACAGUAAAGAAGUUGGCACUGGGAGUAGCUGUAUAUUAUAUAUGGAAGGAGAGAAAUUAUAGGGUGUUCCAAUAUAAAGUCUCUGAUGCUGACAUUGUUGCACACAGAGAGCUAAAGGAGAUUCGUUGCUGUGUGGCAAAAUGGAGGAAUGUAUCAAGUACAAGAGACAACUGAUUAUUUUGCCUUAGUUGGGAUUUUCCCCAAGUGAUUUUCCUUAAAUGUUGAUAGCAUAAUCGGCGUUUAGUUGAUUAUAGUAAUACUAUUGUAUAGCUUAAAUGUUGAUAGCAUAAUCGGCGUUUAGUACAUUGUAGCAAUACUAGUGUAUAGCUUAAUUGGUUGUAGCAGUACUUUUGUGUAGCGGAUUCCUCUGCUCUUGUGUACAUUCAUGUUCUAUUCAAUAAAAUCCCUAUUUACGUGAAAAAAUUACACUUAAAUCACUCAAAAUGCACACUUAUCAAAUUCUUCCACACUUAAACUAUUAAUUGUUCUCAAGCAAUUAAGAAUUACAAACUAUCAUAAUAGUUCGAAUAUAUCCCUUUAGCCUAUAUGUCUUUCAAAUUUAUUUCUUCAAUAAAAAGGUAAAGCACCAUUAUAUAAUCAUUCUUUUCAUCACAAAUACUUAUCAUAUCAAGUAAAUGAGAGAGAAUUAUAUUAAGAGUUAAGACUCGUUGAAUUCAUUUACUCCCCUCAACCAAUAGCGGAGUCAGAAAAAAUUCUUAGUGGAGCUAAAAAAAUUUUCUACUCUUUCUCUAGUAUUUUAAGCAAAAAAAAAAUCACCAAAAAGUACAAACGAUGCAUAUAUUCCAUGAAAAGCAUAAAAAUACAAACUCAAAAUUAUUAAUUUUAUUUCAAAAAAUAAACUAAACCAUUUACAAUUGCUCAUAACUAAAUUUUCAUAUUUUGAUAACGUUUUACAACCUUUUCAUUUUGAACUUCACAAAUUAUAUUUUUUUCAAUAUAUGUAAUUGAAUAAUCAUUCAUCCAAGUGUCACCUAUUCUAUUUCGUAACCAAUUCUUCACUAUAUUCGUAGCUGAAAAAGCCCUUUCUAUGGUAGUUGUAGCAACAGGCAAAAUCAAAACCAACUUUAGGAGCAUAUAAACUAAUGGAUACACAAUAUCUCUUUUAGUCUCCACCAACUUUUGAGCUAGAUUAGAGAUUUUUCUUAAAUCUAGAAAUUCCUUAGCUGAUUUCAAGUCAUUAAUAUAAGUAUCCAAUUCAGUGUCAAGUGCAAGAACAUCCAACUUAGAAAACUCACAAGGAUAAUGUUUUGCAAGAAGAAUCAACUUUUCUUAUCAAAUGCUGCAAAGGAAUCACUUGGGUUCAAGCAUGCCAUGCAAAGAAACAACUCCAUAUUAAUUCCAUUGAAACGAUUGUUGAGUUCUUGGAGUUGUAAAUUUGUCACAGUACAAAAUAGCUCAACUUGAUAGUGGUGAAGGUUUGUAAUUUGAUGAACUUUUCUUCGAGAUCUCCCACUAGUAAUGAAUAUUUCAUCCAUUUUCAGAAUGAUGAUCUUAUGUUUUUUACAAAACAAACAAAUUUCAUCAAGUAAAAAAUCCCAUCCAUAUUCCCUAGUUGCUUGUAAUUGUUGCUUGGAAACUUUGACCAGACCCAUAACAUUGACAAUAUCUUGAUCCUUCCUUUGUAAUGCUUCAGAUAGUGCAUUCGUUAUUCCCAUGAUUUUCUUCAUCAAGUGUAAAAUAAAUGCAAAUUUAAAAGAUUGCAAAGAAUUAAGAAAUGCAUAUGCUUGACCUUUUUGCUCCACAAGACCAUCAUUUUCAAUUAUCAAAACAACAUCUAUUACAGAAUCAUACAUAAGAACCAGCUUUAACAACAAUCCAAAAUGUGAACCCCAACGUGUAUCACAAGUUCUUUGAGGGCUAGUUUUUUUAUUUAAGCCCGGACCACUCACAAGUUCUCCAGUCAUUAGAUCAUCAACAACUUUCUUAAGUCAUUGUUCUCUAAGAAUUUCUUGUCUUUUAGAUGAACCUUCAAGAACAUGCACUAAGGUAGACAAUGUAUUAUACAUAGAAGAGACUUGGACAUGUUUCUUUGCAACCCCUACAAGUGACAAUUAAAGUUGAUGUGCAAAACAAUGAAUAUAAUAUGCAGAACCAUUUUCCUUCAUGAUCAAAGUCUUUAAACCAUUAUAUUCACCUCGCAUGUUACUAGCACCAUCAAAACCUUGACCACAGAUUGUGAUAUGCCCAAACCAUGCUUUGAAAAUAAAACAUCAAUUGCUUUCUUAAGUGAAAAAGCAGUAGUAUCACUUACAUGUAGAAUGCCAAGAAAACGCCCAAUCACAUAUCCAUGUAAAUCCACAUAAUGUAUAACAACUGCUAAUUGCUCCUUUGUUGAUGCAUCAUGAGAUUCAUCACAUAAAAUAGCAAACAAUCUAUGUCCAAUGUCAUUUACAAUAAUGCUUGUAGUCUCACUUGCCAAAGCAUUUGUAAUAUCCUUUUGAAUAUUUGGAGCAAUGAGUUUGAGAUUUUUAGGGGCAUUUUCAAGAAUAACCUUUUUAUAUCAUCAUUAUGACCCGUAAGGAAGUGCAAAAGUUCACAAAAAUUUCCUUGAUUUUUAGAGAUAUGGGAUUCACCGUGAUCACAAAAAGCCAAACCUUGGUGUAGGAGAAAUCUAGCACAAUGUACUGAGGCUAAUAAAUGAAUCCGAUAAUCAGCCCUCAUUUUCUCUGAUUGCUUAGCUUAAAAAAUGCCACUUCGAUGUGCUGAUUUUGAUUUGCUUAUUUUGAUUUAAUAAACUUUGACAUUUACUCCAACCAAGAUUGUGUGCACUGUUAGGACCACCAAAAUGAACAUCAAAUCUAUCCUUUUUUUCAAUUGGUGAAUCCUUCCUUAAUGAAACUAUCAUCACCAGAUUGUUCACCCACAUCUGGUCUAUAUAGAUAACAACAUAAGCAAUAAGCGGCAUCUUUUUCAAUACUAUAUUCCAACCAAUUCUUGUAAUCAUCAAACCAGCCCCGGACUAAUCGACGCAUUUUUUUCCUAUCUUUCAUUGUGGAAAAACAUGCUCAUGAGGUUGACAUGGUCCAUUUUUUAAGUAAUAUCUCUGAAUUUCAUCGUGAAGGUUUGGAUGAUAAUCCUUAAUUUUUUCCCUUUGGGCAGGAUUUGCAGGUAAUUCAUCUAAGUUAAUCCCCAAGCAACUUUUUUUAUUGUCAUUUUUUGCACUUUCAUCAUCCUUGGCUUCUUCUUUAUUAGAUGACUCUUUUUCCAUUGACUUCCUCUUGAAAUAUCUCUCCAUAGCUAAAGAAAUUAAAAUCAAUAGAUAAGAUACUAAUCAAAUUAAAAUAUUAAAUAGACAAUAAAAUCUAUCCAAGAACUAUUUCACAAGUUAAAGUUAUUUAUUAAAUGACUUAUUUAUUCAUUACUACAUCAAAUCAUUCACCCCAACAUAUGAACCUUAUCAAGUUAAUUAGACAAAAGGAUCCAUAUAAGAAUAAUUUGAAAGUUAAAAAUAUAUGUCAAAUGGCCCUCUAUUCAUCAUUACAUUAACUCCAAUACAAGAAACUAAUCAAGGCAAAUAAAAAAUAAAUUAGAAAUCCAUAAAAGCACCAUUUCACAAGUUAAAAUAUUUAUCAAAUAAUCCAUUUAUUAGUUAUUACACUAACUAAUCAGUUUUCAAAUUUCUUUAAAACAGUAAUAAUCUCAUGCUCUAGAAAUAUAUUUGCAAACAAAUUCAAAAUAACAAUAAGAAGAAGUAAUUGUUUUGAACCUGAUUUUGAUGACCUCCUAAAGUUGGUGAAAAAUUUAGAAAAAAGUUGCAAUGAUCAGUGGCAGACCCAGAAGAUCAACUGAUUCUAGUGCAAUCUCUGAAUCAAAUGAAGUGAUCAAGAGAAAAAAUAGGGAAAACAGGGGACCAAAGGAGAGAAGGAAGAGUGGUUCUUGGUUGUGGGGGGAAAUUAGGGACCAAAGAAGGGAAGAGAAACUGGGGAGUGGGGACCAAAGGAAGUGAAUGAUAUGAUUGGUACUUGGUAGUUGAAAUGAAAAGAUUUUUUUAGCUUAUUUAAAAUGAAAUUUUGUGGCCCACAUAUUCUUUUAAAAUUUGAAUUCAUGAACUAACUUAGAGGACCACAUAAUUCUUUCACAUCAUUCAUAAGAAAACUUCAGAGAGCACACUUGAGAUUAUAUCACAAAAUUCUAUGUGUAUUAUAGGAAUUUAAGAGGGGCAGUGGGGGCGCCACCUUAAAUCCGCCAAUGCCCUCAACUCAAUUUCAGCUUUAUGAAACUCACAUGGCCAAGUCAAGGCAUACAAAUUCCAUGAUCAUCUUUAUUUACUCAAAAGAGGGAUUUAUUCAAUACACAACAAAUAGUUUCCUCAAGUAGUGAAGAUAUCUUUUGAUGUGAAGAUCGACAUUGGUAGAUAAAGACCUCCAUCACUAACUAGAGUUGCUUUUGCAUACUCAUAAUUCAAGAGCCAUUUUAUGCAAAAUUCAACAUUUGUAGAUGAAGACUCGCGAUUACUAAGUUUCAAGAAUCAUUAGAGUUGCACUUUUAUUUGUUCUUUCUUUUUUUUUAAUUACUUCCCUCAUAUAGAAUGAUUAUACAAAAAAUAAUGCAAAUAUUGGCCAUAUUCAUCGCUCAAAUUGUGAAAUUCAAUCAAGAUAGAAAACUUAUCAAGCAUGUAAAAUUUAAGGUAUAAUUACUUCCACUUUGCAAAAUAUACUUUCUUCAUAGCAAAAAUUCUAGUCACAUAAGAGUUAUUUCCAAAUCAAAUAGGAAAUGAGAUUCUUAAGACACAUAAAUUUUAGGGAAAAUCGUUCAAAACGUCCCUCACAUUUUACAGGAUGAUUUUUUCAUCUUGGUCCCUACCUAGGUUUUUGACUAGUUUUUUACCGGAAUUCACCACGUGACUUACAUGUGAUCAUUUUUUAAGGGCAAAAUUGUCAAAUCAAAUUUUUGCAUAAUCUGAUUUAUAGUUCCUCACAUUUCACAAAAUGAAUUUUUUCCUCCCUAACAUUUUACAAAAUGAAUUAUUUCGUUUCUCACAUUUCAAAAAAUGAAUUUUUUCAUCCCUCACAUUUUUUAAAAUGAAUUUUUUAUCCCUCAUUGAUCAUGUGUCUGAAAAGUUUUUUUUCUUUAAACCCACGUAUAUGUCUAUUUGAUUUUAUCUGAACAGUACGAAUAACAUGUAAUUUAUCUCUAUUGGAUUUUAUCUAAACAUGCUAAUCAUAGUUAUACACAUGCUAUACAAUAGAUAUAUAUAGAGGUUUAAAACUAAUAAUUUUGUUUGAAACCCAUGUAUAUAUUUAUAUGAUUUCACCAUUUAAACCUAUUCAAUAUUCACCUGCUAUUCAUAUUGUUCAAGUGAAAUCAUCCAAUCUCUCGGUCCCUGCAGAAGGAAAAAAGAAUUUCAUGCUCUUCCUUUCAGGAAGGGAGGAUUAGGGAAAUCCUAUUGAUUGCAGCUUUUUCCAGACCCCCCGGAAAGACAUGAAAAAAAAAGCUCGAAUGAUACGAUCCCAGUACAACAUUUGAAUAGCCAUGAGAUGAUCAUCUUAGGAUAAUCCUUUUGUCGACGGAUGCUCCUAUUACACUUCCGGUCGAGAUGUAUAGAUCCUGUUGAUGGAUUAACAAAAAUGUGCAAAAGUAAGUGAAAUAGAUAAACUAAAAUAUAAUAUAUAAUAUAUUAAGUGUAUAGAUACAAUCAGAAUGAAAACAAAUUCAACAAAGACAUUAGACAAGGCAAUCAAAGUGUUGAGCUAACAAAUAAAAAAAGAUUUUCUAAUGCAUUCAAAACAAAAACAUAAAAAUGAAAUGAAUAGAGGCAGAUGAAAAUACAAGAAAUUCUCAGAAAAAAUUCGAUAAAAAAAAAGAUAAAUAUCAAAUUUAUAGACCGACCCCCCUUAAUUUGUCCCGUAUUACUUAACUGCUUUUUCUUUUUAUUUUUAUUGUACUUGCAUCUUGACUUCUAUUUUUCUUAAUACUUUUCUUUCCUAAAAGAAAUCUUUAUUUCGAUUGGAGUUGAUCCGCCCCUGUCUUGUCUAGUAUAUAGUAUCUCAAAAUGGCCAACUUCUCUCACUUUCUAUUAAAAAUCAAAUGUGGAUUUUCAUUCGCAAAAGUAAAAAUUUAUGAGAAAUUUGAACCAUUAACUAUUAACUGCUGACUGCGAAUUCAUGAACGGUUUGAAUCUCAAAAUUGGAACAGAUAACAUUCGAGAUUAUGCAGGAUUAUACAUGAAAGAUCCUUUUUUGGCUCUCUCUUUAGCCCUAUGUCUCUUAUCCCUAGGAGGCCUGCCUCCACUAGCAGGUUUUUUCAAAAACUCUAUUUAUUCUGAAUGUGAUACGAUGAGAUAAAAUGCAAAGACAAGGAACGGGUUACCUACUCUUAACGGACAAAGCGAGCCCCUUUAUUCUGAAUUCUUUAAUUCAGAGUAAAUCAAAUCUCCCCAAGUAGGAUUCGAACCUACGACCAAUCGGUUAACAGUCAACCGCUCUACCACUGAGCUACUAAGGAACAAUGGGAGAUUAGAUCUCAUAGAGUUCAAUUCCUGUUCUCAACCCAUGACCAAUAUGAGCUAAAGCUUUUUUUCUAUAAACCGACGUAUAUGUCUUUUUUAUUUUAUCUGAACAGUACGGAUAACAUGUAAUUUAUCGCUAUUGGAUUUCAUCUAAACAUGCUAAUCAUAGUUAUACACAUGCUAUACAAUAGAUAUAUAUAGAGGUUUAAAACUAAUAAUUUUGUUUGAAACCCAUGUAUAUAUUUAUAUGAUUUCACCAUUUAAACCUAUUCAAUAUUCACCUGCUAUUCAUAUUGUUCAAGUGAAAUCAAUAGAUAUAUACAUGGAUUUAAAAAAAAUUAUUCACACACAUGAUCAAUAAAAGAUGAAAAAAUUUAUUUUGAAAAAUGUGAAGGAUAAAAAAAUUCAUUUUGUGAAAUGUAAAGGACGAAAAAAAUUUAUUUUAUGAAAUGUGAGGGAUUAUAAAUCGAAUUAUAUAAAAUUUGAUUUGACAAUUUUGUUCUUAAAAUAUAAUCACAUGCAUGGCACGUGGUGAAUUCUGAUAAAAAACUAGUCGGAAAUCUAAGUUAGAACCAAAUUUGACCAAUGAAAAUUUGUAAGGGAUGUAAAAUUACAUUUUUAAAAGUGAGGGACCAAAAAAGUUAUUUUACAAAAUGUGAGGGACGUUUUGAAUGAUUUUCCCUAAAUUUUACUCCAAAUGAAGAAUUUUGACUACUAAUGGUUAUGGACUUCUUUGAAAAUUGACAAAAUUGUGAAAAUACCAUUUUUCUCUAAUCACCAUAAUUAAAAAGGAAGUAAACCUCUCCCCACACUUAAAUUGCACAGUGUUCUCAAUGUGUGAAAAGGAAAAGCAAGGGUAAAAGAAAUACUCCCUCCAUGGUGAAUUGGCCUUUUAUUUGGGAUCUUUGAUGACCUCAUCUUUCUUGAAAUUUAACCAUUAUCUACAUAAAUGAAAAUCAAAGAUUAUAAGUUUCAUAUAAUAACCGUUAGUUUGCAAAAAAUUGAAAAUAAAGGCAACAAACUUUACUACUAAGGUCCAAGAAGUGCAUAUGAUACGUAAAUGAUCAAAUAAUGAACUAUAUUGACCCUAAUGAUUCACCAUGCAAUUAAUAUGCAAAUGUAUGUUUUGAAUCUAAAAAAAAAAAGCCAUACAGAGUCAUUUAGUAUGUUUAUAUAUCCUAAAGCACCUUCAUAUAUUCAUCAUACAAACCUAUGCACAAAUGAGAAUAGAGUCGAAAAGGUGAAAAUGCAAACUAGCAUGCAAAGUUAAAAAAAUUCACCUCAAAAUAGUUAUAUGAGUGAAAUGAAAUGUGACUGAACUAUUUUCACACUCAAAUGACCCUUAACAUGAACUUUAUGCAAAUUGAACUUAAUAAGGACUCAUAAAGAUUAAAUACACCAAUGAUGCGUUUAAUGAUGCAUUUGAAUGUUAAAAACUACUCCAAAUAAUGUUAAUGGUGAAUGCAAGUGUUGAUUGAUCAAGAAAUUUGAAAAAAUAAGUGAAGUGCAUGUGUUUUGCCCAUAAAAAGAAGAAAAAAGAAAUGUUGAGCAAAGUUUCCCUUUUUGGGGAAUUGAAAUACAUAGGCAUGGGAACACACGGGUUGAUACCCACGUUUUGAGGAUGCAUUUUCUCAAGAAAUUAUGAAGAUGAACUAAUAUGCGACCUGAAAACGCAUGCUUAAUGAUAAUGUCAUGGCUAUUCAAGGUUCGGAUGGCAGUGUCGAGGGUCCAAUAGCUUCACGUCAAGUUCGUGUGCCAAUCGAACCAAUUACAAAAGCUCGAGCUAAGCGUCUCAAAGAACAACUUAAUGCUCUUGUCCAAGCUGCCCAUGAGUAGUUCAAAGGGUUCUUGAUUGUUGGGGAUGUUGAUCAAGAUACAAGCAAGCUCGUGAAUUGCAUUCAAGUCGCAGAUGCGCAAGAUUGAAGAUGAAGUCUUGGAAGCCUAACCUACAUUGCAUGAUAGUUGUGUCUCAUUCGAUUAUGUUUAGUUAAGAGUCAAGUGAAAUAAGGAAACUUGCAUUGUUUCCAACACCAAGUAGGUUAAGUCGUAUGGUUAGUUUCCUAAUGUGUUUCGCUUUUAAGUUUCCUAAACUUAGUAGUUUUUGAGGGCCUUGUAAAAUCUAUAUAAGAGUCAUUUUCAUUCAUAAUAAGAUAACAAGAAAUUUUCCAGCAAUUCGAGUGAGCUUUUCUCAUAGUUCUGAGCUUCUCUUGAAUACCUUAGAGGUGCUCUAAGUGUUCAGACUCUGGCUUAUCAAUCAAGAAUCGUACUUGAUCGUGGCGCCUUCUACCAACACCUUUGGUUCGCUAAUCCGUUAGUUUGUGGGUUGAGAUCAUAUCAAGAUUGUUCGCAAUUUCGGGGAUUAGAGGGGUCGUAAGGUUUCCGCUGCCAAUCUAAAUUUGAGUUCCACUAUCAAGAUCCGGGCUUGUGAUCACGAACUCCGUCGCACCCAUGGGAUUCAUAUCAGCUGGUAUCAGAGCUGGUUGAUGGUAUUCAAGUUAUAUCUCUUAUUUCUAGUGUUAUCGUACCUUUUGUGUCAUUCCUAAUCACCUAAGAUUUUGUUCUUCAUCUUGUUGCCAAAUCUGCCCAUUGUUUCCACUUGUGUUGCCUCAAUUUUGGCCUCUUAUUGUGUGUCUUGUGUUGUGUCCAACCUGCUUGUGUGUGGUUUACAGUCUAUUCGUGUAAAAUAAAAAAGGUCAUACUGUAGCAUAGUUACUGUUCAUAGCUACUGUAGCAAAUUCUAGUUCCAAUUCCUAGUUUCCAAAUUCUAGUCACUUAUUUUCAUUCUUUUUCUAGCAGCAAAUUUUGAGUAUUCUUGCGCUAUUUUCUAGUCUUUUCAUUGUAUUUUAGAGUCAUCAAAGUUUCAUUAUUUGCUACCUUCAUCAGUCAUCUUUGCUCGCCAUAAAAUCCCAAGCGAACCGAUAGCCAUAUUGCUACAAUCACUUGAGAUUUUGACAUUGGUAAGUUGAGUUGCUCACUUGAGGGAGUUCUAACUUCUUCAAGGGUUGCAAAAGGGCUGUGAGAAGCUACAUUGUGAGAUUCUUAAAGUGUACUCUUGAGUGAUACACGAGUGCGAGAAUAUAUACGUAAGGGAGUGAAGUGAGGUAUAUUUAUUUCACUAACAUUGUUUUGCAGGUUAAAGUAUCAUGUCUCGGGAAAGUGAAGGAAAUCCUCAACCCGUUGAUAUGAAAAUGCUUGCUGACAUGUUUGAAACAAGAUUCAAAGGAAUGUUGGAGAAAAUGCUAGGCGAUACUUUAGACCCGAUUCAUGAGAAGUUGGUGGGUAAUAACUCCCAAGACACUCCUAAUCCUUCCAAAACCAUUCAUAGGAGGAGGUACAUGGAGGAGUCCACGGAUUCCAAUGACAAAGCGGAGGAACUCUUCAAACGUUCCAAAUCUAAGUCAAGGGGACCAGAUAAACUCUCUGACAUUUUUAAGAGAAUCAAAAUGAAAAUUCUAGAGUUUAAGAGAGGUUUCAAUCCUGAGGCUUAUCUCGAAUGGGACUUCAAAAUCGAGAUGGUGUUUGCUUGCCAAAGCUACACCGAUAAAGAAAAGGUUAAGUUGGCAGUAAUUGAAUUCACGGAGUAUGCAAUCGUGUGGUGGAAUCAACUUAAGCUAUCUCGGAGAAGAAGUAGGUUGCCUGAGAUCAACACAUGGACCGAGCUAAAGGGAAUGAUGAGGACACGUUUUUUACCAGGACACUACUAUAGGGAUUUGUAUCAGAAGCUACAAACCCUUGUACAAGGCAAUAAGAGCGUGGAUGAAUACUACAAGGAGAUGGAGAUCUUGAUGCUACGAGCCGAUGUUCAGGAAGAUAAAGAAGAAACCAUGGCCCGAUUCUUGAAUGGUUUAAGGCCUAAAAUCGCGGAGAGGGUGGACUUUAUCACUACAUGGAACUCCAUGAGUUGGUGGAGAAAGCUGAUGAGGUGGAACAAAGACUCAAGAGGAGGGGCCAAGAUCGUUCCAACUUCGGCUACACCACUCCCAUCUAUCGGCCGCUCAAUCCUAAGGGGAAAACAAAAAUUUCAGCCUCAUCACCAUCACAAAAACCAAAAUUUGAGGGUAGAAGUAAUCUUAAGCCAGCCGCUGGAAGGUUCACUAAUUCACCCAGACUUGAGGGGUAAAAGCCAAGAGAAAGAAUACGCGAUGACCGUUGCUUCAAGUGCUAAGGAAGAGGUCACAUUGCCAGCCAAUAUCCCAAUCGAAGAACAAUGAUAACACUAACCAAUAGGGACAUUGUGACUAGGGCUGCAAACGAAUCGAGCCGCUCGCGAGCGGCUCGAGUCAAGCUCGAGUCGAGCUCGAGCCGGCUCGAGUCGAGCUCGAGCUCGAGCUCGAGCUCAGAAUAUGAAGCUCGUUAGCUCGCGAGUCGGCUCGCGAGCUUGGGUAUAUAUAUAUUUUUUUUUAUUUUUAUUUUUAUUUAAUAAUAAAAUUACGUAUAUUAUAUAUUUUUUUUUAUUUUUUAUUUUCAUAGUAAAAUUACGUAUAUAUCCUUAAUAUUUUAUUAUUUAUUAAGAAAAAAAUAUUAUUUUAUUUAUUUUUUUAAAAAUAAAAUAAUUAUUUUUUAUUUUUUUUCGAGCUCGAGCUCGAAAUUUGCCGGCUCGUCGAGCUCGAGCUUGGUAAAAUUUAGUCGAGGCUCGGCUCGAUUAGCUCAAAGCUCGACUCGGCUCGGUUCGUUUGCAGCCCUAAUUGUGACCAAUGACGAUGCAGAGUAUGAGGGAAUGCCACCCCUUAUGGAGGACAAUGAAGGGUUACAUGAUGAAGACGAGCAAGUUGCAUUCGAGGAAAUUUUUGGCACCCUUAUAGUGGUGCGGCCAGUUUUGACCACUCGAGUCAAGGAGGAGGAUGAGCUGCAACGCGGGAAUACAUUUUAUACUCGAUGCUUCAUUAAGGAGGCCCUAUGCAGCGUAAUCAUAAAUAGUGGGAGUUGCACCAAUGUGGCUAGUGCAACUAUGGUGGAAAAUUUGAAAUUGACCAUCCAGGAUCACCCUCGUCCUUAUAAGUUGCAAUGGCUCAACAAUUCUGGGGAGGUUUGAGCUGGCAAACAGGUUCUCGUUUCUUUCCACAUUAGUAAAUAUGUUGAUGAAGUAUUAUGUGAUGUAGUCCCCAUGCAAGCGUCAUAUUAUACUUGGUCAUCCAUGGCAAUUUGAUUGGCGUGUUUCAUUUGACGGCAUCACAAAUAAAUACUCAUUCAUGUACAAUAAUAAGAAAAUUACCCUUGCUCACCUUUCUUCUCGACAAGUGCAUGAAGAUCAAUUGAAAUUGCAAAAAGAGUAUGAAAAAUCGUGUGAAAAAAGAAGAAAAGUAAGGCUGUCGAGGCAAAACAGGAGGAAAAAAAGGCAUGUAUUAGCUCGGCAAUUGAGGCAAAAAUCGAGGGAAAACGAAUGCUUUUGAUAAAAGCCAAAAGAGUGAGGAAGUUAGCAAGUGAAAAUCAGCAACUUCUUCUACUUGUUAGUAAAUAAGUAGCGCUAUCCAUACACGAACUAGAUACUAACUCACCUCCUGAGGUGGUUUCUCUUUUGCAGGAGUACACGGACGUAUUUCCUGACGAUAUUCCAAGUGGUCUACUACCUCUUCAUGGAAUUCAGCACCAAAUCGACUUCAUCCCGGGAGUUUCUCUACCAAAUCGCCCAGCCUAUAAAAGCAAUCCGGAGGCGACAAAGGAGCUUCAAAGGUAAGUCGAUGACUUAUUCAGCAAAGGAUAGGCGCGCAAGAGCUUGACCCCGUGCGCAGUGCUGGUGAUUUUGGUGCCAAAGAAGGAUGGUAUGUGGCGUAUGUGCUCCGAUUAUAGAGUAGUUAACGUCAUCACGGUAAAGUAUAGACACCUUAUACCUCGCUUAGAUGAUAUGCUGGAUGAAUUAUACGGGCUGUUUUCUUUACUAAGAUUGAUUUGAAAAGCGGGUACCAUCAAAUUAGGAUAAAGGAGGGGGAUGAAUGGAAAACUGCUUUCAAAACUAAGUAUGGAUUGUAUGAAUGGUUAGUAAUGCCAUUUGGUUUAACUAAUGCAUCUAGUACCUUUUGCCUAAUGAAUCAUGUUUUACGUCCAUUCUCAGGGAAAUUUAUUGUGGUUUAUUUUAAUGAUAUAUUAAUCUAUAGCAAGUCCUAUGAAACGCAUUUAAAACAUGUCAAAGCUAUUUUGGAUGUGCUUCAAAAGGAACGACUUUACGCCAAUCUCAAGAAGUGCAAUUUUUGCACUAGUGAGUUUGUGUUUUUAGGAUUUGUUGUAAGUGCAUAGGGCAUGCGUGUAGAUAAACAAAAGGUGAAAGUCAUUUUAGAGUGGCCUACGCCUAAAUACGGUGGAGAUGUGCGGAGCUUCCACGGUCUCGCGGACUUCUAUAGGAGAUUCGUGAAGGAUUUUAGCAUCUUAGCCGCACCAUUGACCGAACUCAUCAAGAGGAAUGAAAAGUUCCAUUGGGGAGAUCCUCAAGAAAAGGCUUUUCAACUCUUAAAACACAAACUCACACACGCACCAGUAUUAACUUUACCUGACUUUUCUAAAACCUUUGAAAUUGAUUGUGAUGCAUUAGGUAUUAGAGUUGGUGUUGUGUUGACCCAAGAAGGAAAACCAGUUGCAUAUUUUAGUGAAAAGCUAAAUGGGGCUGCUUUAAAGUAUUCGACUUAUGAUAAGGAAUUGUAUGCCCUAAUUAGAGCUUUACAAGUGUGGCAGCACUAUCUGAAACCUAAGGAGUUUGUGAUACAUACAGAUCACGAGUCCUUUAAGUACUUAAAAGUGCAACACAAUCUCAGUAAGAAGCAUGCACGGUGGAUUGCAUUUGUGGAGUCUUUCCCUUAUGUGAUCAAAUGCAAAACUGGUAAGUCCAAUAUGAUUGCGGAUUCAUUAUCUCACUGGUAUUCUCUACUCACCACCUUAGAUGCUAGAUUAUUGAGUUUUGAAAUGAUUAAAGAUUUGUAUGCUAAAAAUGCUGAUUUUGGGGAGAUAUGUGCUUCUUGUGCAAAAUCUGGUCAAGGUAAGUUUUUCUUAUCUGAUGACUUUCUCUACUCCAUUUGUGAAUUACUGGUAAGAGAGUCUCAUUCUGGCAGUUUAAUGGGUCAUUUUGGAGUUUCUAAGAGUUUGCAAACUCUGCAGGAGUACUUCUAUUGGCCACGAAUGCGACGAGAUGUAGAAAGAGUGAUGGAUCGAUGCCUUACCUGUAAGAAAGCCAAAUCCAAGGUAUAUCCUCAUGAUUUAUAUACUCCUUUACCAAUUUCUAGUGCAUCUUGGGUAGAUCUUUCCAUGAAUUUUAUACUUGAAUUGUCUAGAUCUAAGUAUGACCAUGAUUCCAUCUAUGUUGUAGUGGACCGAUUUUCUAAGAUGGCACAUUUCAUUGCAUGCCAUAAAACUGAUGAUGCAACUCAUAUUGCUAACUUGUUUUUUAAGGAGAUCGUGAGAUUCAUGGUAUUCCUAGAACCAUAGUUUCUGACCGCGAUGUUAAGUUCCUUAGUUAUUUUUUAAAAACACUGUGGGCUAAACUGGGUACAAGGUUGUUGUUUUCUACUGCUAGUCACCCAUAGACGGAUGGUCAAACUGAGGUAGUUAACUGCAUCUUGUCCACUUUAUUGCGUGCAUUAAUAAAAGGGAAUCUUCGAACGUGGGAAGAGUGCUUACCUCAUGUUGAAUUUGCUUCCAAUAGGGCUGUUCACUCUACUACUUGCUUUUCGCCAUUUGAAAUUGUCUAUGGAUUUAACCCACUAACACCUCUUGAUCUAGUGCCUUUACCUAGUAGUGAACGUGUUAACAUAGAUGGGAAGAAGCGUGCAAACUUUGUCAAGAAAUUGCAUGAGAAGGUCUAUGCUAAUAUAGAAAAAUGUACUACUCAGUAUGCUAAGCAUGCUAACAAAGGACGUCACAAGAUGGUGUUUGAGCCUGGUGAGUGGGUAUGGUUACACAUGCGUAAGGAGCGAUUUCCAGCUCAGCGUCGCAAUAAGUUGUCUCCAUGAGGUGAUGGUCCGUUCCGCGCUCUGGAGCGUAUCAAUGACAAUACGUACAAGCUUGAGUUGCCAGGUGAGUAUGGAGUUAGUACUACUUUUAACGUUUCUGACUUAGCUGCAUUUGAUACGGAUGAUGCUUGUGAUUUGAGAACAAAUCCUUCUCAAGAGGAGGGGAAUGCUAGCAUCAUCAUGGUUGUUCAAGGUUCGGAUAGCGGUGUCGAGGGUCCAAUAGCUUCAAAUCAAGUUCGUGUGCCAAUCGGACCAAUUACAAGAGCUCGAGCUAAGCGUUUCAAAGAACAACUUAAUGCUCUUGUCCAAACUGCCUAUAAGUCGUUCAAAGGGUUCUUGAUUAUUGGGGAUGUUGAUCAAGAUACAAGCAAGCUCGUGAAUUGCAUUCAAGUCGUGGAUGCUCAAGAUUGAAGAUGAGGUCUUGGAAGCCUAUCCUACAUUGCAUGAUAGUUGUGUCUCAUUCGAUCAUAUUUAGUUAAGAGUCAAGUCAAAUAAGGAAACUUACAUUAUUUCCAACACCAAGUAGGUUAAGUCGUAUUGUUAGUUUCCUAAUGUGCUUCGCUUUUAAGUUUUCUAAACUUAGUAGUUUUUGAGGGUCUUGUAAACUCUAUAUAAGACUCAUUUUCAUUCAUAAUAAGAUAACAAAAAAUUUUCCAGCAAUUUGAGCGAGCUUUUCUCAUAGUCCCGAGUUUCUCUUGAAUACCUUAGAGGUGCUCUAAGUGUUUAGGCUCUGAUUUAUCAAUCAAGAUUCGCACUUGAUUGUGGCGCCUUCUAUCAACACUUUUGGUUCGCUAAUCCGUUAGUUUGUGGGUUGAGAUAAUAUCAAGAUUGUUCACAAUCCCGAGGAUUAGAGGGGUCGUAAGGUUUCCACUGCCAAUCUAAACUUGCAUUCCACCAUCAAGAUUCUGACUUGCGAUCAUGAACUCCGUCACACCCACGAGAUUCGUAUCACUCAACCAUGCAUUGAGCAUGCAUUUUUUAGGGUGCAUAUUCACUUCCUGCAAUUUUAGUGCGGAAAUUCUGCAUUUGUCUAAAAAUUAUGUGUAUGACCCCAAUUUUUCAAAAUGCAGUCUAAUCACUCUAUUGACAAAAUAAUCAAUUCACACAUAUCUAAAUUGAUCUAAACAUGCAUUCCAAACCACUGUAACACAUCAAAAAUAACAAUUACUCAAAUUGUGGGGUUGAGUUCUUUGAUCUUUCUUAGCUUCAUUGACAUCAAAAAGUGACUUUUGCCUUCUUUCUUGAACCCUACAAAACAAACAUAAUAAACAUACUUUGAAACAUAUAACAAACAUGACUAUUUAUAGCUUCUUUAUAGUCAUUGGCUUGACUAUUUUACCUUAUUUUUCAAGAAGAUUUUGUUAAUGAAUAAUCCACUAUUUUAGGUCGUGAUGGAUCCAUAAAAGGUGCCUUGAUAGAAAAAAUCACAUAAUCAAAUGAUACGAGAGAUAAAAGAGCUUUACUUAUUUCAAGUGUUUUAUAGAUAUUAUCUUGUAGUAACACCACUUGAGAAUUGUCCAAUAGAACGUCCGCAUAACCUUAUUAGGUGAUGAUAUUCUUAGUACUUACUUCUUCAAAAUACUCCUCGAGUGGGGUUAAAUAUGAAUCAUUCGUGCUCAUCUCUUAAGAUUCAACAUUAGUUUCAAAGAUACAAGCAUGUGACAUGGACAUUUCUUACAACAUUCCCACCAUUCAUAAUAGAAUCAAUUGGCAUACGAUGAGAAGAAAUAAUUUUACACAAAUUACACAAUUGGUCUUGAAUUUUAUCUAUGUGAGAAGCUAGUUCUUCUAAUCUAUCUUUAGCCUUAUCAAAAUGGUCGGAAGUUGCAUUAGUUAACCUUUCAUUUGCUAAUUCUCAAGACAAAAGUGUAUUAGGAACCUUUCAAUGGCUAACUUCCAAGAUUGUUUUGAUUCAAAUUGGACAAAUUUGGAUUGGUAAUCAUAAAAAUACGAAGAACUAUUAUAUGCAUAUUGAUUACCCCAACAAUAAGUGUAGGAAUUAUCCCAAUUAGUACCAUAUUGAUUAAAACAAGGAUUAAAAUGUUCAAAUUCAUCACAAUAAUUCACAUUUUGUAUCUGCCUACAUGUAUGAGGAGCAUGAUAACUUCCACACAAGUCACAAAUCAUAUGAAUAGAAUUGAAAGCAUUAACAUUCCUCUUUCAUUCAAGUAUGUUUGUAAUGGUGUUCAAUUGAACUUUUCAUGUUAUAAAAUCAAGUUUAGCCUUUAAGUUCCUUAAGCCAUCUUUAAAAGUCAUACCUUCGGACAUCCUUUAGUUACCUCCAUAGUUGUAGUUUUGAAAAUUGUAAUCCAUUUCCAAAUUGCCUUGUCUCAACCUUUUAUCCAAGUUUGUUUGCUAUUCUCCUUAUUACAUAAAAAAAUGCUUUCAAGCAAUCUAAAAAACAAGAUUAGUCAAGAAGAAUAAUUUAAAAGACAUAAAAAAUAAGAUAUUAAACAUAAAACAAAAGACUCAACAAGACACUAAACAUAACAAAAAAAACACUUGACACAACAAAAAUAAGAAAAGCAAGUAAAAGUGUUUAAACUGAUAAAGUUUUUUUUUAACUAUUCUAAUAUUUUUUUAUUGCAUAAUUUUCUUUUUUUUUUUAAUCAUUAACUGUUAUUCAUAGAAAAGUCAAAUAGAGCAGACAAGUACAACUAACGAACCCUCCUGCGAAAGUUAGGGAGCCCUAAUCUAUCCAUACGAAUAUCUCCGCGAACCAGAGGGGGAAGUGCUGCAAAUGAAGUAAAGACGGAGUCAGUGCCCUCCAUCGCACCCAUCUUAGCCAACCUGUCCGAUAGCUUGUUUGCCUCUUUGUAACAAUGCUUGACAGAGCGAAACAGUUGCCGAUGCUGCAUAAGCUCGUCCAGCUCCACCUGCAACCUCCAGGGACAAGCAUGAUCCCCCGAUAUGAUUUGAACCAGGGAUAACGAGUCCACCUCCAGAUGCAGAGCCAAGUACCCCCUUGCAAUGCAUUGAUUAACCCCGUAUACUAAUGCCUUUAUUCAGUAUGGAGGCUCGUGGUGAUGCCCAGAAAGCAAGCAAACCCAAGAAGGAAACCCCCCGAGAAUCCCGCACCACUCUUCCUCCUCCACUCCGCCGUGGAUUCCCAAGCGAACACUCAUCCGUAUUCACCUUAUAGCCCGCUUCCGGGUACAUCCAUCCGACAAGCAGGAUAGUCAGCGUUUGCUGCCGAGCCUGCAAGGCUAAGUGCAAGCUCUCCCAAGAUCCGUAGGGCCAGGUUAGUGAUGGGAAUUGCACUUGUAAUAAAUCCCUUAGUCGAGUCAAGAUGUGAGCGACCACCGUUCUCCCAUCUGUCCUGCCCUCAUGGACCACCGCCUUAGUUCGGGCCUACCAUAAUUCCCAACAGAUGAUAGAUGGAAAGAUCUAGUAAACAAAAGCCAAGGACUGCUAUGGCGUGGGCCGUAGCCACCAUGCUACUUCCAUGUGUCGGGCCGUGCAGAUCUGUGACGACAUCCCCUCUUGUAGUUCAAACGUCCUCCAUACCUGUCGGGCAGUUUUUUUCGUGCAGAAGAGAUGAUUCAAGUGUUCCUCCUCCGGAUGGGAGCAGCACCAACACUGUGACGGACCUUGGACCCCAAACCGGCGUAGCUGCUCCAGGACGGGCAACCUACCCGAUAGCAAGCGAAGCAUGAAAAAUGAUAUUGUGAUGGGCAAGGACCUGUGCCAAAUACAAGCAGCGCCCAGUGAUCCGCGAGAAGUUCCCAUCAAGGGUCUGCAUCCACACCAUCCUGUCCUGUCCCUGGCCCGCAAGAGGCCUGCUAGACAGCACAAGUCGCACCAACUCCGGCGGCAGCGCCUGCGAGAGCGCGCGGCUAUCCCAGUCCUCUCCAGCAGCAAAAUCUACCACCUGCUGAUCCUGAAAAAUCUCCAUCUGGUGGCAUAAUAGACCAGACCCUGUCUAGUUGUCAUGCCAAAAGUCCAUCAGCCCCGCCCGUACCGUCCAGCCUAUUUUCUCCUUCAUGACCCCUUGAACCUCACACAUUCGUCUCCAAGUUAAGAGUUCCCUAGUUUCUCCUCCGCAAGACAAGGGUAUCGUCCCUUACAAUAUUUGGACGCCAUAAAGAAGGCCUACAGCAAGCGACCCUGCCUAAAUCUCCACCACAAUUUCAUUGAAAAAGCCUGGUAUACCUCAAUCACUCGUCGGAGGCCUAGGCCCCCUUCGUUGUGAGGACUACACAAAUUCGCCCACUUCAUCCAAUGGAAUCGUGGGCCAAGCUCAGACGAGCCCCACAGGAAGGAAGCCAUGAUCCGUUCUAGCUCUCGCAAAACCCUCUUAGGCGGCGCUACCGUCGCCAAUAAAUGAAUGGGCAUGGAGGUCAAAACGUGCUUCAGCAACACCACUCUUCCCCCCGGCGAUAGAAUGCGAUGAUUCCAAAAUAAAAUCCUGUUAACAACUCCCUUGCAUAUCUCCACGAAAUGCUCCUUCUUUCCUCUACCAAUGAACAGUGGGCAACCUAGGUAUCUGAUCGGGAGCUCCCUCUUUUGAAAUUCUGUAACCUGCAUGAUAAGCCCACUGCGGCACGGGCCAAGUUGAGGGUGCACUAGGAAGCAACUCUUAUGUUCAUUAAUCUUUUGCCCGAGGCUGCACAAUACUCCUCCAGGACCCACAUUAAUAAACGCAAAGAAGACUUUAAGCCACUAGUGAAGAUGACGACAUUGUUCGCAAAGGAAAGGUGGAUGACCAUCGGGCAUCUGGGCGGGAUCUUGAAGGGAUGAAACUGGCAUUGCUCGAGUAAGGCAUUCAAAACCCUAGACAGUGUUUCGGUACCAUUCACAAAUAAGGCCAGAGAAAUUGGAUCACCCUGCAAUAGGCUACGCGUGAACCAAAAGAAGCCAUGCGGCACGCCAUUGACCAGUACUGAGAACCAAACAUUCGAGAUUAGCCGCCAAAUAGCAUUGAUCCAGGCCUCAGAGAAGCCGAAGCACCUCAAAACCUGUAAGAGAAAGCACCAAAAAACCCUAUCGUAAGCCUUCAUCGUGUCCAUCUUAAUUACCACGUUACCGCCACGGGAAGGCUUCCCAAUACCUGUCACAAUCUCUUGACCUAGGAGAAAGUUGUCCGAGAUCUGAUGCCCUUUAACAAAGCCGCUUUACUAGGGGGAGAUGAUUUUGGGUAACAGAUGCGCUAGACGAUCCGAUAGGAUGUGGAAAAUCACUUUAUUGAUGAAAUUGCAUAGGUUAAUCGGGCGAUACUGCGUGAAGUCCUCUGGGCAAGGAACCUUUGAGAUCAGAACAAUGGUCAUGGCGGUAAUGUUUCGAGGCAGCUUCGCCCCGCAGAAGAAGUUCAAGAUAGCCUUGUAGACGUCCUCUGCAAUCACGUCCCAAGCAAAUGUAAAGAAUCUCCCCGUAACCCCUUUUGGACCCGCCGCACUCUCCUUAUCCAUGGAGAAGAUCACCUCCUUCAUCUCCGCCAUGGUGGGGGACUCCAUCUGUCGGGAGUUGUCGUCUUCCGUUACAAGUUUUGGGAUAACAUCUAGAGGCCCGAAAGAAGAGGAGGGCGACCCCGCUGUGAAAAGCCUUUGGAAGAAUGAAGUUGCCUCCCUACAGAUGUGAUCCUCAGACUCCACCCAGUCUCCAUUCGAAUCACGGAUCUAAUGAAUGAUCGCCCUACUUCUCCUCUCCGCCACCACGGCAUGAAAAUACCUCGAGUUACAAUCUCCAUUCUUUAGCCACCUAGCCCUCGCCUUCUGUCUCCAGAAGCCUUCCUCAAUGGCCAACGUAUUCCGUAGCCGCUUGCGGGUUUCAUUCAAGCCACGCAAUGCCUGUUCCGACGAGUCAUGCUCUUGAAUCAUCUUUGCCUCUGCCACCGCCCUCUCUGCAUCCUUAACAAUCUCGAAUAUGUCACCAAAGGAGUCCUUGGACCACCCUUUUAGUAACUGCUUGGUUAUACGUAGUUUGGCCGCUAACACACUUAGAGGAGAUCCCUCUAUCUCCCCUAUCCACCCUUCCUAAUGACGUCCAAUAACCCUGCUCUGGUGGUCCACACAUUUAAAAAAUGAAACGGCUUUGGUUUGUUGUCCAAUCGAGUCGAGGCCGUCAUUAGAAGUGGGGCAUGGUCCGAUGGGUCCCUUGCCAAGUGCUACACCCGAAUAUCCGAACCCAAGCGAAGGACCUCCAAGUUAAGAAGCAAGCGAUCUAGUCAUUUCCAGACACGGGCUCACCCUUGCCUAUUAUUGCACCAAGUAAAGUUGGACCCAGAGAAACCCGCAUCUGAAACCCCGGCCUCCAUCAUGAACCGCAAAAAAUCCUCCCCCUCGGUCAAACGGAAUGGCUGUCCCCCACGCUUCUCCCCCCUCAUUGACUAUCACAUUGAAGUCCCCAGCUAAGAACCAAGGGACAUCGGACGGUGUACCCACCAUCAAGUCUGCCCACAGCAUCUGACGCUCUUGAACAGUGCACUUGGCAUGCACAAAAGAGAAAUAAACCGUAGAUGGGAGCAACUGGCACUGGACCUGGAGCGAGAGAUGUUGACAUGACUUCUCAACAAUGGAACAAGAGAGAGAAUUUAUAGAAGACCCAUAUGGUCCCCCAUUGAUUUGUGGCACUAAAGUCCAUCCCCAACAUCAACCGCACAUUAUCAAUAUGGCCUACAUCCACUUUUGGUUCACAAAUUGCAAUCAAUUGUAAGGAGUGAAGUUUAACUAAUUUUUUGAACCGGCGUAUAUUAGGGAUGCGAGUAACACCCCUUAUGUUCCAAAACAGUAUUUUAAUCAUUGGACAACAACGUGAAGGAGUUAGAAGCACUGGACUUACUGGAGCGUAAAGUGCCAUCGAAUGGGAAGCGAGCUCGCACCCCUCGAUGUUUAGACUGAGCUAUAGCCGGAGGGUCUACUCCCUUCGGCGAAUGGCACGACAUGUCAGUAGAAACAGCCACUGAGUCAAGGUUCAGCGUGUUAGAGAGCGGCACACUGCUCUUCAAGGGUCGGCACUCCACUGAACCACGAGGAGAAACACUGCCAAAUCUCCCCUGGAAACUGUGCAGCUCCUCCAACAACUCUUUGUCAACUUCGAAUCCAGUUUGGGGGUGCCCUUCAUUCCCACUGCUCUCAAUCUCCAUAGCAACUGCUCGCAGGCGUGACACCUGCUGGUUCUCCUCCCCAUUCGCUGCAACCAAUUGUCCCCCAUCCCACUCUUGCCCAGGCUGCUCCGCUAGAAGGCAGACUUCACCGUGCACAGCCGGCUGUCCGUCACCUCCACGCUGGCCACCCGCAGUUGCCAUCGCAUCCCCCUUCGUACCCAGCUCUCCUACUCUUGGGUGUGGCACCUGCUGAAUCUUCCCCCCAACCGCUGCAAUCAUAUGCCCCCUAUCGCUCACCUACUUCAGUGCUAGGGGCAAGGCCACCGCAUCAUGCACAACAGGUUGCCUAGUGCCUCCAAGCAGUUCAUCCGUAGGCGCCACUGCACCUCCUGAGCGUAUCUCUACCCCUGACUUGCCCAGGCCCUGGGCUCCCUCCGAUGUCGCCCCCAACCCAGCAGGUGCGACUGGCAAGGCUAAGUUGCACCCAACAACAACCGGCUCACCCUCAACAUGCGGUUGUUCCCUUGGUUUCGCUGCCGCGUCCCCCCAUUUCACGCGGCGCUGAUCUAUUCUAGGAGGACGCAGUGCAGGGUUGAGAACAUGACAUUCAUCCACCCCAUGUCCUUGCCGAUAGCAGUGCGAGCAAUACUUAGGGAUAUGUUCUGGAUCAAAGUUUUGUCAAAAGUCAUCGUACUGCCCGUUACCAAUCCAUACCCGUGACGACUUGAGCUGGAACAAAUCGAUCUCGACACAAACCCUCGCGAGACUUGGCUUGGAAGUUGCCAAGAUUGUAGCGUCAAGGAAGAGAAGGACACCUAAAACUGAAACAAUCUAAAAAAUCGCCUCUUUGUGGAAGUAGUGCAGAGGCAGCUUGGGGAGUUGAAACCAAACAGGGACAACCGAAGGUUCUCUGUCAACACGGAAGGCUGGAGACCACUUGAAUAUGCGCAUUGGGAAGCCUAAUACGUACCAAAUACCACGAGCCCGGACGCGGUGAUAAUCUGCUUCGUUGCCCAUGCAGAUGAAGACGUGCCUUGCAUCCAAAAGCCCAACAGUAGCCGCCUCACUCAAAUCUAGCGUGCGUAUGAACUUGCGAACCUCCUCUAGCUUUGGCCGCCCCUUUGAGAAUUUGCCGACAAGUGCAAACCUGUAAGGAGUCGCUAGGGUUUCCAAAUCCUCCUAAGAAAAGAGGACAGCAAGCUCACCUUUGUGGGUAGAGGGUGCAGCCCUAAUCUUCAGCGCCGGCUGCACCGAGUUCCCGGAGAAGAGGUCAGAGAAGGACUUCUUUUGGAAGUCCACGGAAGAGGAGGGAUGCCCUCCAGUAGCAGGCUGGAGGGCUACCAUGCCCAAGCUACGCUUGCUACGUACAAACCCGAGAGGCAAACCCUUUGUCAACGUAUCGAGACUUCAAAAGGAUAAAAAGUGGUACAGAAAGUGAGAUAGAAAAUUCGUUGUAUUUUUACAAUCCUUAAACUGAUAAAGUCAUUUUUAGCACCGAUAUUGAAUCAAAUCUUCCCCGAUAAUGACGCCAAAAACUUGAUGAUGUUCUACCAUAUACCAAAUGUUAACAAAACUUAAAUACUUAUUUUCUACAAGUAUACAGAUCAUUUAUCAAGUACAGAGAUACUAGGUGCCAAUCCCACAAGGACGAUUGUCAAUUACCAAUGAUUUUUGAAUUCCUUUAUUAUUUAGACUACCACAAAUACAAGAGAUUAAAUCUCCACUACAAACAUGAAAUAAAAGUAAUAAAAAUAACAAUAGAAAACUCUUGAAGUUAUGGAAUUCUUCACUACUCUCGCAAGUAAAAUUACCGAUUAGUUAAAUGUUAUUAUCUUGACUAGUUGUGGUAUAAUUUCUUAAUGUAUGUGAAAUCUACUCUUUUAGUAAAUCAACUAUACUUGCAAUUAAGCCAUACUUACUCUUAUGAUUAUGAAAUUAACUACAAUCUUAUUUCUUCUACAAAACUACAUGGAACAAGUCACAAAGGUGAACCUCUACUCUCGUGAGUAUACUCCCUAUAUUUAGCACUUCUUGAACUAGUAUCAAAUCUCAAUUCUCAUUGCAAACUUAACACCUUAAAAUGAUCACAAUUAAUGGUUAAUUAAUCAUGAUUAGAUAAGAAAAAGUGCUAAAUAACUAGUUCAAAAUAAUGUAAUCAAAUAACUAAUUGAACAUCACUAACAAGAUAUAGAAAAUUCAUCCAUAACUCUAAGCAUAAAUUUUAGCAAAAUGAGAAGAGAAUGAAACAAAAGACUAUACUUAUAUUAUAGUUGAACAUGAACUCAAAUACAAAAAAGAAAGUGAUAGGAGAAAAACCACUCUUGUCACAUAAGUUCGAAGCUCUCCAUCUUUCUCGUUAAUUCUUCAUCCAAAUCUAGUUACAAGUACAAGUUGGAUAAACUACACUAACUGUAUCAUAUUAAUAAACUAAGAAAACUAGCGAAGACUAUAUUUUGAUAGUGUCCCCAACCUUUCAAAGUUAAUCUAGAAUAAAAAUUGAUAUUUUUACUGGAACAGUGACUAUGGAACAUGAUGGUGACAUAUAAAAUUCAAUAUCUAUGAUACCAUGAAAUAUCCUAGUGAUGCACAUUCAAUUUUUGUUAGAGAUGUUAUUGGCACUUUGACAUAGCGAAAUUUUGAAUUAAGUGAUGAAAAUGCAUUGAAGUUGUUUUUACUGAAAGCUUUGGUCAUGAGCAUGUUCAAGGAGUAAAAAGGAAGUUUGAUUUUCCUUUUGAAUUGCAAGACAAUGUCUUGGUUAUAGAAUCUCUUAAAUGUAUGAUAGUCUUAUGUUGAUUUACCUUUGUCUCAUUCAAAACUUCUACCAUUUAUUGUGCAGGGCUCAAAGUUAGAGUUAAGGCUGUUGUAAGGCCCAAAGACAACCUAAGAAGGGGGGUGAAUUAGGUUGAUUAAAAUCUUAAUCAAAUUUAUGCAAUUUUUCUUUAAUAAAAAUUUACCUUCUUUUCUAGUAAUAAUCAACCAAGUAGAUUAGAAGAAGAGAGCAAUGUUGAUUAGAAAAACAAGUAUAGAUAAGCAAUGAGAAUUUUAUUAAACAAAAAAAAAUAAGAUAGAAUAUCAAACCGAUUGUCUACCAAGUUUUCCUCAAACUUGAAGACCAAUCACUAGGUUGAGCAACUUCUCUUUGAUGAAAGAUGAUCAACUAGAUGUACAAUGGAGGGAGCACUUCCUCCUUGCCCUAAGUCUCACUUAGUCAAGCUAAGAAGUUUUACAAACACUCAGAUAACCCUCAACAAAGCUACACUAAUGAAACUUUCAACCACAAGAGAAAUGCUCACAAGAAAUUCACACCACUUGGAGAACAAAUCUAGCUUUGGAGACUAUUUUCUAGCUAAAAUAUCUCUUGAGAUCUUGUAAACAAAGUGUGCAAAAGUCCUCCUCUGAAUCAGAAUCGUUUGUAUUUAAAGGGAACAAAAAAUGGGCUUCAUUAAUACUUCCAACGGAUAGAAGGCAGAUGAAGAGUCAGCUAGCCGUUGGGGCUGUCGGACGUCCGACGGCUUAGUCAUCGUCCGAUCCUAUCGUCCGAAAAUCAGUCAAGUUGUUGUUCGGACGUCCGAUGGGAUUUUAUCGUCCGAGCUUCUGUGUCCGAACGUUGUCCAGAGAGUUAUCAAAUCUUUGUGGAAUUUUUAGGAUGUCCGAUGAGAUUGAUGUACGUCCGAAGCAUGCGUCCGAUCCUUCAGGACGUCCGAUGCUUCCUUACGAGCGUCCGACAGAGUCUUGGCAGAGAGUCAUCAACACUUUGUGGAACUUUUAGGACGUCCGACACGAUCACUGUGCGUCCGAAGAGUACGUCCGAUCCAUCCGGACGUCCGAUGCUUCCUCACGAUCGUCCGACAGAAUUUCCUUCUUGAUGUUCUUCAUCCUUUCGGACGUCCGACCGAUUCCUUCGGACGUCCGACAUGAGUGCCCUGUUUUUGCUUCUUCUUUUGGUUGAUUUUCAUUUCUUGACAUAUUCGUACCUGAUUCUUUGAUAGGCAAAAAACACUUAUAUUUGAAGAGAGUUAGAUAAACAUUUCAAAGUCCUUUGUGAUCAUCAAAACCAAGAAUAACAUUCUCCCCCUUUUUGAUGAUGACAAAACAAAGGUUUGAAAUGAGAUUUGAUGAUUGCAAUAAAAACUCCCCCUUUCUCAAUAGACAAGAACUCCCCCUUACUUAGUGAAUCAUAAAAAAAAUUUGAAAAACUCCCCCUCACUUGGCUGCCCAACCGAAUUAAACAAUUAUCCAAAUUAUGACAAUUAAGCAGCCAACAUCAUCAAUCAAUCAAUCAAUCCAACAUCAUCAAUCAUCAAUCAAUCCAGUCCUCUCCCCCUUUUUGUCAUCACAAAAGGGCAAUCAAUCACAUUAUAAUAUGAUAUUAAUAUGUAUUAAUAUGUAUAUUUCAAUUUAUAUUGUAUUAUAUAUAUAAAUUAUAUAAUUUAAUAUGUAAUUUAAUUAUGCAUAUUAAUAUGUAUAUAUAUAUAUUAUAUCAAUUGAAAUAAAUAUAUGUAUUUAUAUAUAAAUAUUAAUAUUUGUUUAAAAUAUAUUUAUAUAAAGAUAUAAAUAUAUACAUAUCAAUUUUGUUUUAUAAUAUGUAUAUUUAUAUAUUUGUAUAUGUAUAUUAAAUAUAUAAUAAUAUACAUAUUAAAAAAUUGAAAUAAAAAUAUUAUAUAUAUAAAUAAAUAAACAUUAAUAUAUAGAAAUAGAGCUAGUAUAUAUUUAAAAAGAAUCUCAACAAAAUUCUAAAUUAUAAAAAUAUUCAAAAAUAUAUUUUAAAAAUACCUCUAAAAACAAUCCAAAAACAUUUACAGUAAAAGUUUUUCAUAUACAAAGUUACAGCAACAUUUUUAAAAAACACCUCCAAAAACAGCUAAUCCAAGCGGAGCCUAUAUCUUAGUAAUAUUUAUAAGUUCUAUUUGCUGCUCCAACACUACCAUCUCUAUUGCCAUUCUGCAUUAGUUCUUCUCGCUUAACAAUAUAUAUUUUGUGUAUCUUAGUAAUAUUUAUAAGUUCUAUUUGCUGCUCCAACACUACCAUCUCUAUUGCCAUUCUGCAUUAGUUCUUCUCGCUUAACAAUAUAUAUUUUGUGUAUCAAAAAUAUCUGUUUUAUACAAUAGCAUCAAUUUUUAGGGGGGCAUUCCAUUUUUGUUUGAUUUUUUCCCGAGUAGGAGAGAAAAGGGAGAUUUGAACUCAGAAUUUCCAAAUCUUAAAAUCUCUACAUUAAUCACUAAAUCAAAGUCUCGUUAACAAUUUUUACAAUAAAUUGACAUAUUCGCCUUAAAAUAUUAAAGGUUUUGACAACAUUUCAAUAAUUUGAAUGGUAUGCAACAUUAGUUCCUCCGAUUACUUCUUUUGCUAGACAGUGGCAGCCCAAACAAGAAAAAUAUUUGUAAGAGGAUGACAUAAAUAGUAAGUAAAAUAAAUUCUCGACACAAAUGGCAAGUAAAAUAAAUUAUUGGGUGUCCCCAAAAUCCACCUUAAUGUACUCUUAGAUCUUUUCCUUUCUUCCUUCCCCAAUUUAUAAUUUAGAGUCUUGAGAAGUAAAGUAGUUGGUAUUUACUUUGUAUCAGCCUUCCCUUAAACCAAUAAUAAAUUGUCAAAACUGAAGGAAUAUAUAACGAAUAAUGAGUCAGAGAAGCAAUGUAGUUGGUUUUUGCAUUUUAUAACACACCAAAAACGAAGCUGGUUUGACAGGAAGUUUUAAACCAUUUGUAAAUGCAGUGAGGCUCAAAUAGGAUACAAUGGAAAGUUCGUUAGUUCUAAAUUUCUUAGCAUUUCUAAACAAGAGCCAAUAGCAUUAUCCAGUAUCUCCUGUGGAAAUGCAAGUCAAAGCAUUUCUCGAUCUACGUUUGCCACUAUUUAUUUGCUAUUUUUGUACCUAAUAAACUCCACAGGAGUCUUUUUCUGCAGAUGCAGAGGAUAAAUAAUUAUUAGAUGAAGAGGACAAAGAAAGUGUGGAAGCUGAACAUCUUGACACGGAUUAUUUACUCUUCAGUCUCAUUUAACUAAAAAAAAGUGAAAGGGAAGUGAUCCAACUGAAUGUAAUGGUUCACAAUUGACUGGUUUUUCCACUUUCAAAUACCUAAAAAUCCUUUUAACAGCAUUCAAAUGUGAUUCUUUUGGACAAGAUUGAAAUCUAGCACACAAGCAAACAGCAAACAUAAUAUCGGGUCUACUUGCGGUUAAAUAAAGUAAGCUUCCAACCAUACCUCUAUAGUGCUUUUCAUCCACAUGUUUACCUUCUUCAUCUUUGUCAAGUUUUGUUGAAGUGCACAUUGGAGUUCCAACUUGCUUUGAAUCCUCCAUGCCAAAUCUUUUCAGCAAUUCCUUAGUGUAUUUUGCUUGAUUUAUGAAACUGCCCUCUAUGGCUUGAUGUAUUUGAAGUCCAAGGAAGAAAUUUAAUUCUCCCAUCAUACUCAUUUCAAAUUCACUUUGCAUAAUGGUGGAAAAAUCCUUGCAUAGAUACUCAUUAGUAGCACCAAAAAUAAUAUCAUCUACAUAUAUUUGCACAAUGAGGAGUUCAUUUAGCACUUGCUUAGUAAACAGUGUGGUGUCCACAACUCCUCUUUUGAAAUUAUUUUCAAUCAAGAAACCACUCAAUCUUUCAUACCAAGCUCUUGGAGCUUGUUUUAGCCCAUACAAUUCUUUUGAGAGUUUAAACACAUGAUUUGGAAAUUUUAAAUUUUCAAAACUGGGGGGUUGAUCCACAUAUACUUCUUGAUCAAUAAAACCGUUUAGGAAGGCACUUUUAACAUCCAUUUGAAACAGUUUAAAACCUUUGAAGCAAACAAAAGCAAGAAGCAUUCUAAUUGAUUCUAAUCUAGCUACGGGAGCAAAUGUUUCAUCAAAAUCAAUUCCUUCUUCUUGAGCAUACCCUUUUGCGACUAAUCUAGCUUUAUUUCUUACAACUACACCUUUAUCAUCCAGCUUAUUUCUAAAUACCCACUUAGUGCCAAUGAUAGAGUGAUUUUGAGGUCUAUCAACUAGUGUUCAAACCUCAUUUCUUUCAAAUUGAUUGAGUUCCUCUUGCAUUGCCAAAAUCCAGUUUUCAUCCUUUAAGGCAUCAUUGAUAUUUUUAGGUUCAAAAAGAGAAACUAAAGCAAAAUUGUCUAUCAAUUUCUUAGAUGAGGAACGAGUGUUUACCUUCUCGGAUGGAUCAUCAAUUAUAAGUUCUUUUGGAUGAUUUUGGCUAAAUUUCCAAGCCUUGGGAAGAUCUUUGAAUGAAUCAUCAUUUUUGUCCUCAUCUUCCCUUUCUUGAUCUUCAUGAGCUUCAUUCUCCAUUUCCUUUGCUUCCGGUUCAGAAUUUCCUCCAUCUCCAAUUUUUAGCUUUUCCAUUCCUUCACGAACACCUACAUCAUCAUCCUCACACGAACUUUUGGAAUUAUCAUCAUUAGUUUCAUCAAAUGUUAUGUGUAUGGCUUCUUCUAUCACAAGAGUCAUUCUAUUAAAGACUCUAUAUCCUCUUUUGUUCUCACAAUAUCCCAAAAAUAUUCCUUCAUCAGAUUUUUUCUCAAACUUACCAAGAUGUUCCUUUAAAUUUAAAAUAAAACAUUUACAACCAAAGACUUUGAAAUAUCCAACCGUAGGUUUCUUAUCAAAAAUCAGUUCAUAAGAUGUUUUAUUCAAAAUGGGUCUCAAAAGGAUUCUGUUCAUCACAUAACAUGCAGUGUUUACCGCUUCAACCCAAAGGUAUUUUGGCAAACUACAUUCACUUAACAUAGUUCUAGCAGCCUCUUGUAGUGUCCUAUUUUUCCUUUCUACAACACUAUUUUGUUGUGGAGUUCUUGCAAUUGAAAACUCAUGUGUUAUGCCAUUAUGAUCACAGAAAUCUGGAAAACCAUAAUACUUGAAUUUCGUUCCAUUAUCACUUCUAAUCCUAACAAUUUUUAAGCCAAGCAGGUUUUGCACUUUAGCAAACAAUGAAGUGAAAUUCUUGAAGGCAUCAUCCUUAUGAGCAAGAAAUAUCACCCAAGUAUAUCUAGAAUAAUCAUCCACAAUCACAAAGCAGUAUUUCUUACCUCCCAAGCUAGUGAUUUGAGUAGGACCAAAUAAGUCAAGAUGCAAGAGUUCUAAAGGUUUAGAAGUUGAAACACACUUCUUUGGUUUAAAAGAAACUUUUGUUUGCUUUUCAAAUUGACAUGCAUCACAAAUUUUAUCCUUUUCAAAACAGAUUUUUGGCAAGCCUCUAACCAGCUUCUUUUUCGAAAUUUCCUUUAGUAAAUCCAUGUUAAAAUGACAAAGUCUCCUAUGCCACAACCAAGGAUCUUCAUUUGAAGCUUUAAGACAUUUGAAGCUAGAAGAAUCAAUUUUAUCAAGAACCACAAUAUAUAUGUCGUUAAACCUCUUACCUUUGAACACAACAUUAUAUUUGGAAUCAAGCACAAUGCAUUCAUGCUUUUUAAACAACACAUUUAAGUCUUUAUCACACAAUUGACUAACACUAAGCAAGUUAUAACCUAAAUUAUCAACUAAGAGCACAUUAUGAACAAAAGUUUCACCAUCCUUACCAACAUCACCUAUUCCAAUUAUCUUAGCUUUCACAUCAUCACCAAAUGUCACCUUUCCACUUGAUUUUGAUUUUAGCUUUAUGAACAAAGAGGGAUCACCGGUCAUAUGCCUUGAGCAGCCACUAUCAAUAAACCAUUUGGACUUGUUUGAGCCUUUUUCCUGAAAAGAGAAAGUGUUUGGUACCCUUUUUAAUUUUUGGGUCCACAAUAGUUAGCAUUGUGUCUAACUAACCACAUGCAUCUCAUCCCUUUGUUCAGAUUUCUUUUCACAUAGCAAUCUCCUUUCAAAUGCCCUUUUUGAUAAUAAAAAUCACACAUAAUGGAAGAGUCCUUAACAUGUAAUGGUUUGACAUAUCUCAAUCCACUUCUUCUAUAUGUUGUGAAAUCAUGUGCAUUUUUGUUGUGUGCUAAUGUUCUUUGAUGAGCAGUAAGAAAGGUAGAUGACAUGUUCUUUUUGAGAAAAUCUUGCUUUCUUGCUUUCAAAGUCUCAUCCAAGUUGUCCAUUCUUUUCUUCAAAUCACCAUGUCUUUCCUUCAGCAUUUCACAAAUACUUGUCUUUCUAUCAAGCUCAUUUUGAACAUCAAAUCCGGCUCUUACAAGACAUUCAUUGUCAGUCUUUAGUUGUUUAUUUUGUUGAAGAAAACUUGCAUUUUCAUGAAUGAGAAAAGCAAUUUUCUGUUUUAGCUGCUUGUUUUUAUCAUAAGAUUCCUUCAAGGCAUUAUGCAGUUUUUCAACAAAGGAUUCAAGAUCAUCAUCUUCUUCAUCAUCACUUUCAGAUUGAGAGUGUAUGGAAGUUACCUCAUUAUCUCCAAUAGCCAUGAAGGCCAUUUGAGCUGAUUCUUCCUCUUCUUCAACUUCCCCUUCGGAGUUGCAUUCAUUCCAAGUAAUCUGGAAGUUGUUGAAUCUUGGCUUUCGAUCAGCUUUCCCAUCUUUCAUUUUCUUCAUGGGGCAUUCGUUUGCAUAGUGUCCAGGCUGUCCACAUUCAUAGUAUUUGUCCACUUGCUUCUUGUUGAAUUCUUGUUUUCCUUUGUUCCUUGCAUUUGAUGAAUAAUUUUGGAAUUGAUUGCUAGGUCCUCCCCUUCUAAACUUCCUUUUAUUCAAGAUUCUCUUGAAGCCCCUUGUGAUGAGAGCAAGAUCAUUAUCAUCACCAUCCGAGUCUUCAUCAUCCAAGUGAGCUGGAUCAUCUUCACCUUGAGUAGUCUUUAGAGCAAUGUUUUUCUUUGCUCUAGCAUCCUCUUCCUCCUGCACUUUAGAUUUCAACUUCAACUCAUAAGAGGUUAGUGAGUUAAUGAGAGAUUCAAUAGGCACAGAAUUUAGAUCCUUAGCCUCCUCUAUUGCAGUCACUUUAUUUUUCCAUUCUUUGCCCAAUGCAUUGAGAAUUUUUCUGUUCUUCUCUCCCAAGGUGUACUCUUUGCCCAACACCUCGAGAUCUUUGAUCAAGUCAUUGAACCUGCAAUAUAUUUUGUCAAUAUCCUCGAGAGGUUCAAUUUUAAAUGAUUCAUACUUUGUGACCAAAAUAGCCUUUUUUUGUUCUCUCACGUUGUCACCACCCUCAUGGAUUUCUCUUAGCUUAUCCCACAUUUCUUUGGCCGAUUUACAGCCUUUUACUCUAAUUGAUUAAUUUGAAUCUAAGACACUACAAAGAACAUUCAUGGCUUUGGCAUUCAAUGUGAGAUUAGUCCUAUCUUGAGCAUUCAUUUCAGCUCUUGUUUUUUGCCGAAGCAACCCUGUAUCUGCAUCAAGAAAGUUAGCUUCAUGCGGUCCUUCACUCACAAUAAACCAUAGCUCAAUAUCAAUAGAUUGCAAAAAGAUAAUCAUCCUUUCUUUCCAUCUAACAUAAUUGGAGCCACUAAACAUGGGAGGCCUAGUAACAGAUUGCCCCUCAACAAACAUAGCAUGACUGGUUGUCAUCUUUUCUCCAAGCCGCUUGAGUUUAAUCUCUAGGAGACCAAGCUUUGAUACCAAUUGUAAGGCCCAAAGACAACCUAAGAGGGGGGGUGAAUUAGGUUGAUUAAAAUCUUAAUCAAAUUUAUGCAAUUUUUCUUUAAUAAAAUUUACCUUCUUUUCUAGUAAUAAUCAACCAAAUAGAUUAGAAGAAGAGAGCAAUGUUGAUUAGAAAAACAAGUAUAGAUAAGCAAUGAGAAUUUUAUUAAACAAAAAGAAAUAAGAUAGAAUAUCAAACCGAUUGUCUACUAAGCUUUCCUCAAACUUGAAGACCAAUCACUAGGUUGAGCAACUUCUCUUUGAUGAAAGAUGAUCAACUAGAUGUACAAUGAAGGGAGCACUUCCUCCUUGCCCUAAGCCUCACUUAGUCAAGCUAAGAAGUUUUACAAACACUCAGAUAACCCUCAACAAAGCUACACUAAUGAAACUUUCAACCACAAGAGAAAUGCUCACAAGAAAUUCACACCACUUGGAGAAUAAAUCUAGCUUUGGAGACUAUUUUCUAGCUAAAAUAUCUCUUGAGAUCUUGUAAACAAAGUGUGCAAAAGUUCUCAUCUGAUUCAGAAUUGUUUGUAUUUAAAGGGAACCAAAAAUGGGCUUCAUUAAUACUUCCAACGGAUAGAAGGCAGAUGAAGAGUCAGCUAGCCGUUGGGGCUAUCGGACGUCUGACGGCUUAGUCAUUGUCCGAUCCCAUCGUCCGAAAAUCAGUCAAGUUGUUGUUCGGACGUCCGAUGGGAUUUUAUCGUCCGAGUUUCUGUGUCCGAACGUCGUCCAGAGAGUUAUCAAAUCUUCGUGGAAUUUUUAGGACGUCCGAUGAGAUUGAUGUGCGUCCGAAGCAUGCGUCCGAUCUUUCAGGACGUCCGAUGCUUCCUUACGUGCGUCCGACAGAGUCUUGGCAGAGAGUCAUCAACACUUUGUGGAAUUUUUAGGACGUCCGACACGAUCGAUGUGCGUCCGAAGAGUACGUCCGAUCCAUCCGGACGUCCGAUGCUUCCUCACGAGCGUCCGACAGAAUUUCCUUCUUGAUGUUCUUCAUCCUUUCGGACGUCUGACAGAUUUCUUCGGACGUCCGACAUGAGUGUCCUGUUUUUACUUCUUCUUUUGGUUGAUUUUCAUUUCUUGACAUAUUCGUACCUGAUUCUUUGAUAGGCAAAACACACUUGUAUUUGAAGAGAGUUAGAUAAACAUUUCAAAGUACUUUGUGAUCAUCAAAACCAAGAAUAACAGCUGUUACCUAGCCAUCUAGAGUAUGUAUUCCUCGGAGAAGGAGAGAAUCUUCCAGUGAUUAUCUCCUGUAAGCUAACUACUUUAGAGGAAGAAAAGUUGAUUCAGAUGCUUAAGCAUCAUAAAGAAGCAAUUGAGUGGACCAUAGCUGGCAUCAAAGGGCUGUCCGGUCACUUGUAUGCACAGAAUUUUGUUGCAAGAAAAUUCUAAUCCUUCAAGAGAAACUCAACAUAGAUUAAAUCCACCAUUGAUAGAGGUAGUAAAAAAAAAGAAGUUUUAAAUCUUCUUAAUAUAGGUAUAAUCUAUUCAAUCUCAGAUAGUAAAAGGGUAAGACCUGUGCAAAUGGUUGCUAAAAUGAUAGGUAUAAUAGUAGUUGAGAAUCCAAAUAGUGAGUUGAUGCCUAUUCAAGUUCAAAAUGGGUGGCAAGAUUGUGUUGAUUUUAGAACAUUGAAUGCAUGAACUCGAAAAGACCAUUUUCCACUACCUUUUAUUGAUCAGAUGUUAGAAAGGCUAGUAGGAAGGUCUCACUAUUACUGUCUUGAUGGUUUUUCAGGUUUUCAUCAAAUUUUAGUUGCAUCAGAAGACCAAGAGAAAACUACUUUCACCUAUGCUUUUACUACAUUCACUUGUUGAAGGAUGUCAAUUGGUAUUUGCAAUGCCCCUUUAACUUUUCAAAGGUGUAUGGUUAGUAUAUUUUCUGAUUAUGUAGAGAAUGACAUAGAGGCAUUUAUGGAUGAUAGUAUGGUCUGUUAUGAUUCUUUUGAUUAAAAUUUAGUUAAUCUCACUAAGGUGUUGAAAAGGUGUAUUGAGACAAAUCGUAACUUGAACUAUGAGAAAUGUCAUUUUUUGGUAGACCAUGGCAUUAUUUUGGGACAUAAGGUAUCUUCCAAGGGAAUUGAAGUAGAUAAAGCCAAGGCAGAAUUCAUUGAGUGUUUGUCUUAUCACAAAUGUGUGAGAACUUUGCUCUUUCUUUUGGCACGCAGGCUUCUACUGCCACUUUAUAAAAGAUUUUUCGAAGAUAGUCCAACCCCUGUGCAAACUACUCGGAAAGGAUGUGGUCUUUAAUUUGAUGAAACCUGUAAGGUGGUGUUUGGCACACUUAAGGAAUCAUUGACCUCGACACUAGUUAUUCAAUCACCAGAUUGGAGUCUAUUUUUUGAAAUCACGUGUGAUGUGAGCAAUUUUGCUGUUGGUGUUGUUCCUUGACGAAGGGAUGGGAGAGCUGCCUAUGUCAUAUACUGUACUUCUAGAAUCCUUGAUAGUGCCAAGUCAUUAAAGUACUUGCACACAAAAAAAAAGGCAAAACCAAGCCCCAUUCAAUCAUGGAUUCUCUUCAGUCGAUUGGCCAUAAGUGAGAAACCCAUGCCUUUGCAAGAUAAUUUUUCAAAUGAGCAUCUUUUUACUAUUCAAAAGACAACUCCACAGUAUACUGAUAUAGUUAACUAUUUAAUGCUACCUAGUGAUUUAUCUCGAUCUCUAAAAGAUAAAAUUAAAAGUGAUGCUAAAUAUUAUGUGUGAGAUGAUCCAUACUUGUGAAAAUAUUAUGUUAACCACGUUAUUCGUAGGUGUGUCUCUAAAAAUGAGAUUCCUUCUUUACUCUCGUUUUGUCACUCGUAUGCAUGUGGAGGACAUUUUGGUUCUAAAAAAACUGCAUGAAAGGUGUUGUAAUACGGUUUAUUUUAGCCAACAUUGUUUUGUGAUUCAUAUAUGAUUUGUAAAGCAUUGAAAAUUGUCAAAAGAUGGGCAAUUUAGACCAUACAGAUCAAAUGACUCUUACUCUUAUGCUUAUCUGUGAAAUAUUUGAUAUAUUGGGUAUUGAUUUUAUGGCCCAUUUUCCUCAUCUAUUGAUAAUAUGUAUAUUUUUUUUGAUGUAGAUUAGGUAUCAAAGUUGGUGGAAGCUACUUGGACUGGCAAUGCUAAAGUUCUAAAUCUUGUCAAAUCUCAUAUUUUUGUCAGCUUGAGUACACCAAGAGCAAUAAUGAAUGAUCGUGGAAAACAUUUUUGCAAUCGUGUAGUUUAGGCUUUGAUGAAGAAAUAUGGUGCCACCAUUGAGUUUCUACUACUAACCGCAGUAGUAGCAUCAGCUAAAAUUUGUCCCUUUUAUGGGGUAGACUUUUUUCAUAAUAUUGUUCACAUCCAUAAAGGAGUCGAAUGAAACCAAAGUUUUAAAGGGAAAUUGGAACGACUUUUUGGAGCUUUUAAGGCAGUCUUAAAAUUCCUUUCUUCUUUUCAAUUUCGAUUGGAUCAUUUUUCUGAAGAUUGAAUACCAUAACUCUUAUUUGUAUUUUACUUCUGAAGAAAGUGAAAAAAUUGUAGAGUGGUCUACUAAAUUGUUCCACCAAAUAAUUGUUGCUGGGCAUAUGUGACUUGGUGUGGAUGGAGGAUCUAACGGUGAUAUAUUUAUCAAAAGUACAAGAAGUAUAUUGAUUUGGAAGUUUAGUGGUCUGAUAAACUCCAACUAAUUGAUUGAGAAGUAUUUUUGGAGUUCAGUGACCUGAUGUUAUUGAUGAUCAAUUGGAUGUAGUCGAGUUGCAAAAAAGUAUAACAUUAUUCUAAAUAGUGAAAUAGUGACUACUUGUACAUUUUGCAAGGUUGAAGGGUGAACUAAACUAUUUAAUAUUCAAGUUGACUAUAUGUACAUUUUGCAAGGUUGAAAGGUAAAUUAAAUUAUUUAAUAUUUGAGUUGAGCUCAAUUGGGUUUCAGACUCAUUUGAAUUCAAUUCACAAACUAAUCAAACUAAAUAUGAACAACAUUUUGUACUUUAUUAUAUCCAAAAUUCAGCUUGAACUUCACUCAAUUAAUAUGAUAUUCAAAAUUUACAUGUAAAAAAUUCAAAUUAUUCAAACUUGACAGGAGCUCAGCGCCAUAAAAGCUUCAUUAACUUUGAUUCAAUAAAUAAACAAGCAAAAUCUGAACAUAAUUUCAAACAUGUCAAAAUAAACAAAUGAGCUUAAACACUAGAAUAUUCAUCUUGAUUAGACUCAUUUACACUUUAAACUCAUCUUGGUAAAAUGCAAUUUUAGUCCACAAAAUUUUUAUUUUAGCCAUUUUUAGAAUAAUUGACAAAAACUUAACAAUAGCUAAUAGUUAAAAUCAAAUUGCUACUACAACUUUGACUUUUCAUUCUUGGUCCCUUAUGUCUGGAGUUUUAACUAUUUAGUCACCUAAGUUUUCAAAUAUUUGAUAUUGAUGGUUUUACGAUGAAAUGAGAUGCGAUUUAGAAUGAAAUUGUGUUAAAUAGGUAAUAGUGUCAUAGUUAAACUUUUUUUCAUCUUUUUCAUCUUUUAUUUCAUUUUAUUUAUGCCACUACGCUUCUUCUCUUCUACAUAGUUGGUAUUCAAUUUGGUAUACAAUGUGUAAGUAUUGUUUAGCUUAUUUGAAAAGGUAUUGUUUUGCAUUUUUAAUAACUGAUUGAUAUAAGUUUUAUGAAUUUUGACUUUUGGUGAUAAUAAAAUAGCUUAAUUGAUUAUCAUUUUAAAGUAAAGGACUAUAUACUAUAAAUAAAUUAAUUUCAUCCUUCUUUUUCUUUUUGCCUUUGAAUAGAUUAUCAAUUGAGUUUGAAAUUAAGCAUUGGCUCCGUUUGGAUUUGAGAGUUUUUCAAAAACUUGUUUUUCAUCUACAAUGCUACAGUAAAAAUUUUACAAAAACACCAUAUCCAAACAAAUAUUUUAAAAACAACUCCAAAUAUAAAAAAUAUAUAUAUAUUUAUAUAUAAAUAUUAUAUACAAAAAAAUAUAUUUUGUUUAAUAAAUAUAUAAAUACAUAUAUAAAUAUUAAUACAAAAAUUAAUAUACAAAAAUAUUUAUAUAUAUAAAUAUUAUAUACAAAAAAUAUAUUUUGUUUAAUAAAUAUAUAUUUAUAUAUAAGUAUUAAUACAAAAUAUAAAUAUAUAUAAUUAAAUAUAUUUACAUAUACUUAUAUUUAUUUAUUUAAAUACAUAAAUAUAUUUAUAUAAAUUUAUAAAUAUAUUUAUUUCAAAUUUUUUAUAAUAUGUAAAUUAAUAUAUAUUAAUAUGUAUAUUUUGAUAUUUAUAUUUCAAUUAUGAAUAUAAGAUAUAUAUAAAUUAUAGUAAUAUUAAUGUAUUUCAAUUAUGUAUAUUAAUAUGUGUAAUAUAUAUAUAUUAUAUCAAUUGAAAUAAAUAUUAUAUUUUUAUAUAUAAAUAUAAAUAUUUUGUUUAAAAUAUAUUUAUAUAUAUAUAUUUAAAUAUAAAUAUAAAAUAUAUUUAUUUAUAUAUUUAUAUAAAUAUGUAAAUAUAUUUAUAUAUUUUAACUUUGUUUUAUAAUAUGUAUAUUAAUAUGUAUUAAUAUGUAUAUUUCAAUUAAUAUAUUGUAUUAUAUAUAUAAAUUAUAUAAAUAUUAAUAUGUAAUUUAAAUUAUGCAUAUUAAUAUGUAUAUCAUAUAUAUUAUAUCAAUUGAAAUAAAUAUAUGUAUUUAUAUAUAAAUAUUAAUAUUUGUUUAAAAUAUAUUUAUAUAAAGAUAUAAAUAUAUACAUAUCAAUUUUGUUUUAUAAUAUGUAUAUUAAUAUAUAUUUGUAUAUGUAUAUUAAAUAUAUAAUAAUAUACAUAUUAAAAAAUUGAAAUAAAAAUAUUAUAUAUAUAAAUAAAUAAACAUUAAUAUAUAGAAAUAGAGCUAGUAUAUAUUUAAAAAGAAUCUCAACAAAAUUCUAAAUUAUAAAAAUAUUCAAAAAUAUAUUUUAAAAAUACCUCUAAAAACAAUCCAAAAACAUUUACAGUAAAAGUUUUUCAUAUACAAAGUUACAGCAACAUUUUUAAAAAACACCUCCAAAAACAGCUAAUCCAAGCGGAGCCUAUAUCUUAGUAAUAUUUAUAAGUUCUAUUUGCUGCUCCAACACUACCAUCUCUAUUGCCAUUCUGCAUUAGUUCUUCUCGCUUAACAAUAUAUAUUUUGUGUAUCUUAGUAAUAUUUAUAAGUUCUAUUUGCUGCUCCAACACUACCAUCUCUAUUGCCAUUCUGCAUUAGUUCUUCUCGCUUAACAAUAUAUAUUUUGUGUAUCAAAAAUAUCUGUUUUAUACAAUAGCAUCAAUUUUUAGGGGGGCAUUCCAUUUUUGUUUGAUUUUUUCCCGAGUAGGAGAGAAAAGGGAGAUUUGAACUCAGAAUUUCCAAAUCUUAAAAUCUCUACAUUAAUCACUAAAUCAAAGUCUCGUUAACAAUUUUUACAAUAAAUUGACAUAUUCGCCUUAAAAUAUUAAAGGUUUUGACAACAUUUCAAUAAUUUGAAUGGUAUGCAACAUUAGUUCCUCCGAUUACUUCUUUUGCUAGACAGUGGCAGCCCAAACAAGAAAAAUAUUUGUAAGAGGAUGACAUAAAUAGUAAGUAAAAUAAAUUCUCGACACAAAUGGCAAGUAAAAUAAAUUAUUGGGUGUCCCCAAAAUCCACCUUAAUGUACUCUUAGAUCUUUUCCUUUCUUCCUUCCCCAAUUUAUAAUUUAGAGUCUUGAGAAGUAAAGUAGUUGGUAUUUACUUUGUAUCAGCCUUCCCUUAAACCAAUAAUAAAUUGUCAAAACUGAAGGAAUAUAUAACGAAUAAUGAGUCAGAGAAGCAAUGUAGUUGGUUUUUGCAUUUUAUAACACACCAAAAACGAAGCUGGUUUGACAGGAAGUUUUAAACCAUUUGUAAAUGCAGUGAGGCUCAAAUAGGAUACAAUGGAAAGUUCGUUAGUUCUAAAUUUCUUAGCAUUUCUAAACAAGAGCCAAUAGCAUUAUCCAGUAUCUCCUGUGGAAAUGCAAGUCAAAGCAUUUCUCGAUCUACGUUUGCCACUAUUUAUUUGCUAUUUUUGUACCUAAUAAACUCCACAGGAGUCUUUUUCUGCAGAUGCAGAGGAUAAAUAAUUAUUAGAUGAAGAGGACAAAGAAAGUGUGGAAGCUGAACAUCUUGACACGGAUUAUUUACUCUUCAGUCUCAUUUAACUAAAAAAAAGUGAAAGGGAAGUGAUCCAACUGAAUGUAAUGGUUCACAAUUGACUGGUUUUUCCACAAAAUAGAACACCAAAAAUACAAAGGCAUGGCGGACGGUUCAUUGGUUUCGGCUUGAUUUUUCGACGGUUGAAAGUUUCAGCACAAAAAAGACAGUCUUUAAAACGGAGUUGUGAAUGACCACCCAAGGGAAGUUAAUGGUAAGAGUAGGUUGAGAAAGGGUUCUUCUAACAAGGAUUUGAUGAGCUCGUUAGUACACAUAAAUAAUACUCAACUAAUAAUGUCUCAAUGCACACAUUUAUAAUUAUUGCCUGUCCUUGCAUUUAUGCACUUCCCUCAACUUUACUUCUUCAAAACAUUGCCACUUGAACGAUACCAUGAGACUGCCGAGAGACCUACAAAGAACAAAAGAAAAGUCCAGUUGCAGUUUACUAAUGUGCCAGACCCAACACAAUAACGAUAUUGGUAAGAUUAGCAUAUUUUAUUCAGAAUUUCUCAAUAAAGAUGCCAUAGUUGUACUACAAUCAAAGAUUUUAAUAUCAAAUGAUGAAGCUCAGUUGUAUAUAUGUCCUAAAUAUGUACUUGUCAGAGUGGAGGUGGCUUCCUGAUCUUUGUGGCUUGCUCAAAGUCGUAUGCUAUCUCUUUCAGUUUUGGCUCUGAUCCUUUUAGCCCUCCAAAAGAAAUGCCAUAUGGGGUGCCAUUAGAGUUAUAACCUGCUGGAACAUUUAUUCCAGGAUAUCCUCCGGUGGAUGUAGCAUAUAUAAUAUUUGCACCAGGUGUCACGAAGGCAUCCAAUUUAUUUUCCUUCAUCAACUUCUCGAAUCCAUUUUUGGAUGCUCUAGUUAAAUUAAGAAGUAGUUCCCUUUCCAUUCUGCCAAUGCCAUGGGUUUUCUCUGCUGCCUCAAAUAUAUCUUGCCCGUAUUGUUCUAUCCUUUCCUGAAGCACAUGCAGUCAAGUAGUCUAAGAGUAUUGUGUCUCUAACAUAAGGCCAUGGACUGAAUUGGGCCUAUUGUUUACUCACCAACUUUGAGUGUUUCUUAUUAAAGACUAUUGCAUCGGCUAGGGAUCGCACAGGAGAGGCAAUCAACUGUUUUAGAUAAGCAUUUAAUGCCAGCUUGAAUUCCACAUUCAUGGCUUUGAAUUGGUCAUUGUACAUUGAAGCUACGAUGGUGUCGAAUCUGGCUGUAUCCACAAUGUCUACCAACACUGCACCUCGUUUCUUUGUUUUAGACAAAAUUUUAGAAAACUGCGUCAGAACUUCGAAAAAUAUUGAAAUAGCCUGACCCAAGUCUAAUCAAAACAAGAUUUUCUAUUUGUUCUGUUAAUGAACCAAAAGACAUGGUGGAAGGUUUUUAACUUUGAUCCAAAUGCAAAGUUAAUCAAGAUGCAGUUUAAAGUAAAAACUGAACAAUUUGUUGUAGUUAGUCAUUCAGCUACUUUACAAGUUUAUAGAUAAGUUCACAUGCCAGGUCAAUCACAAUCAUCUUUCCUUGGACAUCCAAUGUAAGCUUUCAAUUAGGUAUAGAAGACCUUCGAAGGUUAGGCUAAUACCUUAGAAUGUGGAAGUGAGGUUCAAAAGCUUUCAGUGUUUUAGAGGAGUUGCCGAAUCCUACAAAGGAGUACCUUGGAAUCCCCAAUCUCUUUCCUUUAAGUCCAUUAGACUUAACAAAUUUCAAAUAGCCUCCAUGAGGAAUAUACUUCGAAACUUUUUUGGUUGCUACUACAUCAUCAGGGUCAAAUCCAACGAUGGCAUCAAGAACAUACACUGCAUCAGACACAGUCCUGCAUAUCGGCCUGUUCUGCCCGAUAAAGGUAUUGUUAUGAGUUUGUAUCUAUUUAUAAAUACUUCUUUGUCAUUUUUAAGCACUAAUUUCAAAUCUAUGUUAUAUGGCAAUAAAAUAUUGAUGUAAUAAAAAAAAUUGAGCAUCUUUCAUUACCCAACAGUAUCCUAUCGAUGUGAAAUAGGGACAACGCCAGCUCGACUUGUGAGCCCUACAGUUGGUUUGAUUUCCACGACUGAAUUAGAACUAGAAGGGCAUAAAAUUGAUCCAUAUGUUUCUGUACCCAAAGUAACCAUAGCCAUAUUUGCUGCAACUGAUGUUGUUGAACCGGUGCUUGAUCCACAUGGAUCAGCAGAUUUAAGGUAAGGGUCCUACAUGGAACCAAAAUCAUAAUAUGUCAUUGUAUAUCAGUACUUGCAUUUCUAAUUAAUUGACCUGGUAAGGCUGCAUAAGGACUCAGCUUUUGUUUCCUAAACAACAAAUUGUUGAGAACAACAAAACAAAUAAAAACAAAACUUCUGACUCAAAUAAUUGUAUGGAAGUUUGGAAUUUCAGUUGAAGCAUAUGAGCAACUCACCACACUUUGGCCACGUCUAGCAUUCCAACCAUUAGGCACAUUGUUUGACCUGUAUGCAGCCCAUUCUGUCAUGCUAGCCUUUCCUGAUAUGAUUGCACCAGCCCUCCUUAGCUUCUUAACCACCCAGCAUCCCGAGAUACAAUUGAUCCUAGAAGUGCAUAAGAUCCAGCUGUUGUAUUAAGCUUAUCCUUGGUUGCAAUGUUGUCUUUGAGCAGAAUCAGAAUACCAGCCAGUCCUGUCUCCGAUCCUGGCUUCUUAGCCUUUCGAUCCUGGUCUGCCUUGUGGGCUAAAUAUAGAGCAUCUGGAUUCACUUCUAUGACUCCAUUAAGAACUGGAUUUAGUCUCCUAAUCUCUUUGAGGUAGAAUUUAACUAAUUCCUGAGAAGUGAGUCUAUUAUGAUUCAAGGCAAUCCGAAUAUCAUGCAUCGUACCUUUUCUGAAUGAGAAGGGACUUCCCUCAGCAUUAUGAUUGAGGCCGAGAAUAGUAAUACUUGAAAAAAGUAGCAGCGGUAUAUCCAUGUGGAUUUCUAUGCUGCAAUAUCUUUGAGAGAAACUUGUUUCGUGCUUUUUCUUUCUGUGAUGUUCUGAACUUAGUUACUGAUAACAAGGUACUAUUUCUCCAUGUGGUGAUUGACUAAUAUAUUCGAGACAAUGGAUAUGAUACAGUCGGACGAUUUCAUCCUCUAUUGUUGCUUGCUUGGCCAUGUUCUCUAUGAUAAAGACUCUGUUGACUGUGACUUGUAUUUUUUGUAUAGUUCUUUCAGAGAAAAACAUAAAUGAAUAAAGGAUAAGUUACUCAUAACCCCGUGCCUUUUUUUUCCAUGAUAUCACAUGAUGCCUUAAAGUUUCAAAAUAUUUACAUAGUAUCUUAUAAAUUUUUUGUAAAGUGGUAUUUUGACAAAAAAGUACUAGUUGAAAUGCCAAUAAUAGCCUAACUUAAGCACUAUAUUGAAUACAAAAAAUCACUUUACAUAAAAUUAUAGAGAGAUUAUGUAGAUAGAUAUAAAAUUACAAAGGAUUUGAGUAGAUAUUUAUGCAAAACAUUCAAGGGUCCAAUGAAUAUAUAAGCAAAAUCAUAGGUAGAUUAAGUGUUUAUUAUAAUUUCAUUGCACUUACUUCUACAUCUCAAUCAAUAGCCGUUAUCAGAGAUACUUUCCAUUCAUUUUUCACAUUACAUAAAACUAUAUGAGCAUUAUGUAGAUAUUUUGAAAUUUUACGAGAGCCAUAUAGUAUUUAUGCAAAAGCACAAUAAGACUAUAAGUAAUUUACUCGUAAAUAAAAGGAGAAAAAGCAAUAGCCAAUCAUUUCUUUGAUGAAAACAAAGGCCACUGAGGAUGGUCACCUCGGUACUCGUCUAACCCGAGGUGGCCACCUCGCUCAUCACGAACUCCACUUCCUGGUCUCAACCCGAUCUCAGGCUCUGCCACGGAUGAUCUCCUAUAUACUUUGGCUAUCCCAUCUCGACUGCACGCGGAUGAUGUCAUCCUACCUGACACCAUAUUGAACGCCAGUGCUUUAUCUGAAGAGCUACUAAUGCUCUUAAUGGCGGCCACAUAGUGCUAUCUGUCAGGAGGCCCAGACUGCUACAGUGUCAGGGACAGACCUCUAGGCGGGAAAUAGAGCCGUAAUACUCAGAACAUGGGACCCGCUAGCAUGAGCCCCUCGUCCAGUCCUGUCCACUCUUACUCUAUAAAAAUCUCCUGUUCAAUCUCGACAAGUAAGCACACUAUUGCACUCGUACUGUUCAUUACUCUCCUUUCUUUCUCUAUACUGACUUGAUCGUCAGAGUGAUUCCAGGGGACGAAGCCCCACCUCUCACUCCGAAAUAGUAAUCCCAUCUCCAAAUUUCACGUAGCCGAAAGAGGGAGUUGAAUUAGGUCAGUUUGACUACUUAACCAAAAAUCGUCUCUUCAACUGGCGCCGUCUGUGGGAACGUACACUCUAAGAUGAGAUCCAUGUGAUCCUGGAGUAGAAGAGUUCCCUCAAUUGGGGCUGAGCCAAGCUCAGCUGCUCAGCAAGAUCAUGUUUCUGAGAAGCACGGGUCCACUGGGGCCCGGCCCAAGAACGAAGACGUCAUCGUGAAGAUGGCCGAGUUCGUAGCAGGAAACCCCACCAUCUUUGAAGAAUUGGGAAGGUACUUCAAGAGGCAGGGAAAGGAAAAAGCUGAAUCCUCCAAGAGGAGGUCAACAAAAUCCCUCGAGAUGCCUUUUGGAGAGGACUCAGAUGACGGGUAUCUUGACCAAAACGCCUCGAAAUGUGCUUCCUCAAAGGCCAUGUCCAUGAUUGCCUCCAUUUCUAGAGUAUUCUCCCGAAGUUUACUGGGGAGACGGUCUGAGGACGAACGUCGACGACCAGAGGGGCUGGCCGCUGAUUAUAUGAGGGUUGCGCCCUUCACCGAUGACAUCAACAGGAAAAUGGUUCUCUCCAAUUUCAAGCUCCCGAUCCUAUAGCCGUAUGACGGACAAAAGGAUCACUUCCGCGUUUUCAUCUUAGCAUUCCGGCUAUACUGCGUCCCUGAUGCAGUAAUCUGCCGAGCCUUUCCUAUCUUCCUACAAGACACUGUCUGGAAGUGGUUCUGGAGUUUAGAACCCAGCAGCAUAUCCUUACUGGACGAGCUGGUGGACAGGUUCAUCCACUGCUUCGUAUCGUCUCAUCCGGUUACAAAAACCUUAGCCUACCUCCUGAACCUAUAGCAAGCUCCCGGGGAGUCCUUGCGCUCGUAUGUGCAAAGGUUCAACGAGAAAAACGUGCAGAUACCUGACCAGAAUGAGUAGGUAACCAUGGCCGCCUUAACCAAUGGGUUGAUCGUGGGAACCUUAUACACAUAGAUACAUCGGGACUACCCCCGUUUAUUUCGGGAACUCUGGGAGCGGGUGGAUCGAGGCAUCCGAAGUAAGGACCUAAACCACAUGAAGUGGAAAGCCCAGGCCGCCCGCAACGGGCAAGAGUCUUGAACGAAGAAAGAUAUCGGCAGAGUUGAUCCAGGCCGCAGCGGCUUGUCGAAUCAAUUCCGAGAUCGCCGGAGCGUUUUUGACAGGAUUGUGAAGAGGAGAUCAUCCACUUCGGACAUUGAGCUGACUCCCCUUAAUUCCAGCGGGUCUCACAUUCUAGCUGUAAUGAGGCAAAACCACCUCGAUCGAGUCCCUCCUGAGAUCCUGGACAGGAGGGAGAAAAGGAACUCCAGUCUCUACUGUGCCUACCACCAAGACAUUGGGCACGAGACCGAAAACUGCAAUGAUUUGAAGAAAGAGAUCGAAAACCUGAUUAGGCAGGGAUACCUGAAACAGUUCGUCUGCAAGGAUGGAGGUUUCAGAAGAAGUGAAUCCCACCGGAAAAAUAGGGGCCCCUGCCGAGAAGACAGACGGGAUACGAAGAGCCAUUGCCGAGACCUCGAAGACCAUAGCGAGGACAAAAGGCCCCCCUGAGACGGGUCCCCGGAUUAUGGCCCUAACAUCGUAGGGUCAUCAACACAAUCGCAGGUGGUCCGACAGGAGGAGAUAGUCAAAACUCUCGGAAGAGGACCUACCUCCAAGUCAGCAUAGAAGCUGCCGAGGGCAGCUCCAGGCUUUCCGAAGUCAUCACCUAUGGUCCCAGUGACCCCGUUCCUGCUGCCUCCAACAACCACGAAACCCUCGUGAUCGAGAUCCUUACCAAUAACUACAUAGUCAAAAAGGUUUAUAUCGAUCCAGACAGGUCGGUAGACAUCUUGUACUACGGAACUUUUGAAAGUCUGAAGUUGACCCGAGAGCAGCUUACCCCUAUCUGGACCCCUCUUGUAGGAUUCGGGAGACAUGUGGUUAACCCUGAACGGAUGGUCUCCCUGAUGGUGACUAUUGGCCUCCAUCCCCGCUGCCAAACUGUCCCUAUAAGCUUUGCCGUGGUCAAAACUGACUCCCGGUAUAACAUGUUGAUCCGCCGGCCCACACUCAAUGCCUUGAGCGCUGUGUACUUCACAUAUCACCUGAGUUUCAAAUUCCCCAUACCCGCUAGAGUGGCCGAGGUGAGCAGCGAUAUGAGCGCGGCUAAGGAGUGCUACCUCGCCAGCAUACAGGCCGCAGUCACCCCGUGAGCUGAGUCAAAGGCCGAGUGGAAGAGGCCGGAUGUCCUCUCCAUAAACUGUAUCGACCACCAAGAUGCCGGAAAACCUGGCAGGCUGGACGCCGGGGACGAGGUGAGGUCCGACCAAGUGAUUCAAGUGGGGACGAACCUUCCCUCACCCUUUAGAGAAAAAAUGAUCGGCCUGAUAAAAGAGCACCGAGAUGUUUUUGUUUGGACAGCCGAUGAAGUGGUCAGAGUACCACCUGAACACAUGAUACACUGACUUAACGUCGAUCCACAUGCUCGUCCGGUUAAGCAAAAACGGAGGCACUUCGGCCUAGAAUGCAGCAAAGACAUCUUCGGAGAAUACCACGGUCACAGAAUAGACGGGCCGACGCUCUAUCCCGGUUAGAUUCCACUUCAUUUUCCAACCUCAGCAAGACAGUUCUAGUGGAAGUCAUGGACGAGUCAGGAUACUUGGAAGAGACGAUCUAUCCUGUAGACUUGGGGGACACGUGGAUAAGCCCAUUUAUCUUAUUUUUAAGUCAGGGAAUCCUUCCUGAGGACCGAGCCGAAACGAGAAGGAUCCAACGCAAAACUGCUCGGUACGUACUCCGGGAAGGGGAGCUAUAUAAACGAUCCUAUCUUGGCCCGUGGCUGAGAUGCAUUACGCCGGAGGAAGGACACCGCAUCCUCUAGGAAAUCCAAAAAGGCCUUUGUGGGACCCACGUCGGUCACAGGAUGUUGGCUAAAAAAGCCCUAUUCCUCGGGUAUUUCUGGCCUAUUGUCCGACAAGAUGCUCAAGACCUUGUUUUUGGCUGCCCUUCCUGUCAAGUCCAAGCCCCCGAACACCACCAUGCCACAAAUCUCAUGGUUCCUAUCACCUCACCCUGGCCAUUCGAACAAUGGGGGAUAGACAUUAUCGCCCCCUUCCCUAAGGCCAUUGGAGGAUAUACUUUCCUUGUGACCGCGGUGGACUACUUCUCUAAGUGGGUCGAAGCCGAUCCUUUAAGGACCAUCACAGGGUUACCAGUCCAAAAAUUCUUUUGACAAUGCAUAAUCUACCGCUUUGGCAUACCUUGGAUGAUCGUUUCGGAUAAUGGGAAGUAGUUUGCCGAGAAUUUGUUUAAAACUUGGUGCGAGGGUCUCGGCAUCAAGCAAUAUUUCACUUCGGUAGGUCAUCCUCAGGCUAAUGGUCAAGCAGAAAACUUUAACCGAACACUCUUGCAUGGGUUCAAGACCCGAUUGCAUCAAGUUGGAUCAUCAUGGGUAGACGAACUCCCCAGCGUCUUGUGGUCCUACUGAACCACGCCGAGAUCGGCUACGCAGGAAACCCCCUUCUCCGUGGCGUACGGCUUCGAAGUAGUCAUUCCGGUCGAGAUCCUGACACCCAAUCAUCAGAUUGCAGCAUAUGCGGCCGAGGUGAACAAAGAGGAAAGACAAUUGGAUCUCGAUCUCGUGGAGGAGAGGAGGGACGUCGCUUCAACUCGGGUAGUUUCAUACAAGAACAAUUUGGUCCGGCACCAUAAUGCCCGUGUAAAAUAUCGUCAAUUUUAACCGAGAGACUUGAUCCUCCGAAAAAACUUGGUCAGCUGAGUUGAACCGCAAGGUAAAUUAGCCCCGAAGUGAGAGGGCCUCUACCGAAUUAUGCAAUCUAGCCUGAAUGGGUAUUGUAAGUUAGGCUACCGAGAUGGUUCUCUAGUGCCAAGGACUUGGCACGCCGAGAACCUUAGAUUGUAUUAUCCUUGAGAAUUUUAACGAGUUGUUGACUAUUAAACCACUUGAUUAUUUUUAAUAUCUUAAUGCCGUUUGCUUGCUAUUAAAAAAUAAAGGGGACAAGUAGGAGACGAAGUAAAAAAGAAAAAGAGAGACGAUAUGAAGAAAACUCAAUCCAUUUCAUUAAACGUCACAAAAAGUACAAGAACCGAGGUCAGGGAUACUACUAAGCACCUCCCACCUCAGUAUUCUCAUCGCUCCCCACUACUCCCUCAGCCUCGGUUCCCCUGUGACCGGUCAUCUUCUCCGUCUUUUUCUUCGCCAACAUGACCAUUUUCGGCAGCCACUUCCACAAACUCCUAGUCGAGUUCGAACAGCCAUCGGUUGAACUCGUCUCAAACCUCGGCCAAGUUCUUUCUAGCCUGAAUUUCUUCGACCAUUCGAUCACACAACUCCUUGGACUCUUCAUUAUAGUUGGCUUUGUUUUUAAAAUGCUCCAAGUAUUCGGAGGAGAGGUGAGGAGCAACCUCGUCAAUGGCAGAAGUGUGGCCGAACAUAAAACUUGGCAGGGUCAGCUCCUCGGGAUCUUUAUUGAAGGCCUCGGACCUCCUGAAAUCCUCCACAGCCGAGGUCCUGGCACCUUCGAGUACUUGUUGGUGGGAUUUCUUCUCCUCUUUUCCCCUUUUCUACCCCUCUUCAAGAGCCGAUCUAAGGCUGUUGAUGGUGGCCUUGGCCUCCUCUCCCUUUGCCUAGACCUGAUGGAGUCAGUUUUGGAGCUCGAUCUUCUCAGACUCAGACACCGCAAGCUUCCUCUCCAACUUAAAGAUUUUUUCUUGCAACUUGCCGGAGUCUUACUUCUCGAGUAGGUCACUGUACCGACGUGUCGUAUCAGCAACGAAAGCUGUAGAAGAGGCUAUUGCCAGUUCGGGAGGAGUCAGCUUCUCGGUAAACUCCGCAUCCCUCAGCAAGUUGAAAAACAUAACCCACUCUUGCGUUACGCGAGGAUGGGUGCACCGGUCAUUGAUUGAGAGCUGCCAGUUCGGAUACCAGUGCUCGCCGGAGUGCAUCUUGUCUUCUCCGAAAAAUCGAGGUGAGCUAUGGAAACGAUUCCACAACGAAGACCCCAUGACCGGCAUGACUGAGGACUUCAGUUGCUUGCCUCGGCCAUGAGGAGGAAGCGCGACUGUGACCCCUUGAAUGGCUACCCCUUCUGGCACAGACGAGGUGGGCUCGGUAGCUGCCGCAGCUGAACUGCUCUUGGCUGCCGCAGCCGAGCUACUCUUGGCCACCGUAGUUUUAACUUCAGGCAUUUGUGUUUUCUUCUUCGACAGUUGUGCCGAUGUCUCUCCCGAACUUUUCCUCUUCGGUCUCUUGGCCACCUCUGUUGAGUCGGAGGUUAUGAAGUCAGAUACUUUAACCACUGCACAAGAAACAAAUAUUAUUAUCUAUACUAGCCGAAGUAAGAAGAAAGCUAAGAAAGAAAAAUUACAAGGCUUUUGGAGUUUAGUAGAAAAGAAAGCUGUUUUCUCGGGGUCGAUGGCAGCUCGGUUGAUUCCUCCGUCAACCAGCACUGCCUCGAGGUAGUCCCAAUUAUAGAUUUUGAGAUCUGACCCAUUAUCUUCUGAAAGCUCUUCUCGUCCAAGUUCCCUGGGAAAAGGUCAUUUUUCGCAUUCACGGGCCUCCACCAGAAGCCCCAUGGGAAGUCCUCGGCCGAGACGAACAUGAAGUUACGUUUCCAGUUCUUUAACAAAAUGAGGGCACCGACAACAAGUUUCAGGUUGGUGUUGUUCCGAUUGCAAAAAUAGAAUCACCCCUUUUCGCUUCCGUGCCUCUUGAUGAUGUAGCAUUGGCGGAAGAGAUAGACAGUGGGAGUCACCUUUUGUUCUUGGCAAAGCAUUUUAAAUCCCACCAAUAUUCAGAUCGCGUUCGAGAUGAGCUGGGUUAUUCGAACUGUAAAAUACGAAGUACAUUUCGAAAAAAUCUCGUGGUAGGCAUCUUGAGCCCGGCUUCAAGCUGCUCCGUGUAGAUGGCAACGGAGCCCAUUGAGGGCCUCUCGGCUGUGUGGUUCCACCCAAGAGUCCCAAUGCUGUACUCCUCUCUGAAGGGGGACUUCCGCACUAUCCUAUUGGCCGCCGCCGUGCCGAUUCGACUUCGGUACGAUGGAAUAUGGCCGAAGUCAAUGGCAGAGAAACCCUUAGGAAUGACUGGCUCUGCCACUCCCUCAUCACAGGAGACUUCAAUUCCGAGUUCGUCGUUGUAGAAGAUCUCUGAGCGCCUCUCGAGAGACUCCCCAACUUGGGAGUUUUGGUGAAUUCUUUUCCUGAACUGGACGUUUCUUCCUCAGAACUGGACGAUGUCGUCCCCUACAAUGGGUCGGGCCCUUCCCUGGCUUCGUAGCUCGGCUUCAAGGUUUUUUAAUGGGUUUUAGCCAUUUUAGCCAUGUAUAAAAAGUGACAUAAAAAAAAAGUACUUACUAUUGGCCUAGGAAUUGGACAAGAUGAAGAUCUCGACUGCCUUUCUCGCGAUCUCGGCUGAAAAAUAGAUCUCGGCAAAGCUCUCAAAUUUGCGAAAGUCCAGAUAUGAAGAUGAAAAAUAAUGAAUAGUGCGGUGAGAAGGACCCUCUAUUUAUAGGGGUUAGAAAGAAUACGAAGAGGCGGCAAGAAGACGAGAAGGCGACAACAUUAAAAGUCAAAAGGACGUGUCUCCCUCUCUCCUAAUUAAUACUCCGUCCUUUCAACUACCACGUUCUCUGCAUGUAACCAUCCACUAUACCACGUCCUCUCUUGUCCACAUGUCACGUCCCCUAAUCUUUCGGUACAAGUUGAAAUCUCAGGAGUUGAACGGUCUUGGCACCCUGGAGCCUCGGAACCUCUCAGACCUGUGCGCUCCCGAGGAUUGGAGGGCUUAUUGAGAAUGGUCUCCUCGGUACUCGUCUAACCCGAGGUGGCUACCUCGCUUAUCACAAACUCUACUUACUAGUCUCGGCCCGAUCUUAGGCUCUAUCACGGAUGAUCUCCUAUGUACUUUGGUCAUCCCAUCUCGCCUGCACGCGGAUGAUGUCAUCCAACCUGACACCAUAUUGAAAGCUAGUGCUUUAUCUGAAGAGCUACUAAUGCUCUUAAUGGCUGCCACACAGUGCUACCUGUCAGGAGGCCCAUACUGCUACAGUGUCUGGGACAGACCUCCAGGCGCGAAACAGAGCCGUAAUACUCAGAACGUGGGACCCGCUAGCAUGAGCCCCUCGUCCUAUCCUAUCCGCUCCCACUCUAUAAAUAUCUCCUGUUCACUCUCCACAAGUAAGCACACUAUUGCACUCGUACUGUUCAUUACUCUCCUUUCUUUCUUCAUACUGACUGGAUCGUCGGAGUGAUUUCCGGGGACGAAGUCCCGCCUCUCACUUCAGAAUAGUAAUCCCAUCUCCAAAUUUCACGUAGCCGAAAGAGGGAGCUGAAUUAGGUCAGCUCGACUACUUAACCAAAAAUCACCUCUUUAAUUGGCGCCGUCUGUGGGAACAUACACUCUAAGAUGAGAUCCACGCGAUCCCGGAGUAGAAGAGUUCCCUCAACUGGGGUUGAGCCAUGCUCAGCUGCUCAGCAAGAUCACGUUUCUGAGAAGCACAGGUCCGCUGGGGCUCGGCCUAAGAACGAAGACGCCAUCACGAAGAUGGUCAAGUUCGUAGUAGGAAACCCCACCAUCCUUGAAGAACUGAGAAGUUACUUCAAGAGGUAGGGGAAGGAAAAGCUAAAUCCUUCAAGAGGAGGUCAGUAAAAUUCCCCGAGAUGCUUUCCAGGGAGGACUCAGACGACGGGUAUCAUGAUCGAAGUGCCUCAAAACGUGCUUCCUCAAAGGCCACAUCCAAAAUUGCCUCCAUUUCCAGAGCGUUCUCCCGAAGUUCACUGGGGAGACGGUCUGAGGAUGAACGUCGACGGCCAGAGAGGCUGGCCGCUGAUUAUAUGAGAAUUGUACCCUUCACCGAUGAUAUCAACGGGGAAAUGGUUCUCCCCAAUUUCAAGUUCCCAAUUCUACAAACGUAUGACGGACGGGGUGAUCUCCGAGGAUCACCUCUGCACCUUCAUCUCAGCAUUUCGGCUAUACUGUGUCCUCGAUUCAGUAAUCUGUCGAGCUUUUCCUAUCUUCCUACAAGGCACUGUCUGGAAGUGGUUCUGGAGUUUGGAACCUAGAAGCAUCUCCUCACUGGAUGAGCUGGUGGACAGGUUCAUCCACCGCUUCGUAUCAUUUCGUCCGGUUACAAAAACCUCAGCCUACCUCCUGAACCUACAGCAGGCUCUCGGGGAGUCCUUGCGCUCGUAUGUACAAAGGUUCAACGAAGAAAACAUACAGAUACCUGAUCAGAAUAAGCAGGUAACCAUAGCUGCCUUCACCAACGAGUUGAUCGCCGGAACCUUCCACACAUAGUUACAUUGGGACUACCCCCGUUUACUUCAAAAACUCUGAGAACAGGUGGACCGAGGUAUCUAAAAUGAGGAUCUAAACAGCAUGAAACGGGAAGCCCAGGCCGCCUGCAAUGGGCAAGAGUCUCGAAGAAAGAAAGAUAUCGGUAGAGUUGAUCCAGACCCCAACGGCUCGUCGAAUCAAUAACGAGAUCGCCGGAGCGUUUUUGACAGGAUUGUGAAGAGGAGAUCGUCCACUUCGGACGCCGAGCUGACUCUCCUUAAUUCCAGUCAGUCUCACAUUUUAGCUGUAAUGGGGCAGAACCACCUCGAUCGAGUCCCUCCUGAGAUCUUGGGCAGGAGGGAGAAAAGGAACUCCAGCCUUUACCGUGCCUACCACCGAAACGUUAGGCACGAGACCGAAAACUGCAAUGAUUUGAAGAAAGAGAUUGAAAAUCUGAUCAAGCAGGGAUACUUGAAACAGUUCGUCCACAAGGACGGAGGUUUCAGAAGAAGUAAAUCCCACCAGAAAAAUAAGGGCCCCCACCGAGAAGACAAAUGGGAUACGAAGUGCCAUUGCUAAGGCCCCGAAGACCAUGGCGAGGACAAAAGGCCCCCUCCCAAGAUGGGUCCCCGGAUUAUGGCCUUAACAUCGUAGGGGUCAUCAACACAAUCGCGGAUGGUUCGACAGGAAGAGAUAGCCAAAACUCCCAGAAGAGGACCUAUCUCUAAGCCGACAUGGAAGCUGCCCAGGCUUUCCGAAGUCAUCACCUAUGGCCCCAGCGACCCCAUCCCUGCUGCCUCCAGCAACCACGAAACCCUUAUGAUCGAGGUCCUUACCAAUAAUUACAUAGUCAAAAAGGUCUAUAUCGAUCCCGACAGGUCGGUAGACGUCUUGUACUACCGAACCUUUAUAAGUCUGAAGUUGACCCGAGAGCAACUUACCCCUAUCAGGACCCCUCUUGUAGGAUUUCGGGGGACAUGUGGUUCACCUUGAAGGGAUGGCCUCCUUGAUGGUGACUAUUGGCCUCCAUCCCCGCUGCUAGACUGUCCUUGUAAGAUUUGCCAUGGUCACAGCUGACUUCCAAUAUAACAUGUUGAUCGGCCGACCCAUACUCAACGCCUUGAGGGCCGUAUACUCCACCUACCACCUGAGUUUCAAGUUCCCCAUACCCGCUGGAGUGGCCGAGGGGAGCAACGAUGCCAGUGAGGCCAGAGAGUGCUAUCUCGCCACCAUACAGGCCGCAAUCACCCUGCGACCUGAGUCAAAGGCCGAGGGGAAGAGGCCGGAUGUCCUCUCCAUAGACUGUAUCAACCACCAAGAUGCCGAAAAACCUGGCAGGCUGGACGCCGUGGACGAGAUGGAAGAAAUAGUUCUCGACGAGGUGAGACCCGACCAAGUGAUCCAAGUGGGGAUGAACCUUCCCUCACCCCACAGAGAAAAAAUGAUUGGCCUGAUAAAAGAGCACCAAGAUGUUUUUGCUUGGACGGCAAAUGAAGUGGUCGGAGUACCACCUGAGCUCAUGAUGCACCGACUUAACAUCGACCUACGCGCCCGCCUAGUUAAGCAAAAAUAGAGGCACUUUGACUCAGAACGCAGCAAAGCCAUCUCCGGAGAGGUUGACAAGUUGUUGCCAGCCAAGAUGAUUCGGAAAGUCCAGUACCCCACCUGACUGUCUAACCCCAUCAUGGUAAAAAAGGACACCGAUGGAUGGAGAAUGUGUGUGGAUUUCACCGACCUUAAUAAGGCUUGCCCCAAAGAUUGCUACCCGCUGCCGAGAAGAGACGCUCUCGUCGACUCGGUUAUGGGGCAUGAGUUCCUCUGUUUCCUAGAUGCCUUCAAGGGGUACCAUGAAAUAGGAAUGAGUGAGGAAAAUCAGAAGAAGACGGCGUUCUACACCGACCAAGAUGUCUACUGUUACACCACAAUGCCCUUCGAGCUAAAGAACGCCGCGUCGACCUAUCAAAGGCUUGUCAACUGUCUUUUCAAGGACCAGAUUGGUCGCAAUGUGGAGGCCACGUGGAUGACAUCCUCCUAAAAAGCCAAACCUCCUCGACCUUCCUGCCAGACCUGAGGGAGGUAUUUGGCAUUCUCCGAGAAUCCAAAAUAAUACUCAACCCAAAGAAAUGUGUCUUCGGAGUCGCCUCGGAGAAAUUCUUGGGGUACUUAGUUUCCCGCUGGGGAAUCGAAUCUAAUCCCGAUAAAGUCAAGACCAUUCAGGACAUGUCCCCACCUCGGAACUUCCGUGAAGUGCAGAGGUUAAACGAGCGUUUGGCCGCUCUAAACUGCUUCGUCUUAGUCUGCUAAGAAGGCUUUACCCUUCUUCAAGGUAUUGAAGAAGGCUGACCAGUUCGCCUGAAUCGAAGAGUGCCAACAGGCCUUUAACCAGAUGAAAGAAUAUUUACACCACCUUCCUACUCUCGCUUCACCUCGACCUAAGGAAAGGCUGUACCUGUACCUGUCUGCUGCAGACGAGACUAUCAGUGUCGUCCUCAUUCGAGAUGAGGGCGCUCAAGUGCCCGUCUAUUAUGUCAGUCGCGUCCUACACGGGUUCGAGGCCCAGUACACCCGAGCGGAGAAUCUUGUGUUAGGGCUAGUUCAUGCCGCACGGUGAUUGAAACCCUACUUUCUCGCCCAUCCUGUAUCCGUGAGAACAGAUCAACCAAUCCGGCGGAUAUUCGUGCGCCCUGAGAUUUUCGGGCACCUAACCAAGUAGGCUGUUGAAUUGGGAGAGUAUGAUUUAUCGUACGAACCGCGCACUGCCAUCAAAGCUCAAGCAUUGACAAAUUUUCUUACCGAGCUCACCUUCUCUAAGUGCUAAGAUGCCAUUUCCGCCACUUCUAACAUGUCCGAGCCACAGUAAUGGAUGUUGUAUGUGGACGGAUCCUUUAACAGUGAUGGCAGCGGAGCAGGACUGCUUCUAGAAGAUCUCCACGGAGAGGUGUGCUCAUACACCCUCCGCUUUGGCUUCCCGACCACCAAUAAUAAAACCGAAUAUGAGGCCUUGAUUGCGGGAUUUCGGCUAGCCCGUAAACUUGGUGCUUGACGGAUCCAUAUCCGCAGUGAUUCCCAACUUGUUGUGUGCCGAGUGCUUGGUGAAUAUGAAGCCAAGGAAGAGGCCAUGCAAUGGUAUCUCUCCAAAGUUCACCAACUCACCCUGUAUUUCGAGUCUUUUGAAAUCCAAAGAAUACCCCAGUCACGGAACAGACGGGCCGAUGCUUUAUCCUAGUUAGAUUCCACUUCAUUUUUCGACCUCAGCAAGACAGUUCUAGUGGAAGUGCUGGACAAGCCAAGAUACAUGAAAGAGAUGGCCUACCUUGUAGACUUGGAGGACACGUGGAUGAGCCCAUUCAUCUUAUUUUUAAGCUAGGAAAUCCUUUCUAAAAAUCAAAUCGAAGCGAGAAGGAUCCAACAUAAAACUGCUCGGUACGCACUCCGGGAAGGGAAAUUAUAUAAACGAUCCUAUCUUGGCUCGUGGCUGAGAUGCAUUACACCCGAGGAAGGACAUUGUAUCCUCUAGGAAAUCUAAGAAGGCCUGUGUGGAGCCCACGUCGGUCAUAGGAUGUUGGCUAAAAAGGUCCUAUUUCUCGGGUAUUUCUGACCUACUGUCUGACAAGAUGCUCAAGACCUUAUUUUUGGCUGCCCUUCCUGCCAAGUCCAUGCCCCCGAACACUACCAGCCCACAAAUCUCAUGAUUCCUAUCAUCUCACCCUGACCGUUCGAGCAGUGGGGGAUAGACAUUAUCGGCCCUUUUCCCAAGGCUGUCGGAGGAUAUACUUUCCCUGUGACCGCGGUGGACUACUUCCCCAAAUGGGUCGAGACCGAGCCUCUAAGGACCAUCACGGGGUUAGCAGUCCAAAAAUUCUUUUGAAAAUGCAUAAUCUGCCGCUUCGACAUACCUCGGGUGAUCGUUUCGGAUAAUGGGAAGCGAAUCCUGACACCUAGUCCUCAGAUUGCAGCAUAUGCGGCCGAGGUGAACGAAGAGAAAAGACAGCUGGAUCUCGAUCUCGUGGAGGAGAGGAGGGACGUCGCCUCAACCCGGGUAGUUUCAUACAAGAACACUUUGGUCCGGCACUACAAUACCCGUGUAAAAUAUCGUCAAUUUCAACCGGGAGAUUUGGUCCUCCGAAAAGACUUGGCCAGCUGAGUUAAUCCGCAAGGUAAAUUAGCUCCGAAGUGGGAGGGCCCCUACUGAGUUAUGGAAUCUAGUCUGAGUGGGUAUUGUAAAUUAGGCUACCGAGAUGAUUUUCUAGUGUCAAGGACUUGGCACGCUAAGAACCUUAAAUUGUAUUAUUCUUGAGAAUUUUAACGAGUUGUUAACUAUUGAACCACUUGGUUAUUUUUUAAUAUUUUGAUGCCGCUUGCUUGCUAUUAAAAAAUAAAGGAGACAAGCAGAAGACGAAGUAAAAAAGAAAAAGAGAGACGAUAUGAAGAAAACUCAACCCAUUUCAUUAAAUGUCACAAAAAGUACAAGAACCAAGGUCAGGGAUGCUACUAAGCACCUCCCACCUCGGUAUUCUCAUCGCUCCCCACUACUCUCUCAAUCUCGGUUCCCUCGUGACCGGUCUCCUCGCCGUCUUCUUCUCUGUUGACAUGGCUUUCUUCGGCAACCUCUUCCUCAAACUCCUAGUCAAACUCGGACAGCCAUCGGUUGAACUCGUUUCGAACCUCGGCCAAGUUCUUUCCAGCCUAGAUUCCUUCGGCCAUCCGGUCACACAGUUUCUUGGAGUCUUCAUUAUAGUUGGCUUUGUUCUUGAAAUGCUCCAAGUCUUCGGAGGAGAGGUGAGGAGCGACCUCGUCAAUGGUAGAAGUGUAGCCGAACGUAAAAUUUGGCAGGGUCAACUCCCCGAGAUCCUUGUUGAAGGCCUCGGAUCUCCUGAAAGCCUCCACAGCCGAGAUCCUGGCACCCUCGAGUACCUAUUGGUAGGAUUUCUUCACCUCUUUCGGUCUUUUCUGCUUCUCUUCAAGAGCCGAUAUAAGGCUGUUGAUGGUGGCCUCGGCCUCCUCUCCCUUCACGUCGACCUGAUGGAGUCGGUUUUGGAGCUCGAUCUUCUCAGACUCAGACACCGCAAGCUUCUUCUCCCGACUUGGAGAUUUUGUCUUGUAACUUGCCGGAGUCUUGCUCCUUGAGCAAGUCGCUAUACCGACAUGCCAUCUUGGCAACGAAAGCUGUAGAAGAGGCUGUUGCCACUAUAAGGCUCUGGAUCACCUCGGGAGGUGUCAGAUUUUCGAUAAACUCCGUAUCUCUCGGCAAGUUGGAAAACAUAACCAACUCUUGCGUCGCACGAGGAUAGGUACACCUGUCAUUGAUUGAGAGCUACCAGUUCGGAUACCAGUGCUCGCCCGAGUGCAUCUUGUCUUCUCCGGGAAACCGAGAUGAGCUAUGGAAACGAUUUCACAACGAAAACCUCGUGACCGGCAUGACCGAGGACUUCAGUUGCUUGCCUCAGCCAUGAGGAGGAAGCGCGACUGUAACCCCUUGAAUGGCCACUCCUUUUGGCACAGACGAGGUGGACUCGGUAGCUGUCGCAGCUGAACUGCUCUUGGUUGCCGCAGCUGAGCUACUCUUGGCCAUUGUAGUUUUGACUCCAGGCAUUUGUGUUUUCUUCUUCGACGGUUGUGCCGAUGUCUCUCCCGAGCUCUUCCUUUUCGGUCUCUUGGCCACCUUGUCGAGUCGGAGGUUAUGAUGUCGGAUACUUUAACCACUGCACAAGAAGCAAACAUUAUUAUCUAUACUAGCCGAAGUAAGAAGAAAGCUAAGAAAGAAAAAUUACAAGGCUUUUGGAGUUUAGUAAAUAGAAAGCUGUCUUCUCAGGGUCGAUGGCAGCUCGGUUGAUUCCCUCAUCAACCAGCACUACCUCGGGGUAGUCCCAGCUAUAGAUUCUGAUGUCCGACCCCAUUAUCUUCUGAAAGCUUUUCUCAUCCAAGUCCCCUGGGGAAGGGUCAUUUUUCGCAUUCACGAGCCUCUACUAGAAGUCCCUUGAGAAGUCCCCGGCCGAGACGAACAUGAAGUUACGCUUCCAGCUCUUUAUCGAAGCGGGGGCACCGACAACAAGUUUUGAGAUGGUGUUGUUUCGAUUGGAAAAAUAGAACCACCCCUUUUCGCUUCCGUGCCUCUUGAUGGUAUAGCAUCGGCGGAAGAGAUUGACAGUGGAGGUCACCUUUAGUUCUCGGCAAAGCAUUUCAAACCCUACCAAUAUUCAGAUCGCGUUUGGGACGAGCUGAGUUAUCUGACCUGCGAAAUACCAAAUUACGUCUCGAAAAAAUCUCGUGGUAGGCAUCCUGAGCCCGGCUUCUAGCUGCUCCGCGUAGAUGGCAACGGAGCCCAUUAAGGGCCUCUCGGCUGUGUGGUUCGGCCCAAAAGUCCCAAUGCUGUACGCCUCUCUGAAGGGGUACUUCUACACUAUCCUAUUGGCCGUCGCUGUGCCGAUUCGACUUCGGUACGAUGGAAGAUGGUCGAAGUUAGUGGCAGAGAAAUCCCUAGGAGUGACUGGCUCCGCCACUCCCUCAUCACGGGGGACUUCGAUUCCGAGUUCGUCGUUUUAAAUGACCUCUGAGCUCCCCUCGGGAGACUCCCCUACUUGGGAGUUCUCGGCGGAUUCUUCCCCUGAGCUAGACGUUUCUCCAUCAGAACUGGACGACGUCGUCCCCUCUGAUGGGUUGGGCCCCUCCCUAGCUUUAUAGCUCGGUUUCACGAUUUCUUUAUGGGUUUUAUCCGUUCUAACCAUGUAUGAAAGGCGAGAUGAAAAGAAAAGUACUUAUUGUUGGCCUGGGAAUUGGACAAAAUGAAGAUCUCGGCUACCUCUCUCGCGAUCUCGGCUGAAAAAUAGAUCUCGGCAAAGCUCUCAAAUUUGCAAAAGUCCGGAUAUGAAGAUGAAAAAUGAUGAAUAGUACGGUGAGAAGGACCCUCUAUUUAUAGGGGUUAAAAAGAAUACGAAGAGGUGACAAGAAGACGAGAAGGCGGCAACAUUGAAAUUCAAAAGGACGUGUCUCCUUCUCUCCUCAUUAAUAUUCCGUCCUUUCAACUGUCACGUUCUCUGCAUGUAGCCUCCCACUAUACCAUGUCCUCUCUUGCCCACAUGUCACGUCCCCUAAUCUUUCGGUACAAGUUGAAAUCUCAGGAGUUGAACGGUCUUGGCACCCCUGGAGCCUCGGAACCUCUCAGACCUGUGCGCUCCCGAGGCUUGGAGGGCUUAUUGAGGAUGGUCACCUCGGUACUCGUCUAACCCGAGGUGGCCACCUCGCUCAUCACGAACUCCACUUCCUGGUCUCGGCCCGAUCUCAGGCUCUGCCACAGAUGACUUCCUAUGUACUUUGGUCAUCCCAUCUCGGCUGCACGCGGAUGAUGUCAUUCUACCUGACACCAUACUGAAAGCCAGUGCUUUAUUUGAAGAGCUACUAAUGCUCUUAACGGCGGCCGCACAGUGCUGCCUAUCAGGAGGCCCAGACUACUACAGUGUCAAAGAUAGACCUCCAGGCGCGGAACAGAGUCGUAAUACUCAGAACGUGGGACCCGCUAGCAUGAGCCCCUCAUCUUGUCCUGUCCGCUCCCACUCUAUAAAUAUAUCCUGUUCACUCUCGACAAGUAAUCAUACUAUUGCACUCGUACUGUUUAUUACUUUCCUUUCUUUUUCUAUACUGACUUGAUCGUCGGAGUGAUUCCGGGGGACGAACCCCUACCUCUCACUCCAGAAUAGUAAUCCCAUCUCUAAAUUUCACGUAGCCAAAAGAGGGAACUGAAUUAGGUCAGCUCGACUACUUAACCAUAAAUCGCCUUUUCAGCCACCAAGGGCUUUAUUCACCGACAACAUUAGUACAAAAAAUAGGGUGGAUGCCAGUGAAUAUCCUUCGCAAACCAUAUGCUGCACUUUCGUUUCUGAUGGGAAAGUAACAUUAAUAAGUGCUAAAGAUCAAGAACAAUUAAUAGAAAGCAUAUUCAACUAAAUUCAUUUGAUCAACCAUUGAGCUUUGGCUCAGGCCAUAAAAAAGGAACUAAGUCCCUCUUUGCGUUGUAGGUCGAAGAUUUGAACCUCACCUACAGCGAAAAAAAAUCUAAAAUAGACUCUCUUUGAUUUAACCAUUAAGUUUUGUCAGAACAUCUCUUUGAUUUAAUCAGAUUUGUACAUCUGCUAGCCUCUUACACAAUCUCUUUAAACUCUUUUUUUGUAGAAUAAGAUAGAUUAUGUUUACAAAUGAUUUGAAGAUGGGAGGCCUAUGGAUCAUGGUAGCUUCUUCAAAAUUAAAGGCCAUCCCUAUUUGCUUAGGCUUCAUCCCUCUCAAGCCUGCAAAUGGUAUCCCAAACGGCAUGACAUCUCCAAAAUGGGCUGCAGGGACCACUGCAUCUAAACCAUUCUCCAAAUCUAGCUCAAGAAACUGUCUCUUGAGUUUUGACAAUUUUUCGGUCUACUCUAUUGCCUUUCUCUCUUCCUCACCAAUCCCAUUUGUGAAAUGUGUUGCAAUAAAAAUAUUUUGACCAUCAAAGUCGCCAAAUCAGGAUUGUUUUGUUGAAUGCUAUAAUGUCAGCUAACGACCGCAUACGAGAUUCAGUUAGGACUUGCAAAUUAGAAGUAAGAACCAUUGUUUGGAAAACCGGACAGGACCGGCUGGUUCGAUUGGUCGGACUGCGAAGCGGUCAUAGCUCUUGUCCGACUCAUACCUCUGGUUGAUCGAACUUAAAAACAGGUGAGAACCGUUUGAACCAGAUUGAACCGUUGAACCGGCGAUUUUUUUAUUUUUGUCUAUUAAAUUGAAAAAAAAUAUAAAAAGACUAGGUUUUCCUAAACCCUAAAAAUGAAUUAUUAAAUGCCACAGCCACUCACUUUUUUCUCUUAUCAAAUUUGCAUCUUUAUUUUCUAUUUUCUUAACUUUCUCCAAACUCCAAACAUUUUUUUUAAGUUGUAAUCUCUAACUUCAAAAAAUGUGAAUUAAAAAUUUUAAUUCACAAUGUCUAAUUCCCAUGGACACGAAUUUUGUAUAAUUUUAGAAUAUUGUGGUAUUUUUGGAGUAGGUUUAAGAUUAUUUUUUGGUAGAUACAAUUGAGACUGAGAUGCAAUUUAUUUGUUGCAACUUGUAAUUUAAAAUUUUUAUUUGUGAAAAUUCGAGUUUCUUUGAAAAUAUUAAAAUUUUCAUCAUAUAAAGUCUUAAAUUAGUCUAUUACAUGUCUUGUUUUGUACAUAUAUAUUUAUAUAAAUUAUUUUAAAAAAAUUCAUUGAACUAGGGUUGAACCGGUUCGACCGAUUGAAUCUUGACCAAAACACCUCGUUAGUCCAAUUAACGGUCCGAGUUUCAAAACAUUGAUUAGAACUGGUUUCAGUCGGCAUUGCCACUCUGUUACCACUUCGAAAUACAUCAAUAUUGGAUGCCUCCCAAAUGAUGAAUGACAGUUGUACCUUGUUGGCAGUGACGGAGCCAGGAUGUUUUUUUUCUAGGGGGGCCAAAAUUUUCUUAAUAUGCUAUGUUCAAAAUAAUUUCCAUCCAUUUAAAUAUAUGACAUCUAAAAACAUCCAUUAACUUUAAUUAUAAAGGCAUAUAAAAAAUAAAUAAAAUUUUUGGAGAAAAAAUUAAUUUAAUGGUGGCUAAUUCAUAUAUAUACACACACAUAUAUAAACUCUUAUAAUAUAAAUUAAAAUUGUAAAAAUUAGGGAGGAUCAACUUUGUUUUACUCACUAUAAAUGAAAAUUUUCAAAACAUAGUGAGGCCAUGGCCACCAUCAGCCCCCUUGGCUCGGUCACUGCUUGCUGGGAUCAAAAUUUUCAGGGAGAAGAAGAAACAUAGUAGCUAAGUAAAAGCAUUGGCCUAGAACUAGCAAUACAUCUGAGUUGAGCCUCACCUUUCUACCUUAAUGUGCGCAAAUGACACUCAAGAAUUGGAACCACAUUGGACCUACUCGAAUGGAUGACAAAGGGAUUUCUUACCACAUCUAAUUUCUUCCCUUUGAGCCUUUUUUUGUUGAGAAAUUUUUUAUAUGGCCAGCAACAGGAAUGAAUUUGGAAGCUGCUUUUGUUGCUUCACGGUCUUUUCGAUCAAAGCUCACGAUUGACAGCUAGACUGCUAGUAAUAAGCAUCAGCCUCUAAGCAAUAAGUGUCGGAUGCAAGAAACUUGCAAGCAAACAUUUGCUGCAGCAUUUAAUGUGUAUUUUCUCCAAAUGCACAAUCUAAACAUCAAGAAUGUUGUAAGUUUGUGGUUAUUCAGAAGCUAGUUAGCAUAACCUGUCAUCAUCUUGUCUUUCAACAAAAAAAAAGAGGCGCGCACACACACACACAAAACAUAAUCUCAAGAUAACAUUUGACAACUACUAUUUAGUAACUUGUUACUUUUGAACAGUUCCAAAUGGUAGAAUCUGAUACCGCGUAAAUAACAAAAGAUGCAGAAAUGAAUCUGGCAUGGCCAGUUACCAGUUAGUCCAAAAUAGUGGGCUUAAAGCCUGCAAUAGAGUUGGAAUCAUGGUUCAAAGUCGGGUCGCGGCCCAGACCGUUUCACAUCGGUCUCGACAUAUUGGUCAUAGUUUCGACGAGAUACAAAUUUUUAAAAUAUUUAAUAUUCUAAAAAUUGUAAAAAAUAUGAUAAACAAAAAUAAUUUAAAAAUAACAAAAAAAAAAAUUUGAGUUGACUCGGAUUAACUCGGGAUGACUCGGGACGACUCGGCCGUUUUUAUCUGUCUCGAAGAUGUCUCCGAUGAGUUCUCGGCGAUUCAUUAUCUCGGAGUUAUCUUGUCUCGGUGUUGGAUCGGGAAGCUUCGUUCCAGUGACGACUCGGCCGAGUCGUCUCGGUCUCAACCGAGUCGUCUCGGGAACCAUGGUUGGAAUCAGCAGGACAGAGGAUAGUUCCAUCUGUUUCAUUGCUCCGUUAAACCGCCACCAUAUGUGCCGCUACCGAUAUUGCAGAUUCACAGCUGUAUCCACAAGGAUAUCCCCCUUGGUCGUAAGGAACUUGGACAUCCAACGGCACCAACAAUUUGAUUUCCAAGUAAAACUUUCUAAGUUUUUUCUGUACUUCGCUGUUCAUGACUUAAAGUAACAAUCAUGUAUGCAAGAUAUUAAACCCACGAUCACAAUAGGGAGGCUUCAAUUGGCAUUGAGGCGUGCACAAACAAUGGGUGAAAAAGUUAACAGCGGUGAAAAAGUUAACAGAGGAUAGCGAGGCAGUGUUAGAGAGCCUGAAUCAAAACCAAGAGGUGGGGUCUAAUGAGGAGGCAGAAGGCACUUUAGUAAUUAAUCAGGAGAGCCAAUAUGUGGAAAGAGUGGGGGUAGAGGUAGUCCAGCAAGCAAAAAGGACUUUUAGAAGGUUGAAAUCCCCAAACAGAACCAGGAAACCUUUGACAGAGUUAAAUGGUAGAGGUGAUAAACAUACGAAGGCUGGAAAGAGGAAGUGCCUGGUUAGAGAUGAAGAAAUGGAUGAAGCUACCUAAGAGUUAGUGCUUUGGAAAAAAUCUAAGCCUCUGGAGGAGCUGUAUUCUACUGAACUGAGAGGAGAGGAGGAGGGGCCCUUCCUUAAAGGGGCCCCCAAAGGAGUAUGAGGCUCUUGGUGUGGAACUGUCAAGGAGUGGGGAGCCCCUUGACAGUUCCCCAGCUGAGGGAGGUUAACAACCUCUCCUCUCCAAGUUUGAUUUUUUUAAGUGAAACUAAGAAUAGGAAACUUGUCAUUGAUAGGAUUGCUAGAAGGCUCAGGUUUCAGAAUUCUGUAGUGGUCGAAGCUAUGAAUAGAGCAAGUGGCAUGGCUAUGUUUUGGUCUAAGGGCACUAACAUCUUAGAAGUGCAUACCACUGCUUUCACGAUAGAGGCUAAAAUUGAAGACAGUGACAGUAACAGUAUCUGGUGGUUUGUUGGCUUAUAUGCUAGCUGUGAUCAGAUGAUUAGGAGAGAACAAUGGAGGGUGAUCAGUAGAAGGAAAAGGCUUUGGGGAGACAGGUUUCUAAUAGCUGGAGAUUUCAAUGACAUCCUAUCUAAUGAAGAAAAGUGGGGAGGUGCAGUAAGAGAGGAGAGAAGCUUUAGGAAUUUCAAAGAAUUCAUCGAUCAGAACAAUCUAGUCGAUAUUGGCUAUGAUGGUCAACCUUGGACGUGGAGUAACCAUUGGAAUGAUGAAGGAGAAAUUAGGCAAAGGCUUGAUAGAGGCCUUUGUAGUGUGGGUUGGUUCCAAGUUUUUGAGAAGGCAAGAUGCCAGCACUUGACCACUUUGGCUUCUGAUCACUCCAUGCUGAUGAUAGACACCAUACCUGCAACUGACAGGCACAAGAAAAUGUUUUAUUUUGACAAGAGAUGGCUACAAAGGGAAGGGGUGCAACAAGUGAUUGAGAGUGCAUGGAAAAUAGAGGAGCAAGGCUCUAGGAUGUUCAAAAUUACAAAAAAGAUCAGAAAUUGCAGAAUUGAACUCUUGAAAUGGAGGAAUUCUUUCCAAGCCAACUCAAGGAGCAAAAUUCAUGAUCUUAAGAAAGAGCUGGAGGAAGCCAGGAUUUCGGAGUCUGCUAACAGGAGGCAAAAUCUGAAUGACAUCAAAGAUAAGCUGAGCACUGCAUAUAAGGAGGAAGAGCACUUUUGGAGACAAAAAUAGAGAAUUAGUUGGCUUAGGGAGGGGGAUAAAAAUACCAAGUUUUUUCACACCUAUGUCAAGGGUAGAAGAGUGAACAAUAGAAUCAGAAACUUGCAGCGAAAUGAUAGUUCUUGGACUAGUAACGAGGAUGAGGUUGUGAGGGAAAUUUUUGAUUACUUUAAGGAUCCUUUUAGUAGUGGUGGGAGAGGUGACAUGUCUGAAAUUCUAGAUGGAAUUCCUAACUCCAUAACUCAGGACAUGAAUAAUAAUCUGACUAAGGUAGUUGAGGAAAAAGAAAUUCAUGAUGCUCUUUUUUCCAUGAAUUCCGAAAAAACUCCAGGACAAGAUGGGAUGGCUCUUCUAUUUUUCCAGAGAUUUUGGAGCAUCAUCAAAAAAGACAUUAUCUCAGCGAUCCAAGCUUUCUUCACUUCAGGCUUCAUGCUUAAAUCCAUCAACCAUACAGUUAUAUCCCUUAUCCCCAAAAUCCAGAAUCUUAUCAGUUUAAAGCAUUUCAGGCCUAUCAGUCUUUGUAGUGUGCUUUACAAAAUCAUUUCAAAAAUCUUGGCUAAUAGACUAAAGGUAGUCCUGUACAAGUGCAUUAGCAAGACUCAAUCAGCCUUUAUCCCAGGAAGACAAAUCCUAGAUAAUGUAAUGAUUGCUCAUGAAUACAUGCAUUACCUGAAAAACAAAAGACAAGGGAAAGAUGGAUACAUGGCUGUUAAGCUUGACAUGGCAAAAGUUUAUGAUAGGGUGGAGUGGCAUUUUUUGCUGGCAAUGAUGAACAAAAUGGGUUUCUGUACUAAAUGGAUUGAAUGGAUAACUGGCUGCCUAACAACAGUCAAUUAUUCCUUCAAUUGUAAUGGAGAAGUGAAAGGUUUUGUCUCACCAGGGAGAGGUAUUCGUCAAGGAGAUCCAUUGUCACCAUACCUGUUCUUAAUAUGUUCUGAGGGAUUCUCCAAUCUGUUAAGGCAAGCUGAAGAAAGCAAGAGGAUCACAGGCUUGAAAAUCAGCAGGCAAGGUCCUCAACUUACCCAUCUUUUCUUUGCUGAUGAUUCGCUCAUCUUUUGUAAAGCAAAUAAGGAAGAGGCGGCUGAAAUAAUGAAAGUCCUAAAAGUCUAUGAAGUAGCCUCAGGACAGCUGAUCAACUUUGACAAAUCUGCAGUUUUCUUUAGUAAAAAUCUGGAAGAUGUACAAAGAGGAGUGAUCUGCCAAGCCUUGGGAGGGAUGGUGGAAGCUAAGCAAGGAAAGUAUUUGGGUCUUCCUAUGGUGAUUUCCAGAACAAAGAAUCAGAUUUUUGGUUUUAUUAGAGAAAACAUCAAGUGCAAGCUUCAGAAUUGGAAGAAUAAAUUUCUGAGCUUAGCUGGAAAAGAGGUCAUGUUGAAGGCAGUUGCAAUGGCCAUGCCUACGUACGUUAUGUCAUUCUUUUAGCUGCCCAGAUCACUCUACAAAGACAUUAGCACCAUGAUGUCCAAUUUCUGGUGGGGUGGAUCUGAGGGAAGGAACAACAUGCACUGGAUCUCUUGGGACAAAAUGGUAGUACACAAGAACAUAGGCGGCCUUGGGUUCAAGGAUCUAGAAGCCUUCAACAAAGCACUGCUGGGUAAGUAGUUAUGGAGGAUAUUAACCAGCCCAAAUCUUCUGAUCAGUAAGGUUUUAAAAUCCAAGUAUUUCCCUCAGGAAUCCAUACUACAAUGCACCCUCCCUAAAAAUGCAUCAUGGAUUUGGCAAGGAUUACUGGGAGCAAGGAGCUUAAUAGAGGAAGGACUGAUUAGGAGGAUUGGAAAUGGUAGGAACACGAAAAUCUGGGACCAUAAAUGGUUACCAGAGACACCCACGGGGAAGCUUUCAACAUGCAGAACAAGUAACUGUGAGCUAAAGAUGGUUGAUGAGCUAAUCUGCCAGCAGAGAUGGAACAGGAAUGUUAUCUUCAGAUAUUUCAACAAAGAAGAUGCUGAGCAGAUUCUCCGCAUCCCUCUAAGCUUAUCAGGGAGGGAAGAUAGUUUCUACUGGAAACCAAAAGAUGGAGGGGAAUACACAGUCGACUCAGGAUACAAAUUGUUGAUGGAGAAAGGCAUGAACAGAAGAAGGUGCAACCAGGAGGGAGCUGAAACAAGCAUCUCAGAAGGAAGCCAGCAAAUGGUUCAGAUGUGGAAUAUGUUAUGGAAGCUCAACAUUAAGCAUAAAAUCAAGCACUUCAUCUGGAAGUUUAUUAAACGAGCAGUACCAGUCAGGGAGGCAGUGAAAAAGUGAACAGGAGUAGGGGACCCUAUCUGCUCAACCUGUGGCGAGGCUCCAGAAACCAUAGAACAUAUGUUACUCAACUGUCCACAUGCACUGGAAGUAUGGAAAUCAGCCCCCAUUCAGUGGGAUGGAGCAAAUGAUCAGAGGGGUGAUUUAAGAGAUGGUAGAUGAGAAUUACAGAAGCAAGAACUAGACAGGAAGGGAAGGAGCAUAUUGGCCUGACAGCAAAUAUAUUAUGGCAGGUAUGGAAAGAUAGGAACAAGAGGGAAUAUGAGAACUCAAUUAGAUUAGCACCAUUGAGAAUAGUAGAACGUGUGCACAAAGAAUGGAUGGAACAAGGGGUAGAACAUCAGCAAGGGGAUAAAAAGAGUACAGAAGAAACAGUUCAUACCAAUGUUCACCAAGGACAGAGCAAUGGAAAUGAAGGGGCCUUAAUCAUACAAGUGGCAACAGUAAAGAAACAAGGGCAGAACGCCUUUGGCAUAGGAGUCACAGCAAAGAAUGCGGCAAACACUAAAAUUGCAGAUUGGAUGCUGACAGAGAGAAGUUUGGGGAGCAACAUCUUAGACGAAGCUCUGGCAUUAAAAUUGGUUCUGUACAAAGCUGUACAGCAGCAGUGGAGAGAGGUACGUCUCAAUUUCUGCAACAAAGAACUAUGGAAACAACUCACACAGUAACGACCAACAGAUAGCAAGAUGGCUACAUUGCUGGAGGAUAUUCUUGUAAGGCCCAAAGACAACCUAAGAGGGGGGAUGAAUUAGGUUGAUUAAAAACUUAAUUGAGUUUAUGCACUUUUUCCUUAAUAAAAAAUUUACCUUAUUUUCUAGUAGUGAUCAAUCAAGUAAAUUUAAAGAAGAGAACAAUGUUGAUCAGAAUUAAAAAUAUAUAUAAGCAAUGAGAAUUUUAUUAAACAAAAAGAAUAAGAUAGAGUAUCAAACCGAUUGUCUACCAAGCUUUCCUCAAACUUGAAGACCAAUCACAAGGAUGAACACCUUCUCUUUGAUGAAAAGAAAUCAACUCAAUGUACAACAAUGGAGGGAUCACUUCCUCCUUGCCCCAAGUCUCACUUAGUCAAGCUAGAAAGUUUUACUAUCGCUCAGAUAACCCUCAACAAAGCUACACUAUUGAAAAUUUCAAACACAAGAGAAGUGCUUACAAGAAAUUCACACCACUUGGAGAACAAAUCUUGCUUAGGAGACUAUUUUCUAUCUAAAAUAUCUCUUGAGAUCUUGUAAUCAAAGUGUGCAAAAAGUUCCUUCAUGAUUCAGAAUCGUUUGUAUUUAAAGGGGACCAAAAAUGAGCUUCAUUAAUGCUUCCAACGGAUAGAAGACAGAUAAAGAGUCAGCUAGCCGUUGGGGCUGUCGGACGUCCGACCGAUUAUUCAUCGUCCGAUCCCAUCGUCCAAAAAUCAGCCAAGUUGCCGUUCGGACGUCCAAUGGGAUUUUAUCGUCCAACAGAUUCUGCGUCUGAACGUCGUCAGAGAGUCAUCAAAACUUUGCAAAAUUUUUCGGACAUCCGACGCGAUCGAUGUGCGUCCUAAACGUGCAUCCGAUCCUCCCGGACGUCCGAUACUUCCUCACGAGCGUCCGACAGAGUUUCUUUCUUGAUGUCCUUCAUCCUUUCGGACGUCCGACAGCUUCCUUUCGGACGUCCGACAUGAGUGCCCUGAUUUUGGUUCUUUUUUUGGUUGAUUUUCUUUCCUUGACACCUUUGUACCUGAUUUUCUAAAAAGCAAAACACUUAUAUUUGAAGAGAAUUAGAUAAACAUUUCAAAGUCCUUUGUGAUCAUCAAAAUCAAGAAUAACAUUCUCCCCUUUUUUGAUGAUGACAAAACAAUGGUUUUAAAUGAAAUAUGAUGAUUACAAAUAGGCUCCCCCUUUCUCAGUCAAUCGUAGAACAAAACUUGAAAAACUCCCCCUCACUUGGCUACUUUACAGAUUUAUUCAAUCAUCCAAAAACAGUUAAGUAUCUAGCAUCCAACAUUUUACCAAUUCAACGCAUCCCGCAUAUCUAUACGCAUAUCCAUAUCCAUAUUCAUAUCUAGACCAUAUCCAUAUUCAUAUCUAGACCAUAUCUCUUCCCUUUUUUGUCAUCACAAAAGUCAAAAGGUAAAAAUACAUCACAAAAGUAGCAUGAGACAGAACUAAACAUUCAUAACAAAAUAACUUACGAGCAUCACAAACAUUACAUCCACAUAUCCAGUUUUGAACAUUACAAGUAUCAGAAACAAAGAAAACAAAAGAGUCCGAGGCAACCAUCUAACAUCCAGCAAAUAGAAAACAGUCAAAUAGAAUGCAAAUGAUCCUAAUAGGGCUAGUGAUCCUAAAUGGUAAACUAAGUGGAUCCAGGCGUCCUUCGAGUAAGCAGAUACUGAGAGAGAUCCUCCUUCUCAGUGUCUUCAUCAUCUUCAGCAUCUCCACCAACUGGUUUCUUGCCUUUGUCAGAUGUGGAAGGAUCGUGAGGUGCCACGGGAGUAGAGGUGAGGUCGAUGGGAGCAGGACUCACAGAGCGAAUAGGAGCUGAUGAACUCAGAUCAGUAGAGCAUGGCUCUUUGCCAUGAGGAACUUCCUCAACCACAGGUGGGGAAAAGAGAAGAUUCUUUUUAUCCAGGAAGUCUGCUUGUUACUCAGAUGACAUGGUGAGCAUGAGACCAUGUUCAAGAAAUAGAACAUGUUGUUUAAGAUCUCGAAGGAGUUCAACCACUUCAGAAUUUGAAGAAGAAGAUGCCUUAGUGGCAGUCUUCCUAGGAUGAAUAGAAUCAGUGCAGCAGAGGAUGAAGUGUGAAGGGGAUCAUGUGCAGCCUUAGUUCUAGGUUCAUUAGAUGUAGCCCCCUUAUAAGCCCACAUAUUGUCCCUAAAGACCAGAUUCUUGCGCUCAAAAUAAGCCUUAGUAAAGACAGAAGAAAACGUUUCUUUGGGACAAACACCAAGGAUGGGUACUUUGUAAAACUCAAAAAUCUACUGAAGAAAUUUUCCAUAAGACAGUUUUCUAUGAGAAUUAGUGGUAAAGCGAAGUAAAAACUUGCACAUGACAAAGCCAAAGUCAAUGCGAAUUUUUUCUCGAAAAUAAUAAAAAAGAUACAGCUUCAUUUUAUUAGCAUCUGUCCUAUGACCAUCGGUAGGCACAAGUAAAUUUGAAAUGAUUGAGAAAGCAAUGAGAUUCACAGGAGCAAAGUCAUUUAGUUUUGCAUCAGCAGGGGCAGAAAACUUCUUUUUGAAAUAAGACAACAUCUUAGCACUAUCAAAGUGAUUAUCAGCAGAGGGAUGCUCUUCAUAAGAAAAGAAAUUGGCAAUUUUACUUUUGCAUCCAGGUUCAAUAACAGUAUUUAAAACAGCAUUCACAAUCUCAGGAUCAAACACUAAAUCUACCCCAUUUACCCUGGACAUAAUUUCAGUGUCAUCAGUGCCAUUCCUAAGAUUGACAAAGAAUUGAUAUAGCAUUUCAGGGUAAUAAACGUUAGGCAUGGAAAUGAUAUGUGACCGUUUCUGGAAUUCAAAGAGACGCAGAAUGGACUCUAAACCUAUCUUGCGAAAUUCAAAGGGAUUUAUGGUACAUUGAGGAAUAAAACCUUUUUUGGGAUAUCCAGGAGUGUUUUUCUUUGGCAGCAUCAUCAAAGAAUGGGGAGACUGUGGUUGAUUGGAAGAGCGGUUGAGAUGUAGUCCCUUGUCCGGAUUCAGGCUGGGAGGAAGGCUGUCAAGUUUGAGCCUUUACUGCUCCCUUUUUGACGCGUUUAGAGGAUCUUUUGGCCCUAGGAGAAUCAGCAUCCUCAUCUCUGAGUGUGUGUUUGCGUCUGGCAGUCACUUUUCCUCUUCUUAGAUUCACCAUUGUGUGAAAUGCGUGAGAUGUAUGAUGCUAAUGAUGCACACAGUAGUAUGGGAACGAAUUACACAAGAAUUUUGGGGUAAACGAGCCUUGAAGAUGAUUGAACAGAGUGGCUAUGAGAAAAUAGGGUUUUGAGGAAAAUUUGAAAACUGUCGAAAUGUGAUGAGAUUUGGUGAAAAGAUCAGGAAAAUGAACUCGCAAUGAUCAAGAGAAGUUUUUGGUUGAGUCAAUUUUGGAAUGAGUGCUUCAGAAUAGCAUGAAUUUAAGGUGAAAGGAGAGACAGUUUUUCGUCCGAGAGAGGAGAGAAGAGAAGAAGAAGGGUCUGAAGCAAACGAGGAGGGAAGUUACUUAAAAAAGUGUACCGUUGCACUGUCGGACGGCCGAACGAAGUCGUGCGUCCGACAGUUUCGUCCGAACAGGUGCUUUCUGGGAAAAUAGCUGAAGAACAUUAUUGGACGUCCGUUCAUCUGCUUUCGGACUUCCGAAAGCUUUGAACAGGAAAAAAAAUUUAUGAUUUUUCAAUUAUCCCUAAUUUUGAUCUUAGAUGUAUGAAUUGAUCCAAUGGCAAAGCUUUUGUAAAAAAAUCAGCAAUUUGAUCUUUAGAACAAACAUAAUUCACACAAACUUCACCUUUUUGAACAAGAUCGCGAAUAAAGUGAUGCUUUACAUCUAUAUGUUUUGUUCUAGAAUGCUGAAUUGGAUUUUUGGUCAAAUUGAUAGCACUAGUAUUAUCACAGAAUAUAGGCAUGCAGUCAUAUAACAAUCCAAAAUCAUUCAAAGUAUGCUUCAUUCAUAAAAGUUGAGCACAACAUGCACUAGCGACAAUAUAUUCCGCUUCGGUUGUAGACAAAGAAAUUGCAUUUUAUUUUUUGCUAAACCAAGAAACUAAGCAAUUUCCAAGAAAGUGACAAGUUCCACUAGUACUUUUUCUGUCCACAUUACAACCACCAAAAUCCGCAUCCGAAUAUCCAUAUAGAGCAAAUUCACAAGAUCUAGCAUACCAAAGACCAUAGUCUAAUGUACCUUUCAAAUACCUAAAAAUCCUUUUAACAGCGUUCAAAUGUGAUUCUUUUGGACAUGAUUGAAAUCUAGCACACAAGCAAACAUCAAACAUAAUAUCGGGUCUACUUGCGAUUAAAUAGAGUAGGCUUCCGAUCAUACCUCUAUAGUGCUUUUCAUCCACAUGUUUACCUUUUUCAUCUUUGUCAAGUUUUGUAGAAGUGCACAUUGGAGUUCCAACAUGCUUUGAGUCCUCCAUGCCAAAUCUUUUCAAUAAUUUCUUGAUGUAUUUUGCUUGAUUUACAAAAAUUCCCUCUAGGGCUUGAUGUAUUUGAAGUCCAAGGAAGAAAUUUAAUUCUCCCAUCAUACUCAUUUCAAAUUCACUUUGCAUAAUGGUGGAAAAAUCCUUGCAUAGAUACUCAUUAGUAGCACCAAAAAUAAUUAUCAUCUACAUAUACUUGCACAAUAAGAAGAUCAUUUAACACUUGUUUAGUAAAAAGUGUGGUGUCCACAAUACCUCUUUUAAAACCAUUUUCAAUCAAGAAACCACUCAAUCUUUCAUACCAAGCUCUUGGGGCUUGUUUUAGUCCAUAUAAUGCUUUUGACAGUUUAAACACAUGAUUUGGAAAUUUUGCAUUUUCAAAAUCGGGGGGUUGAUCCACAUAUAUUUCUUGAUCAAUAAAACCAUUUAAGAAAGCACUUUUAACAUCCAUUUGAAACAAUUUGAAACCUUUGAAGCAAGCAAAAGCAAGAAGCAUUCUAAUAGAUUCUAAUCUAGCUAUGGGAGCAAAUGUUUCAUCAAAAUCAAUUCCUUCUUCUUGUGCAUAUCCUUUAGCAACUAAUCUAACUUUAUUUCUUACAACUGCACCUUUGUCAUCCAACUUAUUUCUAAAUACCCACUUCGUGCCAAUGAUAGGUUGAUUUUGAGGUCUAUCAACUAGUGUCCAAACCUUAUUUCUCUCAAAUUGAUUAAGUUCCUCUUGCAUUGCCAAAAACCAGUUUUCAUCCUUUAAGGCAUCAUUGAUAUUUUUAGGUUCAAAAAGAGAGACUAAAGCAAAAUUGUCUAUCAAUUUCUUAGAUGAGGAACGAGUCUUUACCUUCUCGGACGGAUCAUCAAUUAUAAGCUCUUUUGGAUGAUUUUGGCUAAAUUUCCAAGUUUUGGAAAGGUCUUUGAAUGAAUCAUCAUUCUUGUCUUCAUCUUCCUUUUCUUGAUCUUCAUGAGUUUCAUCCUCCAUUUCCUUUGCUUCCGGAUUAGAGUUUCCUUCAUCUCCAAUUGUUAGCUUUUUCAUUCCUUCACGAACACCUACAUCAUCAUCCUCACACGAACUUUUGGAAUUAUCGUCAUUAGUUUCAUCAAAUGUUAUGUGUAUAGUUUCUUCUAUCAUAAGAGUUCUUCUAUUAAAGACUCUAUAUCCUCUUUUGUUCCCACAAUACCCCAAAAAUAUUCCUUCAUCAGAUUUUUUCUCAAACUUACCAAGAUGUUCCUUUAAAUUCAAAAUAAAACAUUUACAACCAAAGAUUUUGAAAUAUCCAACCGUAGGCUUCUUAUAAAAAAUUAGUUCAUAAGAUAUUUUAUUCAAAAUAGGUCUCAAAAGGAUUCUAUUCAUCACAUAACAUACGGUGUUUACCGAUUCAGCCUAAAGAUAUUUUGGCAAACUACAUUCACUCAAUAUAGUUCUAGCAGCCUCUUGGAGUGUCCUGUUUUUCCUUUCUACAACACCAUUUUGCUGUGGAAUCCUUGCAAUAGAAAACUCAUGUGUUAUGCCAUUAUGAUCACAAAAUUCUGGAAAGCCACAAAACUUGAAUUCCGUCCCAUUAUCACUUCUAAUCCUAACAAUUUUUAAACCAAGCAGAUUUUGCACUUUAGCAAACAAUGAAGUAAAAUUCUUGAAGGCAUCAUCUUUAUGAGCAAGGAAUAUCAUCCAAGUAUAUCUAGAAUAAUCAUCAACAAUCGCAAAAUAAUAUCUCUUACCUCCCAAGCUAGUAAUUUGAGUAGGACCAAAUAAAUCAAGAUGCAAGAGUUCCAAAGGUUUAGAAGUUGAUACACACUUCUUUGGUUUAAAGGAAAUUUUUGUUUACUUCCCAAAUUGACAUGCAUCACAAAUUUUGUCCUUUUCAAAACUGAUUUUUGGCAAGCCUCUAAUCAACUCCUUUUUUGAAAUUUUCUUUAGUAAUUCCAUGUUAAAAUGACAAAGUCUCCUAUGCCACAAUCAAGGAUCUUCAUUUGAAGCUUUAAGACAUUGGAAGCUAGAUGAAUCAAGUUUAUCAAGAACAACAAUAUAAAUAUCGUUAAACCUCUUACCUUUGAACACAACAUUAUAUUUAGAGUCAAGCACAAUGCAUUCAUGUUUUUUGAACAACACAUUCAAGUCCUUAUCACAUAAUUGACUAACACUAAACAAGUUAUAACCUAAGUUAUCAACUAAGAGCACAUUAUGAACAAAAGUUUCCCCAUCCUUACCAACAUCUCCUAUUCCAAUAGUCUUAGCUUUCACGUCAUCACCAAAUGUCACCUUUCCACUUGAUUUUGAUUUUAGCUUUAUGAACAAAGAAGGAUCACCGGUCAUAUGCCUUGAACAGCCACUAUCGAUGAACCAUUUGGACUUGUUUGAGCCUUUUCCCUGAAAAGAAAGAGUGUUUGAUACCCUUUAAUUUUUGGGUCCACAAUAGUUAGCAUUGUGUCUAACUAACCACAUGCAUCUCAUUUUUUUGUUCAGAUUUCUUUUCACAUAACAAUCUCCCUUCAAAUGUCCUUUUUGACAAUAAAAACUACACAUAAUGGAAGAGUUUUUAACAUGUAAUGAUUUGAUAAAUCUCAAUCCACUCCUUCUAUAUGUUGUGAAAUCAUGUGCAUUUUUGUUGUGUGCUAAUGUUCUUUCAUGAACAGUAAGAAAGGUGGUUGACAUGUUCUUUUUGAGAUAAUUUUAUUUUCUAGCUUUUAAGGUCUCAUCCACAUUGUCCAUCAUUUUCUUCAAAUCACCAUGUCUUUCCUUUAGCAUUUUACAAAGACUUGUCUUUUUGUCAAGUUCAUUUUGAACAUCAAAUUCGGCUCUUACAAGACACUCAUUGUCAGCCUUUAGUUGUUCAUUUUGUUGAAAAAGACUUGCAUUUCUUGAAUGAGAAAAACAAUUUUCUGUUUUAGCUGCUUGUUUUUAUCAUAAGAUUCCUUCAAGGCAUUAUGCAAUUUUUCAACAAAGGAUUCAAGAUCAUUAUCAUCUUCAUCAUCACUUUCAGAUUGAGAGUGUAUGGAAGUUACCUCAAUAUCUCCAAUAGCCAUGAAGGCCAUUUGAGCUGAUUCUUCCUCUUCUUCAACUUCGCCUUCGGAGUUACAUUCAUUCCAUGUAAUCUGGAAGUUGUUGAACCUUGGCUUUCGAUCAGCUUUUCCAUCUUUCUUUUUCUUUAGGGAGCAUUCGUUUGCGUAGUGUCCAGGCUGUCCACAUUCGUAGCAUUUGUCCAAUUAUUUCUUGUUGAAUUCUUGUUUUCCUUUGUUCCUUGCGUUUGAAGACUGAUUCUGGAAUUGAUUGCUAGGUCCUCCCCUUCUAAACUUCCUUUUAUUCAAGAUUUUCUUGAAGUUUUUUGUGAUGAGUGCAAGAUCGUUAUCAUCACCAUCCGAGUCUUCAGCAUCCAACUGAGCUGGAUCAUCUUCACCUUGAGCUGCCUUUAGAGCUGUGUUUCUCUUUGCUCUCGCGUCCUCUUCCUCCUGUACUUUAGUUUUCAACUUCAACUCAUAGGAGGUUAGUGAAUUAAUGAGAGAUUCAAUAGGCACAGAAUUCAAAUCCUUAGCUUCCUCUAUUACAGUCACUUUACUUUCCCAUUCUUUGCCCAACGCAUUGAGAAUUUUCCUGUUUUUCUCUCCCAAGGUGUACUCUUUGCCCAACACCUCGAGAUCUUUGAUCAAGUCAUUGAACCUGCAAUACAUUUUGUCAAUAUCCUCAAGGGGUUCUAUUUUAAAUGAUUCAUACUUUGUGACCAAGAUAGACUUUUUCUGUUCUCUCACGUUGUCACUACCCUCAUGAAUUUCUCUUAACUUAUCCCACAUUUCUUUGACAGAUUUACAUCCUUUUACUCUAAUUGAUUCAUUUGAGUCUAAUGCACUAUAAAGAACAUUCAUGACUUUGGCAUUCAAUGUGAGAUUGGUUCUAUCUUGAACAUUCAACUCAUCUCUUGUUUUUGGCCGAAACAAACCUGUAUCUGUAUCAAGAAUGUUAGUAUCAUGCGGUCCUUCAUUCACAAUAAACCAUAGCUCAAUAUCAAUGGAUUGCAAAAAGAUAAUCAUUCUUUCUUUCCAACUAACAUAAUUGGAACCAGUAAAUAUGGGAGGCCUAGUGGCAGAUUGUCCCUCAACAAACAUGGCAUGAUUCGUUGUCAUCUUUACUCCAAGCCGUUUGAGCUUAAUCUCUAGGAGACCAAGCUCUGAUACCAAUUGGAAGGCCCAAAGACAACCUAAGAGGGGGUGAAUUAGGUUGAUUAAAAACUUAAUUGAGUUUAUGCACUUUUUCCUUAAUAAAAAAUUUACCUUCUUUUCUAGUAGUGAUCAAUCAAGUAAAUUUAAAGAAGAGAACAAUGUUGAUCAGAAUUAAGAAUAUAUAUAAGCAAUGAGAAUUUUAUUAAACAAAAAGAAUAAGAUAGAGUAUCAAACCGAUUGUCUACCAAGUUUUUCUCAAACUUGAAAACCAAUCACAAGGAUGAACACCUUCUCUUUGAUGAAAAGAAAUCAACUCAAUGUACAAUGGAGGGAUCACUUCCUCCUUGCUCCAAUCCUUACUUAGUCAAGCUAGAAAGUUUUACUAUCGCUCAGAUAACCCUCAACAAAGCUACACUAUUGAAAAUUUCAAACACAAGAGAAGUGCUUACAAGAAAUUCACACCACUUGGAGAACAAAUCUUGUUUAGAAGACUAUUUUCUAGCUAAAAUAUCUCUUGAGAUCUUGUAAUCAAAGUGUGCAAAAAGUUCCUUCAUGGUUCAGAAUCGUUUGUAUUUAAAGGGGACCAAAAAUGAGCUUCAUUAAUGCUUCCAACAGAUAGAAGGCAGAUGAAGAGUCAGCUAGCCGUUGGGGCUAUCGGACGUCUGACCGAUUAUUCAUCGUCCGAUCCCAUUGUCCAAAAAUCAGCCAAGUUGUCGUUCGGACGUCCGAUGGGAUUUUAUCGUCCGACAGAUUCUGCGUCCGAACGUCGUCAGAGAGUCAUCAAAACUUUGCGAAAUUUUUCGGACGUCCGACGCGAUCGAUGUGCGUCCUAAACGUGCGUCCGAUCCUCCCGGACGUCCGAUGCUUCCUCACGAGCGUCCGACAGAGUUUCUUUCUUGAUGUCCUUCAUCCUUUCGGACGUCCGACAGCUUCCUUUCGGACGUCCGAUAUGAGUGCCCUGAUUUUGCUUCUUUUUUUGGUUGAUUUUCUUUCCUUGACACCUUUGUACCUGAUUCUCUAAAAAGCAAAACACUUAUAUUUGAAGAGAAUUAGAUAAACAUUUCAAAGUGCUUUGUGAUCAUCAAAAUCAAGAAUAAUGAUUCUAAGUCUGAAGAGACUAUUUUGUAUGUGCUCUUUUGGUUUGGAAAGAGAGGAAAAUAUGUUAGACAGUAGACUACUGAGUGCAGAUGCUUUAAGCAUAAUUGUGGAUGAGAAAAGAAAUUUCCUCAGUGUUCGCUGAACACUUUUGUACAGUUACUUCGAGCCGUUGCUCGUACAUGUAUUAUGGUCUUUUGAUAAUGAAAUUUCCUAUCGUUUCGACCAAAAAAAAGGUAUCUAUCUCAAAUGCAAGUGUGCAACUAUAUAUACAUAUAUAUAUAUUUAUAUUUAUAUAAUGUUGUUCAGUUCUGUUUUAGUAAAUUGGUGAGUUGAAUACCUUCGUAUGAUGCAUGGUGGAUACUCUAUUUUGUUGUCACGUAGACACAUUUAAUGCCUUUUUUAAUUUUGUUCGUCUUUUUUUGUGACAAUUAAUUUCUUUUCUUUUUAAUUUCCUCAUAUUUUUUAUAAAAAAUAAUCAGUUAACCAUAGCUUUCAUUUUUAACAAACUUUCAAAUCACAUAAUUCCUUUUUUUGUAUAAUUUAUUGGGGAUUCGAUAAUUUUUUUACCAUUUUCCAUUUCUCUACUUCUGUUAUUUGGAUUGGUUAUUUAUUAUUACUUCUAAAGUUAUGCUAUUCCAUUUAGGUUGUCCAAGUAGUCAUUUGUUUUAUAAAGUUCGUUUAGUAAUCAUUAUAUUUUCUCCAUUGGAAACCGUUAGCCACACCCAAGUCCGUAUAAGACUUGACUUAGACAUGCUCUCUAUUACUUUUUUCUUUUCAUACUUCUUUAUUUCUUGAACAAUUUAAAAAAAAAAACUUCCUGUCAAUUUAGAUUUCCUUUUCCAGAUUCUUAUGCUUAAAGCAAAUUGGUAAUUCCUCUCUCUAUUAGUUUCCAUUUCUAAAUUUUCUAUUCUUCAAAAAAUUGAAUUUUAAAUGCAUUCAUUUUCCAUUUCCAUUCCUUACAUGUGAAGAUUCUAAAUUAUUUUCUCUCUCUUUUUUUCCCUUUUUUAAUCCUUAACCAAAAAUUUAUGAUCUCCAUUAUCCAAUUUAGAAAAUUAGAGAAACUAUAUAUCCAUCCCUCAUAGUUAAUCACAUAAUUUUACCCAUUCUUCAAUUUAGAAAAUUAUGGAAAGCAUAUAAUCUCCGUCCUUAUAACAUGACAAUGGAAAUCAAUUACUUCAUUUUUAAAUUAUGUUCAAGAAUUGAUUCAGAGCUUUACGUUCUUUUUCAUUUUAUAGAUUUUCAAUUAUUAAUUUCUUUACCUACAUCUUUCUUCAAAAAAAAAAAAACAAUGAUGUGUUAAAAGGCAUCUCAAUCUAUUUACUUCUCCAAACAUGUUACGUUACCAACACCAGUUAGAGUGAGCAAAAGUAAAUCAUAGGUUAAGAUUCAAUCCAAGCUAAUCAUGAAGUUGCUCUGAUUUAACUAUUGUUGUUUUGCUUAACUUGAUGAUUAUUCUUAUAUGUGGUAUGAAUCUUAAAUUUUAUGAAGUCUGUUAUUGUAGUUCUUUUCUAUUAAUGUGUUCCAAAUUCUUCUCUAAUUGCACAGGUGAAUAACUAGUUCCUCAUUAAUUUCUUGUUCUCGUGGUGAUUUUGUCAUAUAGCAAGUUUAACUUCAAAUUUGAUAAUUUGACGUUCUUAUCCUUUUCUAUAUUUGUUGAAAAGAGCAUAUCACUAAUAGGGGCAAUAUCUUCAUGUUCUGGCGAAGGUAAGUGCAAAACUAAGUGAAAUAACUAUGAUACCUAGAUUGGUGGAAAAGAAAAAUGUAUGGCCUCCAAAUAACCUGCUUACCUAAAUUGUCAAAAGUGGAGGGUGAGUGUUUUUUUCUCCGGAAAGAAUUGUUGGAUGCAAUAAUGCUAAGACAAAGAAAAUGCGGAAGACCGGCAUCCCUGACUAUGCAAUAAUAUUCAGUCCUAUUCCACUGAAAAAGGAAGCCAACUUCAUUCGAUACUAGGUUUACACAAACAAAAAACAGGAAUGGAGGACGGUUUCUUGGCCAUUUGCUUGAAUUUUUGGAGGGAAAAGGUCUAAAAUGUAACGUGACCGUCACCCAAAGAAAGUUAACUUGAGAAAGCAAUUUGAGAAAUGAGAAAUUACUAGAAAACUUCAGAUUUGGACAACCAUUAAUUGGCAACAUUUUCUUUACACAGUCAGUCUCUCCAAUAAAAUUGUAGAUUUACCCAAGGUCAUUACUUAGAAAAUUAUACGGGUAUUUAUUGAUAACUAGAAAAAAGCACGUGCAUUGCAUGUGUAUUUAAACAGUAGAAUUAAUCCAAGAUAUAGUUUAUAGAAGGGGGCCAAUUAUAAUACCAAUACUAUUAUGAUUGCCAAAAUUUUAAACCUGAAAAUGCAAUUGCAAAGAUGAAUAGAAGAUAGAUAGAUUUGCCUAAGUAAAUCUAAGUGUCAUGUUGGUCUCAAAAGUGCAAAGUUGGAAAGGCAAACUACUAAGCAAUGCAGGUAAAGAAGCACUUUUGAAAUCUAUGGUUUUAGCCCUUCCAUCAUUUGCCAUGUCUGUUUUUAAAUUAUAUAGUAACAUGUACAAAGAGUUAAGUGGUAUCAUGGCCAAAUUUUGGUGGGCCAAUGACCAACGGGGAAAAAAAGAUGCACCGGAAGAAGUGGCAAGGAUAGCAACUUCUGGAUUCAUAGCUCCAAGGAGGCAGAGAGAAUACUAAGUAUCCCCAUAAGCUUGGAAAACAGAGAGGACAACAACUUCUGGAUUCAUAGCUCAAAUGGAAAUUACUCUAUGAGCUCAGCUUAUAGGGUACAAUCUAGUUAUUAGCACUUCUGGAUUCGAUGCUUCAACAUGGCACUUCUUGCCAAGCAGGCAUGGAUGACUCUUACUAGUUAUUAGCCCCAAUUUGUUAAUGAACAAAGUGUUGAAAAGCAGAUAUUUCCCUCAGUCUGGUUCUCUGGAUUCAAAACUCAAAGUGGGAGCAUCAUGGUUAUGGCAAAGUCUUCACAGUUCCAUACCUGUUGGAAACUUUUCAAAAUUUGUAUGAUGUACAUACAUGUAUUUAAUGUAUAUUCAUGUUUUUGGUACAUGUAUAGUAUUGUGAAUGUUUCUAAAAUGUACAUUCAUUUAUGAAUGUAUUCAUAUAUAUGGGAAUCUUUGAAUGAAAGGAUAGAUUCAUGUUUUGAUAUGCAUGAAUUAAAGUACAUGAAUUUGUACACAAUACUUUGAAUCUAGUCAUACAAGUAUUUAAUGAGUUCUUUUGUUUCUUAAACAAUCUUCCUAUAUGAAGAUGUCAAGUAGAGAAUGGUUUGCUGCAGAAAAUUACUUUCCUACUAUUGUGUACUCUCUCAAAAGCACUCCAUAGUUCACAAAAGGUUUGUCUUGCUUUGUGCAAGAGUUUAGGACAAACAAACUUCAUCUUAUCCUAAAGGAUAUUUGUCCAAGAUUAUUGCACAUUAUACCGGACAAAUAAAGCCUAAAGGAAAGUGAUAUCUAUCACGAUUUGAAGCCAAUUUUUGUCACAAUAUUUGCCAGUUCUUUGCAAUUUUUCCAACAAUACCUUUAAUGUCUAGUGGCCUGAGGAAAGAACUAAGAAGUGGAGAUGGCAUAUCGGUUAACAUCUGGAAUGAUUGUUGGCUACCUAGAAUUGACCGUGGAAAAAUCUCAUCAUCAAGACCAGCCGGAUGCACGGUGGAAUGGGGUAGUGAACUGCUGCAAUCUCUGCUCACACAGGAGGGAAUUCAAAAAAUCCAACAAAUGCCAAUAUGAAUGUUUGGUGGUAAAGAUAAGUUCAAAUGGCUCCACUCAACUAUUGGCCUCUACACAACAAAAUCCGGAUAUGUGGUUGAGAAAGCGAGAUAGAAGGUCAAAGGAGCAAGCAUGAAAGAGGAGGGCAAUCCAGGCAGAAACAAAGAGCAGUCUAAACUACGGAAUCAAAUAUGGAGCAUGAACAUUUGAAACACUUCCUAUGGAAGUGCCUUCACAACAUUCUACCUACUAACGAAGUGGUGUUUAGAAGAACAGGAAAAGGAAAUGCUAGAUUGAAAUUACUGUGGAGAAUCUAAAGAAACUCUGGAACAUGCACUCUUAUCGUACAAAGCUAGCUGGCUUGGAAAUCCUCUCCAAUAAAGUGGGAUGGACUAGAGGAACAGAAAUGGAAUUUCUGGAUUUGGUGGGAAACUAUGCAAUGUAUUGAGAUCCAAAUAUGAUAUGUUGAAUUUUUUUUAAGCACUACAUUAAAGUUCACAUGUCUAUUGCACUCCCUCUCCCUUUGCCUCUCCAUAUUAACCACACUAGUAAUGUGUAGUUGUAGGCUUAGUGUUCUGGAUCUACAAGAGGGUUCUAGCCUAAAGAAGAGGAUAGCGGCAGGCCAAAUAAUGAAAGAGAGAAAAUAUUUGUAACACAAAGGCAUAAAUAGUAAGCAAAAUAAAUUCUCAACAUAAAUAGUAAGUAAAAUAAAUUGUCCGAUGUCUCCAGAACCCAUCUUAGCUAGUACGGAUUUUAGUCGACUCUCAAACUUGGUCAUAUAUAUAUAUGUGAUUUUGUGCCAUGAUCUGAGGAUUGUGUGAGUUUUUAACGCUGUACAUAUUCCCUAUGAAUGUAAUGUAAUCAAGCCAAGAUAUAUCUUUCCUCUUAGUGCGUCUGAUGGCUGCUGUGAACAUUCUGUCGGUGCUUGCGGGUGGGGCAGUAGUGUAAUGUGGCACACACAAUGGAAGGACUUAUAAGUUGUAAUGGGAUAUUUUAGAAUUUUGAAAGAUGUUGUGUACCAAAGAAAAAGCUUAAUCAUUUUUUUAAAAAAAAUUAUCUAAAUAGAUAGUUCCUGGUGAUGACUCAAACAACCCAUACUGAAUUUUAAGAAACUUCCCAUAAAAAUCACAUCCAACGGUAAGAAAAAAUAGAGAAACCAGAAACUUCUUGAAGUAAAACUCCAAAUUACUGAAUCACAUAGAUUGUCAAAAGUAUAGUGUAAGUGGCUUUUCUCCAGAUGUAACCCAAAACCACCGAAAAAGAAAGAAAAGAAUUAUUGGAUGCAGAGGACAAAGAAAUAGUGGAAGUUGAACAUCUUGUCCCGGAUUCUUCAAUUUUUAGUCCCAUUUGACAGAAAAGAAAAACGAAAGUGAAAGAAUCCAACUUGAUGGAAUGGUUGAAAAUUGACUGAUUUUUCCACAUAAUAAAACAUGAAAAACCAAAAGGAACACUGGACGGUUCAUCAGUUUCGGCUUGAUUUUUCGACGGUUUACGAUUUCAGCAUAUUAACGGCUGUACAAAAAAAAAGAGAGUCUAAAACGGAGUUGUGAAUGACCAACCAAAGAAAAUAAAUGGAAGAGUAGUUUGAGAAAGGUUUUAUUGAACAAGCGUUCGAUAAUACUCAACUAAUCAUGUGAAUGCAUACAUUUACAAUUAUUGCCUACCUAUGUAUUUAUGCACUUUCCCUGAACUUUACUUCUUCAAAACAUUAACACCUGAACUCCAUCUUAAGAGUGCCGACAGAUAAAACAAUCAAAUCACAAAGAUCAAAAGAAAUUUCAAUUGCGGUCUACUGAUGUGCCAAAACAAACAUGAUAAAGAUGUUGAUGAGAUAGUAAAUUUUUAUUUAGAAUUACACAACAAAGAUGCCAUAGUUGUACAGCAGUCAAGAUGCUAUUAUCGAAAGAUGCAUCUCAGUUGUAUAUAUGUCCUAAAUAUGCAGUCUCGAGAGAGGAGGUGGCUUCCUGAUCUUUGUGGCUUGCUCAAAGUCAUAUGCUAUCUCUAUCAGUUUUGGUUCUGAUCCUUUUAGCCCUCCAAAAGAAAUGCCAUAUGGGGUGCCAUUAGUGUAAUAACCUGCUGGAACAUUUAUGCCAGGGUAUCCUCCGGCAGAAAUAGCAUAUACAAUAUUGUCAGUAGGCGUCACUAAGGCAUCCAAUUUAUUUUCCUUCAUCAACUUCUCGAACCCAUUUUUGGACGCUCUAGUUAAAUUAAGCAGUAGUUGUCUUUCCAUUCUGCCAAUGCCAUUGGUUUUCUCUGCUGCCUCAAAUAUAUCUUGUCCGUACUUUUUUAUCUUUUCCUGAAGCACACACAGUCGAAUAGUCUGAGAGUAUUGUGUCUCUAACAAAAGGCUAUCGACAGAAUUGAGCCUGUUGUUUACUUACCAACUUUGAGUGUUUCUUAUUAAAGACUAUUGCAUCAGUUAGGGAUCGCACGGGAGAGGUAAUCAACUGCUUUAGAUAAGCAUUUAAUGCCAGCUUGAAUUCCACAUUCAUGGCUAUGGAUUGGUCAUUCAACAUUGAAGCUGUGAUGUUAUCGAAGCUGGCUGUAUCCACAAUGUCUACCAAUACUGCACCUCGUUGCCUUGUUUUAGCCAAGACCUCAGAAUACUGUGUUAGAACUUUUAACAGUGUUGAAAUAUGCUGACCAAAUCUAACCAAAACAAGAUUUUCUAUUUGCUCUGUGAAUCAACCAAGAAACAUGCUAGAAGUUUUUUAAUUGGGGCCUGCAGAGGCCCCGUCCUGGGCCUAGACACGUGGUAGCCCAGGUAUGGCCGAGUUGGGCCUCGACCCCAGGCCCCUAGUAACCGUCCUGGGCCGCAUCGCUGCUAGGGCUCCAGAGGGCCCAGGGGACCAUCCCGCAGAGGUCGGAGGAAAUCCCCCUCGCCGCGGGAUAAGGGUUAUCCCGGGCAAGUCCCGAAACGUACGGAGGUCGGACUCUCAGGAAGGUAUAAAUGGUAAUGCACACCACUUACACAAGGUACGCUCACUAUUGGCACAUUACUCUCGGCUGCUUAAAUUCCCAUAAACCUCAUCCACCGGUGAACUAACUUGACCGUCGGAGUGCCCUCGGGGACGACCUCGGGGCCCCCUGUUAGAUCACCCUGUUGUCCGUCUUGCAGGCUUGGGACCAGCUCUACCCAUCAGCACACCGAGCUCAUUAGUCCAGCUCGGUCCGAGGAAGCUCAGCGCUUCUUCAGUUGGCGCCGUCUGUGGGAACCGUAAGGUAAUCAAGACUGUGUUGAUGGCGAGAACGCGAUCCAAGCGAACGAUAGAGAGCACCGACCCUGGAGCCGGCGAAGGAUCCCAGCGAAUGGAGGCCGAGGCGGCUCGGGGUGCCGGGGGCUCAGCCCUCUCAGGGGAGCGGAGGCAGCAGAUCUUCCAGUUCGUGACGGAGAAUCUCCCCAUGCUGGAAGACAUUAUCCGGCAGGCGAAGGAGGAGGGCGAAGCCGGUGGCGCACAGACCUCCAAGGCGAAGGGGAAAGAGAAAGAACCACUUCCGGACCCCUCGGAGGAUGAGUCACGCGACCAACCCCCCAGAAAGAAACGGCCACGGAUUCCCCCUCGCCCCCGAGUCUCGGUGGUCGGGGACAGCGAGAGAUACUCCCGCGACCGGCCCGCGGGGAGCCGUCCAAGAGACCCCUCCCCACGGAAACCUACGCGGAAUGGGCUCGAGCGUUCCCCUGCUCGGUCUGUGAAGAGCCGGCCGCGCGACCUACCCCCGUGGAAACCUGUCCGAGACGAACUCGAGCAGAUCUUGCGGCUGCAGUUGUACGAGGACAACUACACCACCUCGCCCUUUCCCCGGGAAAUAGAGGAUUACCCCCUAUUCCGGAGAUUCAAGAUCCCGAACAUUGAGAUGUAUGAUGCUUCAACCGACCCGAAAGACCACCUCUUGGUCUUCCUGACGCACAUGCGUCUGCAAACAGCCGCGAAUGAGAUCCGCUGCAAGACCUUCCCCAUGUUCUUAAAGGGGAAGGCUCGGCUCUGGUUCCAAGGUCUGGCACCAGGGUCUAUCCGGAGUUUCCCUGAAUUGGCCAGAUAGUUCGUAACCCAAUUCGUUUCCUCGAAAACUUACUCGAAGAAUGCAACUCACCUAAUGGCUAUCAGGCAGAGGCUCGACGAGUCCCUGAGAAAUUUCAUGACCCGUUUCAACGCGGAGAGUUUACAGGCCAGGGACAAAGACGAAAAGUUGGUCAUGGCCGCCUUCACGAAUGGGCUCAGGGUAGAGGAGCUCUUCUAUAACUUGGCCGAGAAGCCUACUGAAAAUCUGGAGGAGCUCCUGACCAGGGCGCACGCGGCCGCUAAUGCGGAGGAGGCAGGCCGUCUGAAGAAAGAGUCAGAUCGGGAGCUCGGAAAUCGGAGGGGACGGGGAAACCCCCCUGAAAGCAAGGAUGGUUCGGCCAGGAAAAACGUCUUUGACCGGCUCUCGAGGGAGAAAGCCCCUGCUCCGCCACCACUCCCGGGGAAAGGCUACACCCCAUUGACUCGGCCUAGGGCCCAGAUCCUGGCUGUUAUGGAGGCGGAAGGCCUGGGAGGUCGGCCGCCCAAGAUGGGGACACCUCGAAACAAGAGGAACCAGGACCGGUACUGCGCUUUCCACCGCGACGUCGGACACGACAUGGAGGGGUGUUGGGCCCUGCGGAAGGAGAUCGAAAAUCUGAUCGAGUGCGGCUUCCUGGGGCGAUUUGUGCGGCAAGGUUGCCCCGGCCAGGAGCCCGGGCACACCUACCGCGGAGACCGGGGCGAAAGCCGGAGUCGCGACCGUCCUGAGCGGCGUGACCUGCGUCGGGGCCGCUCCCCCGACCAGGACACCCAGAACCCGGCGGGAGUGAUAAACACCAUCGCCGGCGGCUCCACCGGGGGAGACAGUCACACAGCUCGGAAGAACAGGCGACCUCCCCCUGAGGGGGAUGACUCCCUGAAACGGCUGCGCAUGGACGAGGAGAUCACUUUUGGGCCAAGGGAUGCAGUCCCCCUAGCGUCUGGGAACCAUGAGGCCAUCGUGAUAGACAUUGUUACCAACAACUACCGGGUGAAGAAGGUAUAUGUCGACCAGGGAAGUGCGGUCGACAUCAUGUUCUAUCGGGUGUUCAAGGAGCUCGGCUUGGAGGACGGGCAGCUGACCCCAGUUCGGACACCACUGAUGGGCUUCACCGGACCCCCUAUCAACCCGGAGGGAAUGAUCACCUUGAUGGUCACGGUAGGGCAGGCCCCCAAAUGCCGGACCAUCCCUAUCAACUUCGUGGUGGUCAAGCAACAAUCCCCGUAUAACGUGUUCUUGGGUCGGCCUGCCUUGAACGCUCUCCGAGCUAUCCCCUCGACGCUCCACCUCAGCGUCAAAUUCCCCACUCCGGGAGGAAUAGCCGAGGUACGCGGUGAUCCAGAGGUGGCCCGAGCUUGCUACUUGGCCAUACUUCAAGGACGGGAGAAGGUGGUCGCCCAAACGACCUGCCUGGAGCCCUACAUUUCGGGGGAGGAAAUCCGGCAGUUGGGCACCCAGGACGAGAUAGAGGAGUUCCCCUUGAGGGAGGACCGGCCCGACCAGGUGAUCCGCAUCGACUCGCUGCUACCCUUUGAGGAGAAGGAGGGUUUGAAGGCCCUGUUAAGGGAAUACUCUCAGGUCUUCGCGUGGACGGUUGAGGACAUGCCUGGGAUUCCGACCGACCUGGCCGUCCACCACCUCAACGUGGAUCCUCGCUUCAAGCCGGUGAAGCAAAAGAAGAGGAGUUUCACCCCAGAAAAGAAUGAGGUGAUUAAGAAAGACGUCGGAAAACUGCUGGAGCCUAAGAUCAUCCUGGAGGUCUACUACCCGACCUGGUUGGCAAACCCGGUAUUGGUUAAGAAAGAGGACCAGACCUGGAGGAUGUGCGUGGACUUCACGGAUCUCAACAAAACCUACCCAAAUGACUGUUUUCCUCUGCCGAGAAUCUACAGGUUAGUAGAUUCUACUGUGGGAAUUGAUGUCUUGUGUUUUCUGAAUGCCUUCAAGGGGUACCACCAGAUAGAGAUGGCUGAGGAGGACCGGGAAAAGAUCUCCUUCAUCACCGAGGAAGGAACCUACUGCUACCGGACUAUGCCGUUUGGCCUGAAGAACGCGGGAGCCACUUACCAGCGUCUGGUCAACAAACUGUUCCAGAAUCAGAUCGGCAGGAGCAUGGAAGUCUACAUAGAUGACAUGAUCGUCAAGAGCCGAACUGAUCAGCAGCUCAUCCCCGACCUGAGGGAGAUACUGAGCAUCCUGCGGGAGAGCCGGAUGCGAUUGAAUCCGAAGAAGUGUACCUUCGGGGUUAGGUCGGGGAGGUUCCUGAGAUUCUUGGUGUCUCGAGACGGGAUCCGGGCCAACCCGGAUAAGCUCCAGGCUAUCAUAGACAUGGCCCCCUCGAGGAGCGUAAAGGAGGUCCAGCGGCUAAAAGGAAGGAUGGCCGCCCUGAACAGAUUCCUCUCGCGUUCCGCGGUCCGGGGGCUGCCCUUCUUCCGGAUCUUGAAAACUCCCAAGGACUUUCAAUGGAUUGCAGAGUGCUAGAAAGCCUUCGCCGACCUGAAGGCCUACCUGGCUGAGCUGCCCACUCUGACCGCCCCGGAGCAGGGGGAGACCUUGUUCCUAUACAUGUCCGCUUGCAACGAGGCCGUCAGCGCGGUCUUGUUGCGGGAGGAUGGAGGGACUCAGAGGCCGGUAUACUACGUCAGCCGUGCUUUGCAGGGGCCGGAAACGCGGUACACGCCGGCAGAGAAACUGGUCCUCGCCUUGGUGCACGCGGCCCGUAAGCUCCGACCUUACUUCCAGGCCCACAGCAUCGUCGUCAUGACGGAUCAGCCCCUACGGCAGAUACUUACAAAUCCCAAGGUCUCGGAUAGAAUGACCAAGUGGGCCGUUGAACUGGCCGAGCACGACAUCGGCUAUCAGCCUCGCACCGCUAUCAAGGCUCAGGCCUUGGCGGACUUCCUCGCUGAGGGGGCUAGCUUGGCCAUCACCAGGCAGAGCUCUCCGCCCAGUGAGUCGCGGUCGGGAGAGCCUUGGAUCCUGUUCGUAGAUGGGGCCUCGAGUAAGGAAGGGAGCGGAGCUGGCCUGUUGUUCAUCUCGCCUACCGGGGAGGAGCUCACCUACGCCCUCCGAUUUGACUUCCCCGCAUCCAACAAUGAAGUCGAGUACGAGGCCUUGCUUAUAGGAUUGCGGAUAGCCCACCAGAUGGGUAUAACCGCGAUCAAAGUCCGGAGCGACUCCCAGCUCGUCGUCCUCCAAGUUCACGGGGAAUACGAAGCCAAGGAGGAUAUCAUGAAGAAAUACCUGGCCAAGGUACGGGAGGCAAUAGCCCUAUUCGAUACUUUUGAAAUCGAGCGGGUGCCGAGAUCCCAGAACAAGCGCGCGGACGCCCUGUCAAAACUGGCAUCCUCCUCAUUUGCCCACCUGAGUAAGAAAGUCUUGGUAGAGGUGGUCAAGCAAAAGAGCAUUGAUCAGGUCCAGGUCUUGGCCAUAGACAGCUCGGCCACCUGGAUGACCCCCCUGAUGAACUUCCUCAGCUCGGGUGUCCUGCCCGAAGACAAAGCGGAAGCUCGCCGACUCCAGCUCAAGGCUGCCAAUUACGCCUACGCUGGUGGGACCCUCUACCGGAGGUAGUAUCUGUCCCCCUGACUAAAGUGCGUGACUCCAGAGGAAGGCGAUUACGUCAUUCGUGAAGUUCACGAGGGCUUAUGUGCGGCCCAUGUGGGGUCCCGAGUACUGGCCAAAAAGUGCCUUCUCCUGGGCUACUAUUGGCCCUCGGUGUUCCAAGAUGCAGCGGCCCUGGUUCAGAAGUGCCGAGCUUGCCAGGUGCACGCCCCACUGCGCCAUCAGCCAGCCCGGGAAAUGGUCCCCAUCCAUAGCCCCUGGCUCUUCGCCCAGUGGGGGAUAGAUCUCUUGGGUCCUUUCCCUCGAGCCCCGGGGAGAUACGAGCACCUCGUGGUGGCCGUCGACUACUUCACAAAGUGGAUGGAAGCGGAACCUCUGGCCACUAUCUCUGGGAGGGUAAUUCAAAAAUUCUUCUGGAAAAACAUAGUCUGCCGCUUCGGGAUUCCGCAUGUCUUGAUAUUCGACAACGGGCGCCAGUUCGCCGAGAACCCCUUCAAGAGCUGGUGUGUCGAGCUCGGGAUCAACCAGCACUUCACAUCGGUCGGCCACCCCUAGGCCAACGGCCAGGUGAAAAAUGCUAACCGAACCAUUUUGCGGGGACUGAAAACCAGGUUUGAACUAGCCCAGUCUAACUGGCUCGAGGAACUUCCUAGUGUCCUCUGGGCUCACCGCACUACGCCCAGGACGGCUAUCCACGAGACCCCGUUCUCCUUGACUUAUGGGGUAGAGGCGGUGGUGCCUGCAGAGGUCGGACUCCCCUCACCUUGAACACAGAAUUUCGUCGCGUCGGCCAAUGAAGAGGAGCUACGGUGCAACUUGGACAUGUUGGAGGUUAAGCGUGAGGAGGCGGCGAUACGGAUGGCUAGGUACAAAAGCCAGUUCGCUCGCUAUCACAACGCAAAAGUAAGAAACGUGCAGUAUCGGCCGGGAGACUUUGUCUUAAGAAAGAACUCGGUCAGCAGGGCUCACGGCUCCAACAAGCUCGACCCAAAUUGGGAAGGACCAUACCAGGUCCUCGAAGCGAGCCGAGCUGGUUACUGCAAGCUCGCGAAGAUGGAUGGAUCAGAGGUACCCCGUACUUGGCACUUCUCCAAUCUGCGACUGUUCGUAGCGUAGGUUAGACCAGGGUGUUUGGCUGUCUGUUCUUUGGAAUCUGAAUUUCAAUUUUGUCAUUCAAUAAAUGUUCUACUUUCAAGUUUUAAAUUCAUUCUGAUAUUUUGCCUUUUUAAGUUCGAAUCCUACACUAGCACACUCAGCGCUCCCUCACUCAGUGUCCUAGUGGAGGGCUAGGGGGAUGAAAGGUAAUGGAUGUGAUGCCUUUAAAAGUGCGGGAGUGCUCGACCGCAAGAGGUCGGCAAAACUUCAAAGCAGAUGGUCGAACCGAGGAGGUCGGCAUGGUCAGGGAUGCUCGACCCCAGGAGGUCGGCACGAAUGAAAACUUUGAAGUCUGAAAGUUCAACGCUUGACCCAGGAGGUUGGCGGGAAUGCCUUCAAAGUGUGAUGCUCGACCCCAAGAGGUCGGCACGGGUUAAAACUUCAAAAUGGAGGCGUGACCCCAAGAGGUCACCACGGCUCCAAAGGUUAGAGUCUGUGGGUUCCACGUUCGACUCAGGAGGUCGGCAUGAAUACCUCUAAGGCUCGACCCAGGAGGUCGGCACGGCUCUAAGACCUUAGGACUUGAAGGUCCGACGAUGCUCGACCCCAAGAGGUCGGCGCGGGGCGAACUAUUCUGGGUUGGUUAGAAUUCGGGAAUUCGACGCUCGACCCAGGAGGUCGGCAUGAACACCUUCAAAAUCGGACGUUCGACCCAGGAGGUCGGCAGAAAUAUCCUUACAGUUUGGUGCUCAGCCCCAAGAGGCUGGCACGUUCCCUUGAUAGGUCUAUUUGGUACUCGACCCGGGAGGUCGGCACCAGGUUUUAAUAGUCUGAUUGCCUUUGGCAAUUUAGCUGUGGGAUUAAAAAGGGGAUAUAUCCGGUGCUCAACCCAGGAGGUCGGCACACGGCUUUGGUUGCUAAAGUUGGGCGAAGGCGAGAAUUGCAAGGAAAUGUCCUUCGAGUUUUAUAUAUGCAUUCAAAGCCUAUCUAUUACAAAGCUUCUAAGUCGGUAGUCUCCUUCGAGUUUCAUAUAUGCAUUCGAAACCUAUCUAUUACAAAGCCUACCGGGCUAUAAGAGAAAGACAGUUCGGUCCCUAUUCUUCUUGAUGGCAGCCUGCUUAGAGCAGGGGCUAAAGGUACAUCUUAAACAUGUUGAGAGGCGUAUGGUGAAGGCUAUUCAAGGUAGCCGCAAAGGCCCUGGGGCAGGGGACCUAUCCAUCUCGGAUGGACCUUCGAGAGCAUUUUCAACUGGAGCAUGGUCACAUCCUUAUAAGAAGAUGGAAAGGGUUUCUGGAGUGUUCGCCGCCCUAGGCUACCGGCUCCUUCCCGGGAGCUCUGCCGGAAGCUUCAUCCUCCUCCAGGGGAACCUCCGCCAGGUCGACUCCCACAUCACUCUUGCCCGCUAGCUCCUUCAGGGCAUGCCCCUUGCAAUACCCGUCAAAGAGCCAGUCUACCUUCUCCUCGGCUUUAGGGUUGUACUCCUUAAAAGCGGCCAAGUCGAAGCCAGGCAGGCCGAGCUCCUUGACCUUAUCCAGAGCUCGCGUGAAGCCGAUCUGGAGAAUGGGCUCGUUGAGAAGGGCGACGUCCUCGGUAAACUGUUCGGAGGAGAUGAACUCCCGAACAGCCUUCUUCCGCUCCCGGCUGACGGUGCCGGAGAGUUCGAUGGCGUGGUUUUCCUUCAGCUUGACCACGCCGGCCUUCUCUUGGUCGAGCUCCGACCUAGCGGAGGCGAGCUGGACCUGAGCCGUUUCUAGCCCUUUCUCGACCUUGCCCAAUUUGGCCUUAAGGGAGUCCACCUCCUUAAGGGCAUGUGUAAGCCUCUGCUCUGUCUCCUGAUUCUUCUUUUGCAAUUUCUUCAAGUCGGGAGACAGCUCGGAGAGGCGGGUCUCCAGGGCAGCGCCGGCGGCGUUGGCCUGAGGAGGAAAGAAAGCAGGUUAGCGCGUCACGCUAUCCAGCCAAAACGCAGAGGCGCAACUGGCCCAAGGGCUAGAAAACUUACUUGAGCCUGGGCGGUGUAAUAUGCGUCUUGGAGCUCGGAGGGGCUUGCCAACUCCAUCCACCUCUUGUCGCGUGGGAGGACCGAGCCAGCAAUCAGCUCGCGGGCCACCUCGGGAAACUUGGCCCGGUCGUUGAUAGAGAACCCCCAGGACGGGUAGAAGUGGCGAGGGUCGUCCAUAGUGGGGGCCUGACCCGGCUUCAAGGGGGCUAUGUGGCGGAAGUGCCACAAGCUCGGGGGAGGUGACUCCCGAGUAUGCUUCUCAGUGGAGCCAACGCCCAGAUGGACUGGGCCUCCCCAUGUCAGCGCGGGGGGGCUGUGCUGGAACCAGCGCGAGCCUCUUUCCGGGCUGGGAGGGCUCGUCCCCUCGACCCCUCUUCUGCCCGGUCGCCUUCUUCUUGUUGUUGGUGGCCUUCUUGGAGGGGGAGGAGGUGUUCUGCGCUUCCUUCUGGGGGGCUUGGUCGCCUCCCGGGGACGGAGCAACCCCAGGGGCCUCCUUGGCCGCCUCUGGCUGAGGGGUGGGGGUAGCCUCCUCAGUGGACGCGCCCAGCAGCUUGGAGAGCCUCCUCACUGCAAUUGACAUCACCAGGUCAGCCAAAACAGGUCAGUUAAGAGAUCGUAAUGUAUGACAUGUAUAUAAAUGUGACAAGCUACAGGGACAGAGUCGGCGUUACAAGCAUCAAGGUCGGUUUUGGAGGCCACCACCUCUCCGGAGGACCCGGACAACGUCCCCAUCAACCCGGCUGCAGAAAUCUGCUCGGUGGAGAACUUGAUGGCAUGGAGUUUCACCUUGGAGCUCACCAGCUGGAUGAGGGUCUCUGAGUCCAGGUCCUCCGGGUAGGGAUCGGAUUUCACCUCCCCGACGUUCCACACGGUGGCUUCACGGCCGAUGGAUUUGACAAAAAAGAAGUCCCCUUUCCAGUUCUUGAUGGAAGAGGGGAACCCGUAGAACAGGUCCUGGGUGCCCUUGUCCCCCCGACCUUGGUUCCCGGUCCGGCGGGAGAAGUAAUACCACCCAGGAAGGGUGAACUUGAGGAUGUAGGCAGCUCGGAAGAGGGAGAGAGAGUAGGGGAUGGAGCAGACUUGGCAGUAGAUCAGAAAUCCUAUGAUGAUUCUAAUCGAAUUAGGAUGAACUUGGGUGAUCCUGAGCCCCCAAUAGCUCAAGAUCUCAGCCAGGGCUGAAGGUAUUGGUAGUCGGAGCCCCCUAAGCAGCUGCUCCUUGUAGAUGGCUACAAAGUCAGGGGGAGGUCGGCUGGCUCGGUCGUUGGGCCCGGCAGCCCUUGGCUCGAAGGCCGGAGGGAUGGAGAAGGACCCGACUAGCUCGGCCACCGCCUCGGGUGAGAUGGUGACCUCUUCGUGGUCGGGGCGACCGAAGUCGAGCUCGGCAUCGUCCUCCUGCUCGGGGGAAUGAGGAUGAAGGAGUCGCCGGAAUCUGGGCACAGAAAGCCGGAAGUCUCUUUACUGGGAAAUGGAAAUGCGCGAAGAAAGGAGAAAAUGGCAAAUAGAGUCGAGUGGAGUCUGAUAACUCCCAUUUAUAGGGGGCAAAAUGGGGGGGAAACAGUUGCUUGAAUUUGAACCGUCUCAUGUGAACACAUUUAAUGAGGGUACGGAGACCGAAGGGACGCGACAACUGAAAGGACGUGGGCGCGGCUUCCCUAUGCCAGCACUGUACCGGAGGUGACCUUGGCAGAGCAGUGCGCGGCGCCGGCCUCCCAACGUGGCAGGGGUAGAUUAGGUCUGCCUGUCAGCCCUACCUAAUCUAGGGGGCUAGUGCAGAGGCCCCGUCCUGGGCCUAUACACGUGGCAGCCCAGGUAUGGCCGAGCUGGGCCUCGACCCCAGGCCCCUGGUAACCGUCCUGGGCCGCGUCGCUGCUAGGGCUCCAGAGGGCCCAGGGGACCAUCCCGCAGACGUCGGAGGAAAUCCCCCUCGCCGCGGGAUAAGGGCUAUCCCGGGCAAGUCCCGAAACGUACGGAGGUCGGACUCUCAGGAAGGUAUAAAUGGUAAUGCACACCACUUACACAAGGUAGGCUCACUAUUGGCACAUUACUCUCGGCUGCUUAAAUUCCCGUAAACCUCAUCCACCGGUGAACUAACUUGACCGUCGGAUUGCCCUCGGGAACGACCUUGGGGCCCCCUGUUAGAUCACCCUGUUGUCUGUCUUGCAGGCUUGGGACCAGCUCUACCCAUCAGCACACCGAGCUCAUUAGUCCAGCUCGGUCCAGGGAAGCUCAGCGCUUCUUCAGGGCCCAAAUGCAAAGUGAUCAAAAUUCAAUUCAAAGUACAAACAGAAAAUUUUGUGGUAGUUAGUCAUUCUGCUCCUUUAUAACUUUACAGAAAUGUUCACAUGCAUCCCAGAUCGAUCACGAUGAUCUUUCUCUGGGCACCCAAUGUAAGAUUUCAAUUAGGUAUAGUAGAACUUUAAAGGUUAUGCUAGUGAACUCACCUUAGAAUGUGGAAGUGAGGUUCAAAAGCUUUCAAUUCUUCGGAGGAGUUGCUGAAUCCUACAAAGGAGUACCUUGGAAUCCCCAGUCUCUUUCCCUUAAUUCCAUUAGACUUAAGAAAUUGCAAAUAGCCUCCACGAGGAAUAUACUUGGAAGCUUUUUUGGUUGCUACUGCAUCAUCAGGAUCAAAUCCAACAAUGGGCGUCCAGAACAUACACUGCAUCAGAGACAGUCCGGCAUAUCGGCCUGUUCUGCCCCAUAAAGGAAUUGUUAUGAUUUUGUAUCAAUUUACUAAUAGUUUCUUUGUCAUCUUUGAGUUCUAAUUUCAAGUUUAUACUAUAUGGCGAUGAAAUACAAGUAAAUUAAUCAUCUUUCAUUACCCAACAGUAUUCUGUCGAGGCGAGAUGGGGACAACACCUGCUCGACUUGUGAGCCCUACAGUUGGUUUGAUUCCCACAACCGAAUUAGAACUAGAAGGGCAUAAAAUGGAUCCAGAUGUUUCUGUACCCAGUGUAACUGCAGCCAUAUUUGCUGCUACUGAUGUUGCAGAACCGGUGCUUGAGCCACAUGGAUCAGUAGAUUAGGUAUGGAUUCUACAUCGAAUCAGAUCCACAAUAUGGAAUUAUAUAUCUGUAUAGGAAAUUCUAAUUGAUCUGGAAAUGCUGCAUAGGAAAUCAACUUUUUGUUUCCUAAGCUACAAAUUAUUGAAAAAAUAGAACAAGAAAAAAAAAGGAAACUUCUGACUCAAAUAGUGGCAUGGAAGUUUGGAAAUUCAGUUGAAGCAUAUGAGCAACUCACCACACUUUGGCCACGUCUAGCAUUCCAACCAUUAGGCACAUUGUUUGACCUGUAUGCAGCCCAUUCUGUCAUGCUAGCCUUUCCUAAUAUGAUAGCACCAGCCCUCCUUAGCUUCUUAACCACCCCAGCAUCCCGAGGUACAAUUGAUCCUAGAAGUGCAUAAGAUCCAGCUGUAGUGUUAAGCUUAUCCUUGGUUGCAAUGUUGUCUUUGAGCAGAAUCGGAAUACCAGCCAGUCCUGUCACCGAUCCUGGCUUCUUAGCCUUUCAAUCCUGGUCUGCCUUGUGGGCUAAAUGUAGAGCAUCCGGAUUCACUUCUAUGACUCCAUUAAGAACUGGAUUUAGUCUCCUAAUCUCUUUGAGGUAGAAUUUAACUAAUUCCUGAGAAGUGAGUCUGUUAUGAUCCAAGGCAAUCCGAAUAUCAUGCACAGUAGCUUCUCUGAAUGAGAAGGGACUUCCCUCAGCAUUAUGAUUGAGGCCGAGAAUAGUAAUACUCAAAAAAAGUAGCAGCGGUAUAUCCAUAUGGAUUUCUACUGUAAUAUCUUUGAGAGAAACUUGUUUCUUGCUUUUUCUUUCUGUGAUAUUCUAAGCUACUGAUAACUAGGUACUAUUUCUCCAUGUGGUACAGUCGGACGAUUUCAUCCUCUAUUGUUGCUUGCCUGGCCAUGUUUUCUAUGAUAAAGACUCUGUUGACUGUGACUUUUGGAGAAAAACAUAAAUGAAUAAAGGACAAGUUACUCGUAACUUCGUGCCUUUUUUUAUCCCAUGAUGCCACAUGAUACCUUAAAGUAUCAAAAUAUUUACAUAAUACCCUAUGAAUUUUUUGUAAAGUGGUAUUUUGACAAAAAAAAAAAGUUUUUGUAAUGUCCACUUUGCAUAAAAUUAUAGGAAAAUUAUGUGAAUAAAUACAAAAUCACAAAGGAUUCAAAUAGAUAUUUAUGCAAUACGUUUAGGGUCAAAUGAAUAUAUAAGCAAAAUCAUAGGUAGAUUAAGUGGUUAUUAUAAUUUCAUUGCAUUUACUUCUAGAACACGUCUCAAUCAAUAACAGUAUACCUGACAAUUGGCGGAUUGGGCGGGUUUUGGGCGAGUUAAUACUGGAUUUUCACUUAAAUGGGUUAUAUCCAACCCGCCCAACUUUAGAUUGGGUUAAUUUUGGGUUGGGUCAUAUUGGGUUAUCUCAAACCCAUGACCCAAUAUAUUAAUUAAUACAUUUUAAUACAUAAACUUUUUCACAUACAUUUUAACAUACAAAAAUGAUUUUUUUCACACACAUAAACACAUUUUCACAUACAUAAAUGUAUUUUCACACACACUUACUUCUUAAGUUCCUUGAAAACACAUAAAUAGAAUAAUAUUUUAUAUUGUUUGUAUUGUGAAUUUUAGAUAAUAAAUUGUACAUCUAAAUAGACUAGCUAAAAAAAUUGUUUACUUUAUACUUUUUAAUACUACUAAUUGAUUGAAACUUAUUAAAUGACAGGAGACAUUACUACAUUUUGGUAUUUGGACUUGGUAAUUAAGAGGGAAAAUUAAUUGUCUUGCUGAUUCCAAGCUUCUCAUGAAGUUGAAGAUUGGAGGUAUUUGCUUUAGACGAAAUGAAAUUGUUGGACUAGUCAUGCUCAAGUUGCCAUAAUUAAUCAAAACAAAAUAAAAUCCGCAAGUCAACUAUAUGAUUCGAAGUUAAUAUCAUGAUCUAUAUACAUAUAAUAUAUAUUAGAAGGUAUUUUUUUAUUGAUUUGAUAUAGUUAGAUAAUUCAUCACCUGAUUAAUUAGAAUCAUCUAGGAUCAGACUUGAUGCUAUGGUCAUAUUAAUCUUUUAGGAUUACCACAACUCUGAUAUAAAGCAGAAAAUAUUAUACGCUUGUAAAACUGGUAUUGGUCCCCAAAAUUUUUUUAAGGAAAAUCCCAAACUUUUUAAGAAAUAAAUGAGAGGAGAAUUCAUGAACUAUUCUGACAUUUUUACCACAUUGGGAUCGCAUUAUUUUGAAUUAUUGAAAAAUUAGGCUGAUACAAAGUAAGCUUUUGUUUGUAAAUUUGAAGAAUCCGAAAUUAUAUAAUGCUAAAAGGUUAAAAAAGAAAUUUGUACAAUAUUAUAAAUACACAAAAUAUUAACAAACAAAAGCAAGUAGUAACUUGAGAACAACAAAAAAAAAAAGAAAAAAAAGGGGAGGAAAACAACAUACUCUUAAAAGGCAUAAUAAAUUAUUAUAAAAGUUGAGCAAGUUUAACUACUAUUAUAAAAGUAAAAUAAGCAUGAGUUUUUAUUUCAAGUUUCUUUUUUCUUUUAAAUAAAAAUUUAAAAAAUUGAUUAAAAAAUAUAUAUAUUUAUAUAUAUAUUGAUUAAAAUAUAUAUGAGAAUUUUGAAUACAAAUUAAUGAAUGAAUUAUUAACACAUGUCCAAAUGCAAAUAGUUGGACAUAUGUGUAUUGAAUCUUGUAUUUAUUGUUUUGAAUUACUUUUAAACAAGUUGGAUAUUGGGUACCCAAAUAAAAAACCCCAACCCACCCAAGGAAUAAAUUGGGUUGUUCUUACCUAACCCUACAAAACCCAUAACCCAAUUGACCCAACCCAUCCUUUAAAAUUAAUGCGCGGAUUGGGUGGGUUAUUGGGUUUUGGACUUUUUUGCCAGCUCUAAAUAACAGUUAUUAGAGAUACUUUCCAUCCUUUUUUUACAUAACAUAAAACCAUACGAGGAUUAUGUAGGUAUUUUGAAACUUACGGGAGUCAUAUAGUAUUAUCCAAAAGAACAAUAGGACUAAAAGUAAUUUACCGGGCAAAUUACAUUUUACCCCCUGUGAUUUACCCUUAUGGUUUGGAUUAAAGUGUCAAAGUGACGGAAAUAGUCAUUCGUAAUGGAACUUCUAGAAAUGUCAUAAUUACCCUUAUAAAUACAUGACAUACUAAUCCUGUAUGAUUUUUAUAUAUAACUAUAUAACCCCCUUAUGGUUUAAUAUUUUACCAUAUAACCUCCUUAUGAUUUUCAAAAUAUACACAUAACCCCCAUUGGUUAAUAAAUAAUUUUCAACUUUACAUAAGGGUAUUUUUGACAUUUUAAAUGACUCCGUUACUAAUGAUCAUUCCCGUCAUUUUGACACUUUAAUCCAAACUAUGAGGGGGUUAUAUAUAGCUUUUGAAACUAUAGGGGGGUUAUGUAAAAAUGCUAAAUCACAGGGGGAUAAAGUGAAAUUUGCCCUAAUUUACCUGUAAAUAAAAGAAGAAAAAGCAAAGGCCAAUCAUUUCUUUGGUGAACACAAAGGCCACCGAGGGCUUUAUUCACCGACAACAUUAGUACAAAAAACAUCGUGGAUGCCAGUGGAUGUCUUUCACAAACCAUAUGCUGCACUUGCUCUCUGAUGGAAAAGCAACACUAAUAAGUGCUAAAGAUCAAGAACAAUUAAUAGAAAGCAUUUUCAACUAAAUUCAACGGAUCUGAAGAUGGGGAGGCCUACGGAUCAUGGUAGCUUCUUCAAAAUUAAAAGCCAUCCCUAUCAGCAUCGGCUUCAUCCCUCUCAAGCCUGCAAAUGGAAUCCCAAACGGCAUGACAUCUCUAACAUAGGCGGCAGGGACCACUGCAUCUAAACCAUUCUCCAAAAUCUAGCUCAAGUAGCCGUCUCUUGAGUCUUGACAAUUUUUCCAUCUACUCUAUUGCCUUCCUCUCUUCCUCACCAAUCCCAUUUGUGAAGUCUGCUGCAAUAAAAAUAUUUUGACCAUCAAAGUAGCCAAAACUCUCCUGUAAAACCAUGAGUUAAAUGAGAAGUGUGCAAGUCUUCAUUCGACUAACCAUUUAAUCAUGUAAUAGAAUGCCCACUUUAGAUGAGGAAAAAACCAAAUCAGGAUUGUUCUUGUUGAAUGCUAUAAUGUCAGCUAACGACUGCAUACGGGAUUCAGUUUGGCCUUGCAAAUUAGAAGUAAGAAUUGGUUUCCGCCGGCAUUGCUACUCUGUCUCCACUUUGAAAGACAUCAAUAUUGGAUGCCUCCCAUAUGAUGAAUGAGAGUUGCACCUUGCUGGGAUCAAAUUUUUCAGGGAGAAGAAGAAACAUGUUAGCUAAGUAAAAGCAUUGGCCUAGAACUAGCAAUACAUCUGAGUUGAGUCCUCACUUUUCUACCGUAAUGUGCGCAAAUGUCACUCAAGAAUUGGAACCGCAUUGGACCUACUCGAAAGGAUGACAAGGGAUUUCUUAUCACAUCUAAUUUCUUCCCUUUGAGCUUUUUUUUUUUUUUUUGUUGAGAAAUUUUUGAUAUGGCCAGCAACAGGAAUGAACUUGGUAGCUGCUUUUGUUGCUUCACGGUCUCUUCGAUCAAAGCUCACGAUUGACAGCUAGACUGCUAGUAAGAAGCAUCAGCCUCUAAGCAAUAAGUGUUGGAUGCAAGAAACUUGUAAGCAAAAAUUUGCUGCAGCAUUUAAUGUGUAUUUUCUCCAAAUGCAUAGUUUAAACAUCAAGAAUGUUGUAAGUUUGUGGUUAUUCAGAAGCUAGUUAACAUAACCUAUCAUCAUCUUGUCUUUCAACCAAAAAAAAAAAAAAAAAAGAGGCGCGCACACACACACACAAAACAUAAUCUCAAGAUAAAAUUUGACAACUGUUAUGUAGUAACUUGUUACUUUUGAACAGUUCCAAAUGGUAGAAUCUGAUACCGCGUAAACAACAAAAGAAGCAGAAAUGAAUCUGGCAUGGCCAGUUACCAGUUAGUCCAAAACAAUCUGAUUCCAUCUGUUUCAUUGCCCCGUGAAACCGCCACCAUAUGUGCCGCUACUGAUAUUGCAGAUUCACUGCUGUAUCCGCAAGGAUAUUCCCUUUGGUCGUAAGGAAUCUGGACAUCCAACAGCACCAACAAUUUGAUUUCCAAGUAAACCUUUCUAAGUUUCUUUCUGUAUUUCAUUGUUCAUGACUUAAAGUAACAAUCAUGUAUGUAAGAUAUUAAACCCACGAUCGCAAGAGGGAGGCUUCAAUUGGCAUUGAGGCGCCCACAUGCAAUGGGUGACGCAGUUAAACAGAGGUAUCUAUCUCAAAUGCAAGUGUGCAACUACAAAUAUAUAUAUAUAUAUAUAUAUAUACAUAUACAUAUUUAGUUUUUGCUAUCGAUUUGGAAUUCAGGAUAUAUAUAUAUAUAUAUAUAUAUAUAUAUAUAUAUAUAUAUAUAUAUAUAUAUAUAUAUAUUAGUUCUGUUUUAGUAAAUUUAGUGAGUUGAACACCUUAGUAUAAUGCAUAGUGGACACACUAUUUUGUUGUCACAUAGACAUAUUUAAUGCCUUUUUAAUUUUGUUCGUCUUUUUUUCAUGACAAUUAAUUUCUUUUCUUUUUAAUUUUCUCAUAUAUUAUAAAAAAAAUCAGUUAACCAUAGUUUUCAUUUUAACAAACUUUCAAAUCACAUAAUUCCUUUUUUCUAUAAUUUAUUGGGGAUUCUAUAAUUUUUUUACAAAUUUUCACUUCUCUACUUCUGUUAUUUGGAUUGGUUAUUUAUUAUUACUUCUAAAGUAACUCAUACCAUUCAAUUUAGGUUGUCCUAUUUUAUAAAGUUCGUUUAGUAAUUAUUAUAUUUUCUCUUUUGCAAACCUUAAGCCACACCCAAGUCCAUAUAAGACUUGACUUAGACAUGCUCUCUAUUACUUUUUUCUUUUCUCACUUCUUUAUUUCUUAAACAAUUAAAAAAAAUUCCUGUCAACUUAGAUUUCCUUUUCCAGUUUCUUACGCUUAAAGCAAAUUAAUAAUUCCUCUCUCUAUUAGUUUCCAUUUCUAAAUUUUCUAUUCUUCAAAAAAAUUGAAUUUUAAAUGCAUUCAUUUUCCAUUUCCAUUCCUUACAUGUGGAGAUUCUAAAUUAUUUUCUCUCUUUUUUUUCCCUUUUCUAAUCCUUGACCAAAAAUUUAUGAUCUCCAUUAUCCAAUUUAGAAAAUUAGGGAAACUAUAUAUCCAUCCCUCAUAAUUAAUCACUUAAUUUUAUCCAUUCUUUAAUUUAGAAAAUUAUGGAAAGCAUAUGAUCUCCGCCCUUAUAAUAUGACAAUGCAAAUCAAUUACUUCAUUUUUAAAUUAUGUUCAAGAGCUGAUUUAGAGCUUUACGUUCUUUUUCAUUUUACAGAUUUUCAAUUAUUAAUUUUUUUCUUUGCCUACUGCUUUCUUCGAAAAAAAAAAAAAAUCUGUGAUGUGUUAAUAGGCAUCUCAAUCUAUUUGUUACGUUACCAACACCAGUUAGAGUGAGCAAAAGUAAAUCAUAGGUUAAGAUUCAAUCAAAGCUAAUGAUCAAGUUGCUCUGAUUUAACUAUUGUUGUUCUGCUUAACUUCAUGACUGUUCUUAUAUUUGGCAUGAAUCUUAAAUUUUAUAAAGUUUUUUAUUUUAGUUCUUUUCUAUUAAUGUGUUCCAAAUUCUUCUCUAAUUGCACUGGUGAAUAACAAGUUUCUCAUUAAUUUCUUGUUCUCGUACCUAAAUUGUCAAAAGUCGAGGGUGAGUGUUUUUUUCUCCGGAAAGAAUUGUUGGAUGCAAUAAUGCUAACACAGAAAAUACGGAAGGAAGACAGGCAUUCGAUACUAUGCAAUAAUAUUCAGUCCUAUUCCACUGAAAAAAGGAAGCCAACUUCAUUCGAUACUAGAUUUAGACAAACAAAAAACAGGAAUGGAGGAUGGUUUCUUGGCCCCUUGCUUGAAUUUUGGGAGGGAAAAGGUCUAAAAUGGAACGUGACCGUCACCCAAAGAAAGUUAACUUGAGAAAGCAGUUUGAGAAAUGAGAAAUUACCAGAAAACUUCAGAUUUGGACAACCAUUAAUUGGCAACAUUUUCUUUACACAGUCAGUCUCUCCAAUAAAAUUGUGGAUCUUAGAAAAUUAUACGGGUAUUUAUUGAUAACUAGAAAAAAGCACGUGCAUUGCAUGUGUAUUUAAACAGUAGAAUUAAUCCAAGAUAUAAUUUAUAGAAGGGGGCCAAUUAUAAUGCCAAUACUAUUAUGAUUGCCAAAUUUUUAAACCUGAAAAUGCAAUUGCAAAGAUGAAUAGAAGAUAGAUAGAUUUGCUUGAGUAAAUCUAAGUGUCAUGUUGGCCUCAAAAGUGCAAAGUUGGAAAGGCAAACUACUAAGCAAUGCAGGUAAAGAAGCACUUUUGAAAUCUAUGGUUUUAGCCCUUCCAUCAUUUGCCAUGUCUGUUUUUAAAUUAUAUAGUAACAUGUACAAAGAGUUAAGUGGUAUCAUGGCCAAAUUUUGGUGGGCCAAUGACCAACGGGAAAAAAAAGAUGCACUGGAAGAAGUGCGAGGCCUCUCUAGACUCUAGAGUCUAGAGUUAAAAGGGACAUUCAAUGCUUCAACAUGGCACUUCUUGCCAAGCAGGCAUGGAGGACUCUUGCCAGUUACUAUCCCCAAUUUGUUAAUGAGCAAAGUGUUGAAAAGCAGAUAUUUCCCUCAAUCUGAUUCUCUGGAUUCAAAAGCCAAAGUGGGAGCAUCAUGGUUAUGGCAAAGUCGGUUAACAUCUGUACCUUUACUGUCUAGUGGCUUGAGGAAACAAGUGGGAGAUGGCAGAUCGGUUAACAUCUGGAAUGAUUGUUGGCUACCCAGAAUUGACAGUGGAAAAAUCUCAUCAUCAAGACCAGCCGGAUGCACGGUGGAAUGGGUUAGUGAACUCUUAUGUGGCCAUGAAUGGAACACUGAACUGCUGCAAUCUCUGCUCACCCAGGAGGAAAUUCAAAAAAUCCAACAAAUGCCAAUAAGAAUGUUUGGUGGUAAAGAUAAGUUCAAAUGGAUCCACUCAACUAAUGGCCUUUACACAACAAAAUCUGGAUGUGUGGUUGAGAAAGCGAGAUAGAAGGUUAAAGAAGCAGAAACAAAGAGCAGUCUAAACUAUGGAAUCAAAUAUGGAGCGUGAACAUUAAACACAAGGUGAGACACUUCCUACAACAUUCUACCUACUAACGAAGUGGUGUUUAGCAGAACAGGAAAAGGAAAUCCCGGAUGCAAUUACUGUGGAGAAUCUAAUGAAACUCUGGAACAUGCACUCUUAUCGUGCAAAGCUAGAGAGCUGGCUUGGAAAUCCUCUCCAAUAAAGUGGGAUGGACUACAGGAACACAAAUGGAAUUUCUGGAUUUGGUGGGAAACUAUGCAAUGCAAGGUAUUGAGAUCCAAAUAUGACAUGUUGAAUUUUUUUUAAGCGAUACAUUAAAGUUCACAUAUCUAUUGAAGUAAGGUAGAAAAUAAAGAUGCCACAGUUGUACAGCAAUCAGAGAUGCUAUUAUCGAAAGGUGCAUCUCAGUUGUAUAUACUCGUCAGAGAGGAGGUGGCUUCCUGAUCUUUGUGGCUUGCUCAAAGUCGUAUGCUAUCUCUAUCAGUUUUGGCUCUGAUCCUUUCAGCCCUCCAAAAGAAAUGCCAUAUGGGGUGCCAUCAGGGCUAUAACCUGCUGGAACAUUUAUUCCAGGGUAUCCUCCUGCAGAAAUAGCAUAGAUAAUAUUGUAUUUAGGUGUCACUAAGGCAUCCAAUUUAUUUUCCUUCAUCAACUUCUCGAAUCCAUUUUUGGACGCUCUAGUUAAAUUAAGAAGUAGUCCCCUUUCCAUUCUGCCAAUGCCAUGGGUUUUCUCUGCUGCCUCAAAUAUAUCUUGCCCGUAUUCUUCUAUCCUUUCCUGAAGCACAUGCAGUCAAGUAGUCUAAGAGUACUGUUUCUCUAACAUAAGGCAAUGAACUGAAUUGGGCCUAUUGUUUACUUACCAACUUUGAGUGUUUCUUAUUAAAGACUAUUGCAUCGGCUAGGGAUCGCACAGGAGAGGCAAUCAACUGCUUUAGAUAAGCAUUUAAUGCCAGCUUGAAUUCCACAUUCAUGGCUUUGAAUUGGUCACUGUACAUUGAAGCUGUGAUGGUGUCGAAGCUGGCUGUAUCCACAAUGUCUACCAAUACUGCACCUCGUUGCCUUGUUUUAGCCAAGACCUCAGAAUACUGUGUUAGAACUUUAACAGUAUUGGAAUAUGCUGACCAAAUCUAACCAAAACAAGAUUUUCUAUUUGCUCUGUGAAUCAACCAAGAAACAUGCUGGAAGUUUUUUAAUUGGGGUACAAAUGCAAAGUAAUCAAAAUUCAAUUCAAAGUACAAACAGAAAAUUUUGUGGUAGCUAGUCAUUCUGCUCCUUUAUAACUUUACAGAAAUGUUCACAUGCAUCCCAGAUAGAUCACGAUCAUCUCUCUCUGGGCACCCAAUGUAAGCUUUAAAGGUCAUGCUACUGAACUCACCUUAGAAUGUGGAAGUGAGGUUCAAAAGCUAUCAAUUCUUCGGAGGAGUUGCUGAAUCCUACAAAGGAGUACCUUGGAAUCCCCAGUCUCUUUCCCUCAAGUCCAUUAGACUUAAGAAAUUGCAAAUAGCCUCCACGAGGAAUAUACUUGGAAGCUUUUUUGGUUGCUACUGCAUCAUCAGGAUCAAAUCCAACAAUGGCAUCAAGAACAUACACUGCAUCAGAGACAGUCCGGCAUAUCGGCCUGUUCUGCCUCAUAAAGGAAUUGUUAUGAUUUUGUAUCAAUUUACUAAUAGUUUCUUUGUCAUGUUUGAGUUCUAAUUUCAAGUUUAUACUAUUUGGCGAUGAAAUACAAGUAAAUUAAUCAUGUUUCAUUACCCAACAGUAUCCUGUCGAGGCGAGAUGGGGACAACACCAGCUCGACUUGUGAGCCCUACAGUUGGUUUGAUUCCCACAACCGAAUUGGAACUAGAAGGGCAUAAAAUGGAUCCAGAUGUUUCUGUACCCAGUGUAACUGCAGCCAUAUUUGCUGCUACUGAUGUUGCAGAACCGGUGCUUGAGCCACAUGGAUCAGCAGAUUUAAGGUAUGGAUUCUACAUCGAAUCAGAUCCACAAUAUGGAAUUAUAUCUGUACCGGAAAUUCUAAUUGACCUGGAAAUGCUGCAUAGGAAAUCAACUUUUUGUUUCCUAAGCUACAAAUUAUUGAAAAAAUAGAACAAGAAAAAAAAAGGAAACUUCUGACUGAUAUAGUUGCAUGAAAUUUUGGGAACCAAAUGAAGAAUAUCAGCAACUCACCACACUUUGGCCACGUCUAGCAUUCCAACCAUUAGGCACAUUGUUUGAUCUGUAUGCAGCCCAUUCUGUCAUGCUAGCCUUUCCUAAUAUAAUUGCACCAGCCUUCCUUAGCUUCUUAACGACCCCUGCGUCCUGAGGUACAAUUGAUCCAAGAAGUACAUAAGAUCCAGCUGUAGUGUUAAGCUUGUCCUUGGUUGCAAUGUUGUCUUUGAGCAGAAUCGGAAUACCAGCCAGUCCUGUCACCGAUCCUGGCUUCUUAGCCUUUCGAUCCUGGUCUGCCUUGUGGGCUAAAUAUAGAGCUUCUGGAUUCACUUCUAUGACUCCAUUAAGAACUGGAUUUAGUCUCCUAAUCUCUUCUAGGUAGAAUUCAACCAAAUCCUGAGAAGUGAGUCGGUUAUGAUCCAAGGCAAUCCUAAUAUCAUGUACAGUAGCUUCUCUGAAUGAGAAUGGACUUCCCUCAGCAUUAUGACUAAGGCCAAGAGUAGUCAUACUCAAAACAAAUAGUAGCCAACUAUCCAUAAGGAUUGCUCCACUGUAAUAUCUGCAGAGAAACUAUUUCUCGCUUUUUCUACAUACAUACAUACAUAUAUAUAUAUAUAUAUAUAUAUAUUCUGAAGUAGCUACUGAUAACUAAGUAGUCAACAGAAUGUGUUUAAUGCCAGCUUGAAUUCCACAUUCAAGGCAAUACGACAUCAUCGUCUGUUGUUGCUUUCUUGGCCACGUUUUCCAUGAUAAAGACAUUCUGUUGACUGACUUUUAUAUUUAGUAUAGCCCUUUUGGGGUCAAAAAUAUAUAUAAAUAAAAGUGAAUUAUUAUUUAUCGUUCAAUGGUUUAGUACUUUAUCAAAUAAUUCCCAUGAUUUAAAAAUUCAUACAUAGCUGCCUCAUGAUUUGAACUAAAGUAUCAUGGUUAAUUUUUUUUUCAUUAAAACUAGCAAUUGACAUAAAAAAAAUAUGAGUAUCAUGGUUAAUUUUUCCACCAUCUUUGUACUACUUUUUUUUUUUCCUUUGGGAAGGGUAGAGAUGAUUUACUCAAUAAAGAAGACAAAGACAUUGCCGAUCAUUCCAUUGGUAAAAACAAAGGCCACCAUUAAUUGAAUGGCUUUAUUCAGCGACAACAUGUGAAUAACAACAUAGUGGAUGCCAGCAUGGUUCGAAGUCUCGGCCGAGACUGAAACGACUCGGCCCCUACCGAUACGAUAUCGUGACGAAACGAUACCGAAAUACUUGACUCGCCGAGAAAUCGGUCGAGUCGUCACCGUGACGGAUUGACUCGGCCGAGUUACUCCGAGUUACCCCGAGUCAAGACGAGAAAUCAGCCGAGUCAUACCGCGACGGAUUGACUUGGCCGUUUCUUUUGCUAUUUUUUAAUUAUUUUUAUUUAGCAUACUUUUUUAUAUUAUUAACCAUUUUUAGAAUAUUAAAUACUUUAAAAUUUGUGUCUCACCGAGACCGCGAUCGAUAUGUCGAAACCGAUGUGGAACGUUCCAGGCCGCAAUUGCGACCGCGACCGUGACUUUGAACCAUGGAUGCCAGUGAAUGUCUUUCACAAACCACAUGCUGCACAUGCUUUCUGAAGGAAAAGCAAGAUUAAUGGAUGAUUGGAUGCUGAAUAUCAAGAACAUGCAACCAAAAAGCUGCUUCAACUAAAAUAAACUCCUCUGGGACCUGCAGAACAUGAUGGCUUCUUCAAAAGCAAAAGCACUCCCAAUUAGCUUCGGCUCCAUCCCUUUCAAGCCUGCAAAUAUUGUCCCAAACGGCGUGGCAUCUUUAUCAUAGCCGGUGGGGACUGAUUCCGGGACAUCCUCAAAUUGCCAAAACUGUUGCCGGCUUGCCGCAGAUGAACGUAUUGUCAUCACAGCAUCUAAGUAAUUCUCCAAAAUUAAUGUCUUGAAGCCGUCUCUUGACUAUUCUCUAUCUACUCCAUUGCCUACUUCUCUUCCUGACCAAUCCCAAUUCUGAAUCUGCCGUAACCAAAACAUCUUGACCAUCGAAGUCGCCAAAACUCUCCUGCAAAACCAUGAGUUGAUUGAGAAGUAUGCAAUUCUUGCUUUGUGAUAUAGCUAACCAUUUAAUCGUGUAAUAGGAUGUCUAUGUCAGAUUAUUCAAAUACCCAAUCAGGAUUGUUCUUGUUGAAUGAUAUAAUUUCAGCAAACGAUAGUACAUGAGAUUCAAUUAGGCCCUCAAGAUAAUCGUGUAAUAGGGAGAGCUUAAAUUCAGCCAGUAUUGCUACUGUCUCGGCCACAAAUGCUGUCUCAGCCAGUAUUGCUGGCUUCAACUUAUUCAGGGAGAAGAAGAAAACAUGCUAGCUAAGCUAAGCACAAUUAAUGGCCUAGAACUGGCAAUAUAACUUAUUUCAGUCAUCACUUGUCUAUCUUAAUGUGCGCAAAUCAUUCUCAAGAAUUGGAACCGUAUCAGAUCUAUUCAAAAGGUUGAAAAGGGAAUUCUUACCACACACAAUUUCUUUCCUUUGAGCUUGUUAGCACGAAAAAUCAUGCAGUGGAAGAUAUUAAAAGUUUACCUAACCAAUAAACAAGAAAUCACUCAGUAUAACUGUAUUAUUUUAGUCAAGUUACAUUUUUAGUAGCUUUAUUGGAGCCAAAUUAUCGUAGUUUUAUUGUUUAGAAAGUGAUAUUAUGUUUGAAAAUUUAUGGUAGCUGUGAAGAUUUGUUUACCAAGUCAUCUGAUAUAAAUAGGGAAUCUUGUUAUAAUCAUCAUUUAAUUGAGAAGUGAAGAGUAAAAGUUUGAUAGGCUUAUUUUGUUGUAUCAUUGAUAUAAUAUUUUUGACUUAUUUCUCUUCUUCUACACAUAUUUUUAUGUAUGUAAUUGUCUCCCUAUAUACAUUGAUCUUAGAAAUUUAUCCCUUAUAACUUUUUAGUAGAAUGUUUUGGGUUCCGCAUACUAGAUAUUGAUUUUUGAGGAUGCGGAGCAUAAAAAGUUUUGGGACAGUCUAAAUGUUGUUUUUCCAUUUGCAUUAUAGUUGAAGAUGGAAUUAGCCAUCUGCUUGUAUCUGCUUGUGCUCGUGGUUUAACUAGAUUUAUCCGCUGUGCAGAGAAAAAGUUUCUACCCUGUUAAUUAGGUAAACUAGUAAACCACAAAGAAAUGUUGUAGGAAAUUUACGGCAAAAUAAUAAAAUCUCAAAAGCUCCCCCUUUUCUUCCCUUUCUCCCUACCUCUCCUCCUUUCUCCUCCUCCUCUCCUCUCCCCCCUCCUGCUCCUUGUCCCCUUCCUUCUCUCCCCCUCUCCCUUCACCCCUCCCCCUCCCCCUCCCCCUUCCCCGCUGGCCUCACGACAGAGCACAAUAAUCAGAUCACAAACAACAAAAGAAAAAAAAGGUUCAAUUGCGGUCUACUAAUGCGCCAGACACAACACAAUAAAGAUGUUCAUGAAACAGCACACGUAUUAUCUAGAAUUCGGCAACAUAGAUGUCAUAGUUAUACAGCAAUCAAAGAUGCUAAUAUCAGAAGAUACAUCUCAGUUUUAUUUAUGUCGUGAAUAUUUCAUCUUCACAGAGGAGGUGGCUUCCUGAUCUUUGUGGCUUGCUCAAAGUCAUAUGCGAUCUCUAUCAGUUUUGGUUCCGAUCCUUUUAGCCCUCCAAAGGAAAUGCCAUAUGGGGUGCCGUCAGUGUCAUAACCUGCUGGAACAUUUAUUCCAGGGUAUCCUCCGGCGGAAAUAGCAGAUACAAUUGUGCUAAUAGGUGUCACUAAGGCGUCCAAUUUAUUUUCCUUCAUCAACUUCUCAAAUCCAUUUUUGGACGCUCU
rnacentral:lncRNA from 1 species